rnacentral:lncRNA from 1 species
GCAGUUUUCGUCAAGCUAGAAUUUAUGAUGACAUACCAAUAUGGUUAGGUAACUUAGCUAUAAUAAUGAGAUACUGCAAGAAUGGGACCUGAAAAGUCUAAAACCACAAAAUGAUGUAUACCUGUCUCUUAGAACGUAGAGAACGAUUGGAUGUUUGGCUGCUUGUGGUACGCGGAAGGGGUUUUAUGUCCUUUUUCUUUAUACGUACUCUUAUCUUACCAUGCUGGACUAACACUGUCUCAUCAUCUCCAGGUUCUUCAACCACAGUACCUAACUUAUCUCCAAGUCCAGUUACAAGAACUUUUUCACCUGCUUGAGGUGAGUAGUCACUGUACGCUUCUUCCGUAGUUACAAGAUCAUUAGGACAGCAAGCUUCAAUAAUGUCUGCAACUGCCUCUUCGGUUUUCAGAAUUAAGGAAUUGUAUUGAUCAGCUUGAGCGAUUUCUAGUUGACUUUCAAAUUCAGACACCAAUUUCUGCAUCUUUAGUUUAGCAGAGGUUAGAUCUUCUUGUACCUUUUGGGUUUCUUUCUUCAGAAGAGCCCUCUCACGUUUUUCAAGAUCAUUCGACUCAUGCUCAAGCUUCAGGAUAAGAAAGUGGAGAAUGAUCAGGAACAAAAACAUACAUUACAAGAGUUUAACAAUAGCAACAAAACAAAGUUAAUAAAUUUCAUUUUUACUGUGGAGAUAUAUUAAGUGAAACCAUCUAAUGUGUCCUCUAAAAGGACCCUUGAAGGGAAAUCUCAACCACCUUAAAAUUUAAUUUUUCAACCACAAAUAUGUUCCAGACUAGACAACUGAUAUUCGACUACACAACAGAAAAAUAUCCUCAUAAUUAUUUCACUCAUUACUUCGACACCGGUAUCAAGGAUCGUUUUCAGUUCCUCAAGUAAACAUAAUGUUCUGUAAGACCCUUUUUUAUAAUUACUACAUGGUAUAAUCACACAUGUUAAAGCAAAAGAAAAAAGCAGUACCUCACGGUAAAGGUUCAUCAAGUCUCUGUGAAAUGCUGCAGUCUUGGUUAUCUGAAGCUUUAGCUUAUUCCUUUCUUCCACAAGGGACUGAAAGAGUGAGCCUUUCCGUUCUACUUCCUGCUUUGGAUCUAAUUUCUCUGUCCAUUUAUGUGCAUUCUCUAAAAUUCUUCUAUUAAAUCCAAUGGACUUAGCUACUCUCAAUGCAUUUGAUAAACCGGUACUUCCCCAGAGUACUCGGAAUGUAGGCUGAAAAGUUUCCAUGGAGAACUCCAUAGCAGCAUUUUGGAAUUGAGAGUCGUUAUCCUUCAAGCGACUUAAGUCCUCGUAAUGUGUGGACACAACAGCCACAUUUACACGAUCUUUCAUAUACCGUAGGAUACUGGUAGCAAGUGCAACCCCUUCUGAAGGAUCAGUUCCACUACAGAUUUCGUCUAGUAGGACAAGCGAAUUUUCUGAAAUAAUUUCAAGUAUCAGACGUAUUCGUGAGAUGUGGCCGCUGAAGGUUGAGAGACUCUGCUCCAAAGACUGCAAAUAAAAGUUUGAAACAUAAAAAAUUUGAACAGAGAAUCUUUGCAAGAGAUCAAGCAGGACUUAGAAAAGAGAAACACACAGGGAUUUUGAAAUAUAUGUGACUCAAACUAAAAAUUAAUAUUAGGUCUUUUAGAAUUGCUCUCAACAAAGUUAGUAGCAUGUAAACCUAGACACAGAGAUAAAUCAACACGUUAGUAGCUUGUGCUACUUUGCAAGAAAUUUGUAACAUAAUACCUGGGGAUCCCCGAUGUCAGCCAGAAUAAGAUCAAACCAAGGUAACCUAGGGCAAUUCUUAGCAGGCAGAUACAUCCCCGACUUCGACAUAAGAGAUAUUAAUCCCAAUGUCUUUAAUAACGCAGUCUUUCCUCCUGUGUUUGGACCCGAGAUGACGACUACUUUGGCACUGCUUUCAACUUUAAUGUCUACUGGCACAGGGAAAAUGUUUCCAUCAUUUGGGCUGCCUAAUACUGAACCAAGAAGUAGCGGGUGCUGUGCAGAUUCAAUGUCUACAGCUAAAGAUUUAUGGUCUCCAUCUGAGUCCAGUGUUUUACUGUGUUCUGAAGUUAGGUUGGGAUAUACACCAUUCAUCCAUUUUGCAUGUGAUGCUCUUGCAAACGCAAUGUCAAGUUCUAGUAUUCUAUCCAACAAAUGCAAUAUAUCACUCUGCGCAUUAGACACUUCAGAUGUUAAAAUGCUCAAAAUUGCCAUUUCCUCAGCUUUCUCGGCGUUCGCAUACCUCACUUCCAUGUUAUUAAGCUCAACUGCUUCUUUUGGUUCAAUAAAGCAUGUUGCCCUUGAGCUACUAACACUUAAAACAACACCACCUGGAAGUAAACUUUUGCGCGUAGCUCUAAUAGCUACGCACAUCCUUGAUCUGCGCUGCGUUAUCAAAGGCUUGUCAAUCCCACCAGCCUGAAAAAUCAUAGUUGAUACUUCCUUCAGCAGAGAAUCCAAAUUCUCCAUGUUCCUCCUCCUUUCAGAUCUUAUAAUCUCCAAAUCUUCACUAGCUCUGUCAAGAACCAUAGACAUGUUGCAGUCUAUACAAAAACCAAUCUUCUGCUUCAAUGUAUCCUUGAAAUCACAAGCCUGAAGUAUUUCUACAAGAGGAGUAACCCUACAAGAUGACAAGAACAUUACAUAACUUCAUAUGAGCAAACCACAAAUCAUGAAAUUAGAGGAUAAGACUGCUUAUACCGAUUAUCACUAUUGGCUGCUUCUCGAAGUUUCUGAAACGUUGAUGUAGCCGCCAUUAAAGUGCUGCGAACAGUGCAAAGCUCUCUAACAGUAAGCAAUUGACCCGCCACAGCACGCUCGACGAUACCAGACAAGUCCUGGAUCUCAGUAAGACCUAAUCGCCGCGAUUCCAUCAUCUCCAUAGCCGCCAACGCAGCAGCCGUCUCGUCAAGGAGAUUCCUACUCUCUUCCGGCGAAUUUCCCACCGGAAUCUCCGCGUUUUUGGUGGCGGAGAGACCCAUGGAUGUGGAGGCGAAGGGAGAGAGCUGAUUGCAGAGAGCUCGCCAUUCGAGGACGUCGAGAGUUUGGGUUUCGAUUGACUGUGACUCGUCGGAAGAAGCGGCGCGUGGAUUUAACGUAGAGACGAAGCGGAGAGAUGAAGGUACGGUGGCGCGUGAAAUGAAUUGUGAGGCGGCGCGUGGGGAUUUGAGGAGGAUAGGGUUCGGUAUGAGUAAAUGGAGGGAAAGAGUAUUCAUGAUGCAAUGGUGGGAAUAAAAGAUGCAACGUGUCUAUUAUCCAUUGAAAAAAAAAAAAGUUAAAAAUAUAUAAGUUGCGGCACAAUUGAAACUCCAUAGCCAAUCAAAAUAUAACAAUAUGCCACAUAUCAAAAAUAAAUAAUAAAAUAAAACAAUUUCUUUUGCUCUGGUCUAAGUAUCGGGCUCAACUGAAAAUAAUUUCUAAGCUUUUACAUUUUAUGGGGGAGGUGAAGUUUAGGUUGUCACAUGUGAAAGCCAAUUCUUUAGUCUCUGACAUUGCGAGGAGUGUGACAAGAGAUGGACGCCUCACUUCUUAUGUUGCUUUGGACGGCCCGGCUUGGUUGUUGGAUAGGAUUGAGCAAGAACGUCGUGGUAGCGGUUGAGGCUUGGUGUCUGCAUUUUUAUGUUUCAGCUUUUUACAAGCUCCUCUGUUUUUUUCAAUUCUGGUUUUUACUACCAAGUUAUUAAUAAAGUUGCUGAAGUGUUUUAAAAAAAAAAACAAAUUAAAGAAACAAAAUUGUAGGAUUUUUAUUAGAGAAUUUGUUAGAAAUACCCCUUUUGGAUUACUUAUUUUUAAAAAUACUCCUAUUUUUUGCCAUUUUGAAAUUUACCCUUCUUUAAUCUUUUAAGACUAUUCUACCCUCAUCUCUUACUCAACCUUUCUUCUCAAAACUGGCAAUCACCGAUUUGUUUUUUUUUUCUCAGAUUGCCGUCUCCGUAUGCUUUACCGUCGUCAAAAUUCGGAACUCGCCAUCGUUGUUUCUUUCUCUAUGGAAGAUUGUUGUUCCCGUAUCUGUCAUUCGUCGAUCUCGUCGUUGUUGAAAUUGGAGAACUCUUUGUUGCUAGGAUCUAUCUCGCCUUCGUUUCUCAACUCCAAAUCGCCUCAUCUCAAAAUCAAUCAUCCAUAGAGACAAGAGAUUAUUCACGCUGAAAUCGUUCAAAAUUGUGGUCGAGUCCAGAUUCAGGUAUCAUGCUUUAAUCCUUGUUUUUGCUUCCUCAUGUUCUCUUCUCUGUUUCAUUCGUCAUUUUUGCCCCUAGAUCUAAAUUCGCGAAUAAAAGCUUGAUUUUCAAGCGAUUUAGAACUUGAUUCACCCCUCUUGUAUUGAUUUCUUCUAGCAUGAUUAUUUUCAUGCGAUUUAGAGCUUGAUUCACUCUUUAGUUGGCUUCAUUGAAAUCUGUUAAGGUUUUGAUUUUAUUUAAUGAAAAAAAUUGGCUCAAGGGUUUGAAAAUCAGCUUGAAAUCUGAAGCAAAUAAACAAGAAUUGUUGAUUUGUGGUAUCUGAGUACGUUCUAAUCUAAUUUAGAAGAGCAUCCAUUGAGACAGACAUGUGUUUUCUAAUUCAAUGAUAGCUUGAAAUUGAAUUUUGAUUGUUUGAUUCAAGUUCGAUUUGUGGGGUUGAUGGGGUUUUUGAAGAAGUUAAUGGUAGAUUCUUGGGUUGAAGACUAACAAUGGUGGGCAUGGAUUGGAUUGGAUUUCUCGUUUUCAAAGCUUUGUUGCUUAUAUGAUUUUGUUUGCCGUGAUAUUAUUGAUUGUUACAGUAAAGAACUGCAGCCUGCAGUAACAAGUUAUGAAGAAGGUAGCAAUCUCUUUUGUGAUUUGAAUGAAGGAGUACCACGUGAGGAAGGAGAAGUGAAUACACAGGAUUAGGAGUGAAGAGUUUUUGUAUAUAAUUAUAACAUGUUCGUUGGCUUUCACUUGAAAAACACUUCAAAACUGUAACACUUGUGUCCUCAUCUUCACUCCCGAUUUCCGGUUCUUCGUGAGUUGUCACCACAUUCACUUCACAUGAUGAUGAAUUGGUUUGAUUUUGUACUUGUUUAAUAACAAUCUUUGAAUAUAUAAUAUGUUUAUUAGUAAUAUACAUUAGAAGUUUUGAAAAAAGCGUGCUCACAUGUACAGUAUGUAUGAAACCAAAAAUGAAGGAGUAGCACUAGCACGUUUUAAAAGGUUUUAAAAAUACUUUACAAGGUUUUUCAAAGAUAAUAGAACUUUUAAAAGACUUUUUUUUAAAAAAAUUAUUAUCUUUAAAAGCUUUUUGUAAAGAUUAUAAAACAGUUUAACCUUAUAAAUAUUGUUUUUAACCUUAUAAAUAUUGUUUUUAAAAAUCAUACCAGUUUAUGCGAAUUGUUGUUUGUUAACGAGAAGCAUAUAUAACAAUUUCAUGUAAAAUUUUUUAAGUACUUGUUAAAGCCAUAUAACUAUUUUAUAAAGCCUUUUAAAUACUUUGUAAAAAUUUUUAAAUAAUCUUUAAAACCUUUUAAAAACCUUAUAAAACCCAUAUAAAACCAUUAUAAUUUUUUUUGUAAAACCCUAUAAAAGCCUUGUAAAACCUUUUAAAUAGUUUUAAAAAGCUUCAUAUACAUAACACCUUAUAAAACCUUGUAAAACCUUUUAAAUACUUUGUACUUUGUAAAACGUUUCUUAAAACUCCUUUUGAAAACCUUAUAAAAGCCUUAUAAAAUCUUUAUAAAACCCUUAUAAACCUUAUAAAAUCUUUAUAAAAACCUUAUUAAAGCAUUGUAAUUUUUUUUAAAUAGUUUUAAAGACCUUAAUGUACAUUUAAAUACCUUAUAAAACCGUGUGUAAAACCUUUUCAAUACUUUGUAAAACCUUUUAAAUACUUUUUAAAACCUUAUAAAGACCUUAUAAAGACCUUAUAAAAGUUUUAUAAAAUCUUUAUAAAAGCCAUGUAAUUUUUUUUAAAUAGUUUUUAAAUACCUUAUAAAUACCUUAUAAAAACCUUAUAAAAGCUUUGAUCACCUACUCCUUUUGACCCCGUCAUCCAGGCACACCGGAGGUCCUGAUCCGGCGUGCAUCUGUAGUCUUUGGACGGCGGCUACAUCUGUAGUCUUUGGACGGCGGCUACAUCGUGGUUAUUGUAUGGGCAUACUCCGGAAAUAUGUAAGCCAUUGGGCAUAAGUCUUUAAUUGAAAGCCCUUUUAAAAAAUAACCUUAAAAAACCUUGUAAUUUUUUUUUAAUACUUUUAAAAACUUUAUAAAAGCCUUAUAAAACUUUAUAAAAGCCUUAUAAAAUCUGUAUAAAAGCCUUGUAAAACCUUAUAAAAGCCUUGUAAAACUUUUAAAAUUUAUUUUUUAAACUUAAAUAUACAUUUAAACACCUUAUAAAACCUUUUAAAUACUUUUAAAACCCUUAUAAAAUAUUUAUAAAAACCUUAUAAAAGCCUAAUAAAAUCUGUAUAAAAGCCUUGGAAAACCUUAUAAAAACCUUGUAAAACUUUUAAAAAUUAUUAUUUAAACUUUAAUAUACAUUUAAACACCUUAUAAAACCUUUUAAAUACUUUUAAAAACCCUGUAAAAGCCUUAUAAAAUCUUAAUAAAAGCCUUAUAAAACCUUAUAAAAACUUUUAAAUAGUUUUUAAUACCUUAGUAUUCAUUUCAACACCUUAUAAAACUUUGUAAAACCUUUUUAAUACGUUGUAAAAGAAAUACUUUUCAAAACUUUUUUAAAACCAUAUAAAAGCCUUAUAAAAUCUUCAUAAAAACCUUGCAAAAUUACUAAAUUAAAUUUUACAUGAUUUUAAAAGUUUGUAUACAGAUUAUAAAAGGUUUUAAAAAGAUGUUCUAUAUCCUUAGUUUCUUCUUAUUAAAAUGUUAUAAAUCCAUACACACUUUAAUCAUAAGCCCUUUAACAAACUAAAAAAAAAAGGUCACACACACAUUGUACUUGAAAUACAUAAUCACUAGAUGACAAACAAAGAAGCAUAUUUUCAACUUAAGCACCAAUUUUCUUAUCACAUGAGUUUGUUUCUUAGUCUGAAACUAUCGUUAGAUAUACCGCUUUCUACCAGCACUUCUUACUUCUCCACCAGUGUACUCAAGGCUGGCUCUCACAUGUCUCCACUCCUCUUGGUCGAGUACUAAAAACAGAGCUCGAAGCUUCUUGAAUAAUUCCAAAAUUCUAAUAUCCAACAGUAAUCCUGCAACACAAACCAUGAAUAUAUCUAGAUAUAAUUCAUUCACAGCUUGUAUAGUUGAUUAUACAAUAGGGCCAGGAAAUGAAACCAAUGAAACAUUCACUACCUCAGUACCUUGUUAGUGUCUUGCAGCUGGAGAUUCGUACCCUUGCUAUGAAUAUCUCGGACUGAGAUGGUUCUUCCUAUCUGAAGACGACAACCUUUCGUUUUCUUGCAAAUUCACAAAUUGUUUGCUAUGAACUAAUCAUAUUGGAAAUCACACACAUUCAAUUCCACCACCUUAAUAAUAUCAUAUCCUACAGCUAUUACUAAAAACAUGCCUUAUCUUUUCCAUUUGAUUUCGAGUGCAGAUGCAAAACAUCUUCACUUACAAACAUCCUUCUGUAAAAUCAUAGAAAUAUGCAGCAAACUAACAAAUGCAGACCGUAUUAGAGAUGUUGGCCAUACUGAAGUCGAUCUCUUAAAUAUGAUACCUUCACUAAACCUUACUUGUCUAUAACAUUCAAAUCCAGAUUAUAUCCAAACUAAAAGUAUAUAAAAGUACCAAUUCCAGCAUCUUACUGUAAUAGGAGAAUCUAGGCGAAUACGUGUGCUAAGCUUGACGAGAUGCUGAAAGUGAGUUACCAGACCACGUCGAACUGAGCAGAGCACAUUUCAUCUCGCCAUAGCACACCACGACCAAGCACAAUGAAUCACGACAGAGAACAAUAAAUUCAGGGGCUUGAAGGAACGUAGAGAUAGUCGGCGACGGGAUGAACUGUAAACUAGGAUUCUCAUAAACCAACAUCAAUGAAUCGCCGUCGCCGUCGAGAGAGAGAUGAGUCAGAGUCGGAGUCACCAUCGCCGUCGAGAGAGAGAUGAGUCGGGUUUUUGCCGUCGAGAGAGAGAUUGGUGAAGAAGAGAUUUUUUAGGUUAAAACAAAUGAGGGCAGAAUCGUCUUUUUGCACCAAAACAGGGGUAGUUUUAAAAAUGCUCUCCCUACUGGGGUAUAGUCGGCGACGGGAUGAACUGUAAACUAGGAUUCUCAUAAACCAACAUCAAUGAAUCGCCGUCGCCGUCGAGAGAGAGAUGAGUCAGAGUCGGAGUCACCAUCACCGUCGAGAGAGAGAUGAGUCGGGUUUUUGCCGUCGAGAGAGAGAUUGGUGAAGAAGAGAUUUUUUAGGUUAAAACAAAUGAGGGCAGAUCGUCUUUUUGCACCAAAACAGGGGUAGUUUUAAAAAUGCUCUCCCUACUGGGGUAUUUUUAAAAAUGUGAUCCUCAAAAAGGGUAGUUUUAAAAUUGUCCCUUUUUAUUAAGGAAAUUAUAUAUUUUGGUUUGGCUUUAUAAAAGAGUAGUUAGAGUUUAGAUUUUAUACAUCAACAAAAUUGUAUUUCAGUUCGGAUUGACAAAAUAGUGGUUAGAGUUUAGAUUUUUUGUAAUUAAACAAAAUUAUAUUUCGGUUUGGGUUGACAAAAUAGUGGUUAGGGUUUUGAUUUUGUAAUUAAACGAGAUUAUAUUUCGGUUUGGGUUGACAAAAUAAUGGUUAGGGUUCAGACUUUGUAAUUAAACAAAAUUAUAUUUUGGUUUGGGUUUAGAUUUUUUAACUAAGCGAAAUUCUAUUUCGGUUUAGGUUUAUAAAAGAAUGGUUAUAUUAUACAGAUUUUGUUUAAUCUAUUUUGUUUUAAUGAUUUUAGUUUUGAUUUAUUUUUAUAUAUAAUAUGACGUGGCAAAUUACUUCAUUUUAAUUGGUUAAUCUAAUAGGGGAUGAAUGAGGAGGUUUGCCCCUAGGGGUGAACCCAAGUAUUGCUCAAUUACAUUAUUAUAAUAAUGUAAAAGGUUAAGUUAAGGACUAAAGUUAUAGAGUUGAUUAUUGGUUGAACCUCUAGAAUCUUAAAAAUUAAAUAAUUUAAUAAUGUAAAACAUUUUUAAAAUUUUUAAAAUUAAAAAAAUAACUUUUAAAUUGAAAACAUAAAAAAUAAACAUAAAAUUUAUUUGAAAAUAAAAAGAAACAGAAAAUACAAUUCAAAAUUAUUAAUAACAAAAAAAACAAUGAAGAUAAAAAUGAAAAACACAAAAAGAUGUAAACAUAUUAAUUAAAGCACACAAACAUUUUAUUAGAUUUAUACAAAAUGUAUAAACCUUGUUAAUCAUUUGAAAGAUGUCUAAAUUUAGUCCAUAUAUUCUCAAUCAAAUUCUCCUUCAAUUGAUGAUGUGCUUGUUUAUCACGAAUUCUUCUGCGAUGAUCACCUAAACCCUCGAGAUUUGUAGCCAUAUCGUCUGAAAACGUAAGAUCCGGGGCACCUUCUUGGAAUUCUUCUUCGUCAAAGAGAGUGUAUGAAUGGCGUUCAUCUUUAACAAUCAUAUUAUGGAGUAUGAGACAUGCUCUUUCAUAAUAUAUGCUAUUUUGCCUUUUUCCCAUAAAAAUAUGGAUUUUUUAUCAUGGCGAAUCUAGUUUUAAGGACUCCAAAUGCACGCUCAACAUCAUUUUGUGCAGAUUCUUGACGUUUUGCAAACAAAGUAUGUUUCGGGCAUUGUGGUAGUCGAAUGGAUUGAAUAAAUGUCCCCCAAUCGGGAAAAAUACCAUCCGUAAGAUAGUAAGUCAAAUUAUACUCCCUUCCGUUGACAUAUUAGUUCAUUUGGGGAGCUUGACCUUGUAUAAUUUCAUUAAAUACUGGUGACUGAUCAAGAACAUUUAAAUCGUUACAAGUACCUAGCGCUCCAAAAAACGCGUGCCAUAUCCAGAGAUCUUGUGAAGCAAGCGCCUCCAAAACAAUUGUUGGUUUUCCGAUUCCUCGUGAAUACAUUCCUUACCAAGCGGUUUGUGGGUGCUAAAAACCUCUCACAAUAUUAAGAAAGUAAAUGAGAAGAUCAAAAUGGGAUUUUGGGCUAGACUCGCAAAAGUGGAUCAAUUGAAUAUCGGGAUCGCGUAGAAAGUGGACUUAGAAUUCUGUAUUAGGUCUGUUAAAGUACAUGUGUCCUUGCCAAUCUACUCACUCUUCUAUUUAUACUAUUACAUCGUAUCUAUUAAUCGAACUAACAUCCUACAUCUUCUGAUCCUUUUCCUGAAACCACCUCGAUCUCCGCUCGAUCUCCCUGCUUUCUCGAAUAAUCAUUAACUCCACGGCCCUUUAGCACAAACUUGCCCGUUCGGAUUGGGCCUGUCAUUAAUGGGCUUUAAUCGCCGAACCCCAUCACCAACACGGUUGGACAAUUCUUCCACCUCAAAUGCAUACAACCGAUGCUUCCAUCCAUUCCUAGAAAACCCCGCUGUUCUCCAAUAUAGAGUAGCCUUUGGAGAUCCUCUGGUGUAGGGCGUCUUACGUAUUCAUCGCCAAACAAGUCAACAAUUCCCACGAUAAAAUGUUCCAAACAUUUACGAGCUGUCGUUUCACCAAGACGUAUAUAUUCGUCAACCGUGUCCGUUCCACCCCCAUAUGGUAAUAGUAGAAUUGUUACAGUACAUUUUUAGAGCGGUGAUAUACCAUUUCAGUAUGUUGCAUCUUUUUUUGGUUGAAAAUAUGGAACUUCUGUAGAGAUAUGAUUCACAAUACGCAUGAACAAUGAUUUGUACAUUCGAAACCGUCUUCGAAAAAGCUUCUCGGGGUAAGUCGGAUUUUCACUAAAAUAAUCGUUCCACAAACGUGCAUGGCCCUUUUCCCGAUUUCUUUCCAUAUAUGUACGUUUUUUCCUUUCGGCCGGAAUAUCCUCUGUUGUAGCAUCUAAUUGAUUAUCAAAUAGCUCUUGGUAAUAUUCGUCAAAACUAUCAUCAUUACUAGAGUUAUGAUGAUAGUAAAAAUGGUUGGAAGAAGAUGCCAUAAAAAAUGAGAGAUAGAAAGUUGAGGAUUUAAAAGGUGAAUAUAGAAACGAUUAGGAGAAAAUGAGAGAGAUGAUAGCUUUUGUAAUGAAAACGAUUGUGUUUUUAAGAAAAUUUGGUUGUGAGAAGAGAGACAAAGCUUACCAUGGUUUAUAUACAAAUCUUUGUUCACAAACUAACAAAGUCAUGUGAAGAAUAACAACAAAACAUAGCAGUCACAAAUAAUCACAUCAAAUGCAUGUGAUUGAUUCACUUUCCACUUUCACAUAACACCAAAAACAUGUGAAUCACAAUAAUCCAAAAGCAAGCAUACAAUAAUCGAAAGUAUCAUAUCUUGUUUAUAAUCUCUAUUACACUUAACAUAACUAGCGACACAAAUAAGACCAAUAGAGUUAAGCCGAGACCAACUACCAACUCAUUUCUUAAUGUAAACUACUCUUCUGCAACUCAUCAACAAUCUUCUCAAGGCUCACAACCUUCUCAUCAGUUUUAGUAUCUUGUUCUCUCACCUGGUUAAGGUCCAACUCAUGCGAGAAUGUUAAGUAAUCUAACUUCUCAGUCAACACUUCAUAUAAUAUGGCCCUUUCUCUUAUCUCCUCCAUAACAGCCACAUCCCACCACUUGUGAACAUGCAUCUCUCCAUCAUCAACAUUCUCACAGGUGAAGAACCUUCAAUAACAAUUAGAAGAUCACAUAUAUAAGUUCAGAAAUCACAAGAAGUAAGUUGAUACAUAAAAGGUAAAUCAGAGAAAUAUCACUUACCUUCUCCCUGGAUCUUUUGUAGUGUAACAUGUAUUUAGGAGAGGUUGAGCAUUGUUGAAGCUACUCUAAGCUUCAUCGAGAAAAAUGUUUGCUUCUCUUUCCAUGUCUGCAGUGUCCUCUGUGUAACUAUCAAACUGAUAUGAAGAAGAAGGCUGAGAGUAGCUAUAAUCUUGUCCCAUCUGAUACUUAACUUGAAAACAAACAGGAAGAGAGUUAAGAGAUUUCACAGAAACUGAUACACAAUCAUAUAAAAAACAGGAAGAAAGUUGAUAUAAUAAGAGAUAAUACAGAAUCCAUAGCAAUUUCAUAUAGCAAACAAGAGAGUUGAUAUUAAUAAGCAACCAUACAGAGACUGAUACAAUAAGAGAUAAUACUUAGACAAAUAAGCUUCAAAGCUAGUUAGAGAUAAUACUUAGACAGAAACUGAUACAAUAAAAGGUAAUACUUAGACAUAAAUUAAACUUCAAAGCUAGUUAGAACAAUAAACUUCAAAGCUAGUUAGAACAGUUCAACCAUCAGCUUCUUAUUAAGAGCUACUUCUUCUUAAGAGCUACUUCCUCUUCAUCAAGUGGUUGUGUCUUGGCAAUGAGAGUGUCAAGAAUGGAAAUCUUUUGGAGUUCUUUCUUGGCCUCAUUAUCCUUUUUUUUUGUUUUCCCAGAUGAUUGGGUACUCUACAGAUGGUGCAAUCUUCUCUUUACCUCUGCACCUUUUGGACUUCAUUGCCUUUAUACCAGGAGGUCUGCUCUCUUGUUCACCAACAACAUAUCCAGAAGAUGAUGCAGCAUCCUCACAUUUUAUUUUCUUGCUUGAUGUAUUGCUAGUAGGGUUCAUCAAUCCAAGGCUGCACCAUUUAUGUUUAUUUUUCAACUCAGUCCAUGCAUGCUCUAGGGUAAACUUCUUCUUGUAAAGGUUGAAGUAGAAUUGAUGAGCAUUCUUCAGAAUGUCUACAUCAUUCAUUCCACUAGCUUUUUCAGCCUCUAUAGAUGCAUAUGCUCCACAGAAAUGGCUCACGUCCUAGCUAAUUCUUCCCCACCUUUGCUUGCAAUGGUCAGCCAUCCUUGCUUCACCACCAUUGAUAACAUGAUCACUUGAUGCAUAGUAGUCUGCAAUCCUUUUCCAUAAGGUCCUUGGCCUUUGUUCAUUGCCAACAAUGACAUCCUUGUAUGUGUUUAACCAGCCGUUGAUCAAGACUAAGUCAUCUGCGCUGUUCCGUUGCCUUCUCUCAUCUGCGCUGUUCCAUUGCCUUCUCUCCCUACGGUCACUUGGUGUGGCUUGAGAUUGAGUUGGAGCAUGACUAUGUUGCUGGCUAAAAGGGAUUUGUGAUGACCCAAUGUUAACAUUGGGAGAGAAACUGUCAUAAGGAAAGUUAUGAUGGCUAAAGUAUUCGGGAGACUGACUAUAUGGAUUAUUAUUUGAAUCCAUAGCAAACAGAUUGGUUGAAAGGAAGAAGGAAAGAAGAGAACCAGCAGAAGAGAAAUUAGAGAUAGGUAAAAAGAAGAAGUAGAUAAUUAAAAGAUAGGAGUUAAAGAGGCUUUGGUUUGAGGUUUAUAGAGUUAAGUCUUAGCUAAGAAUUACAUACCUCAGUCAAAUCACUAGUAAUAACACUCUAAAACCAAAAAACCUAUCAACUCUCAUUAACUACAUAGUAAUAUUCUUAAAAUAAGGAAAUUUUUGUAGUUCUUAGAUUCUUAAUAUUCUUCAAUUUACACCAAGACAAUACAAUUCAUUAAACAGUACAAUUUACAGCUUGAAUUUACAACAAACUAUGACUAACCAUUAGACAAUACAUUUUACACCAAGAACCACGCAAUUCAGGAAAAUCUGUUGUAUUAACUAUUUAGCUUCGAUUAACUAUAUAGAAAGUGUGACAUAGAUGUAAGUUUGGAGAUAAUGCUGCUAUGUGGUUGAUUAUACGAAUGAGUAUUCCCUGGUUUCCUCACCUUCAAUCCUCAGAAACAAAGGAAAAAGCGUAUGUUAAGGAUUCUGUUUACAGUAAAAUCAAAUGCAUCAUGUUUAGAGUAAAAUCUAAUGCAUCAUGUUUAUAGUAAAAUCUAAUGCAUCAUGUUUCGAGUAAAAUCUAAUGCAUCAUGUUUACUGUAAAAUCAAAUGCAUCAUGUUUAGUUGUUUACAGUAAAAUCAAAUGCAUCAUGUUUACAGAUAAAUCAAAUGCAUCAUGUUAAGAGAUCAAAUCAGAUGUUUAUGUUCAUGUUUACAGUAAAUUCAGUUUCCAUUCCAUAUGAAAACAAUGAAUAUCAUCAGAAAAUCAUUUGUAAACCUAAAUUUCUUUUAACAUAAGUCACUAAACCUACAUCGACUUCCAAAAGAAAUUCCUACUAAGACUCCCAAACCAAAUAUCAAACUGACAACAUAUCGAAAUCCCCUUUCAAAAUAGUUUAAAGCAAUAUAUCUAACUAAACCCUAGAAAUGAAAACUUCUUCUUAUUCGAUUCGAUUCAGUUCGGCUUGUCAGAGACAAAUGAGACGGUGGGACAGAAGAGACGAUGACAUAGAGGAGACGGUGAGAAGACAUACCUAUCGGAGACAGUGGAAACGGUGAGGAGUCGGUGAGACAGAGCAGACGGUAUUUGUGACGGUUAGACAGAGGACACAAUUAGGAGACAGUGAGACGGAGCAGACGGUGAGGAGCGAGUAAUUAAAAAAAAAAAGUCUAAAGUAUUUCUCAUCAAUAACAAGAUGAUAUAAAAAAAAAUGGAAACUUAAAUUCAAUUUCAACUUUCAUAUAUCAAAUGACGGAUAUGAUAUAAGAAUAUGAAAUUUAAAUAGCAAAAGUAAGUUUCAAAUUACUUAAAUAUUUCAAAUAUCAAGAUAAGAAAUAACGAAUAUGGGAAGAGAACGGGGUAUUUAGAAAACAAAAAUUAUAAUCUUAACUAUUUCUAAUAAAAUACAGAAGGAAAUUAUGGGUAACGGACAAGCAGAAAACAUAUUAUUUAUUCAUGUGGGUGGGCCCAAAUAUUUAAUUUGGUUGCAGAACGUGCAUAGUGAACGAGUUUGACUCUCUUGACAUCUAUAUUUCGGUCAUUUUAUUCAAAAUUUUUAAUAUUUUUCAUUUUUUAUAUGGUGUGAUAGUUCACGAAUUUAAUUAAUUUCUAAAUUAUCACUAAUCCGGUUCACACUCGAUAUGGGUCUCAUAUCAUGUCGAUCCGAAUAUAUAUUGAAAAUUUUAUAAUAAAUUUUAGGUUUUGAAAUCAACCCUGCACGUACGUGCAGGUCCAUCCCUACUAUCAUAUAAAGUGAGUAAGCUACAUAUAUUUAAACAUAUUUGAAUGAUAACAACAUAGUUAAAGAAAAAACAUUAAAUAAAUUAGAAUAUUAUGUUUGCAUCUACUGUUGAGAGAAAACUACCGUUCAUAAAUCAAAUUUAAAUUUUAGUUUUUCAAGACAUUUUUAUUAUUGAUUUAUAUAAUAAAUAUUUAUCAAAUUGACAACAAACGAUUGUCAAAGUUAUUUUUGGUACCCAAAAAAAAUCUUCCUAUGAAUCACAGAUUAAAUCGUAUGUAGUUCAUAUAUAUAAAAAAUAUUUAUUAAUUAUCAUAGAAGAUAAUAAAUAAUGUUUUUUCUUGGUAAGAAAUAAGACAAAUGGUUUUCUGUCAUAUAGAAAGUAUAUCGGUGACUGAAAAAGAAAAAUAGAAAUAAAUAAAAUAGCAAACAUAUAAGGGAGAAAAUCUUCAUAAAUAUAAAACAAAUCUGGUCAUAAAAUGAAUAUAUCAAUCAUGGUAUCCAUUCUAUUAAAUCUAUGAAAAAUUACACAACACAAAGGCCAACGAGAUUGAUACAAUUCUCCUAGUCCUUCUUAAGAAUGCAAAGCAUAAAUCAUAGAACAUAAAUGUCAACACCAUUAAUCCAAACAUCUUAAUCUGAAAACAAUUUUAAAAACGAUGAGAUUAAAUUAGAUAAUAAGAUAAUAAAUUUUUGAUAAGAUCACUCUCUCAUCAUGAUGAUGGGGGCUCCUGCUUCCACAGCCUUGAUUCUCUCUUGGAUAAGUUUGAGCUUCUUGUCAACCACCUCGGCUGCUUUAAGCAGUUCCUCUGAACAAUCUGAUUCGGUGGUUAUAUCAUUGGUUGAAGCCAUUAUCCCAAGAUUCAUAGCACGAGUAUGCCUCUUCUCCCUCUCCAACUUCUUCUCUGCGUCCUGAAUCAUCUUCUCCAUGAGAUCCUUUUGGUCCAUCAUGUAUUUGAUUUGUUUCUCAACUGGAAGCUCGCUUAACCUUUGAAGAAGAGAACGAACCUCACUUAUGUUUGGCCAGAGCUCAGGACCAUCCUUGUACUCGCUGUAAAUGAUAGCACAAGCGGGUAAACCACAAAGGAUGGUUAAUUCACUGAUCUUUUUCAGUAAACCAUCUUUGCGUUUUCGAAAUGUAACUCGGCGAGUGGCGUUGUCGGUGAUCAACUGGUGUGUAACUUUUCUCCUACCCAUCGUGAAAAAAAAAGUUUGAAGAAGAAGGAGAGGAGGAUUUGUGUGGUUUCAGAUACUAAUGGGUAAAAUGUUAUAUAGAUGACUUCUAACGUUGACCUUUUUCUACUAGGUCCACAGAAGAUAUUUCAACACAUUGAAAUAGGUAUGUUUUAAUAUUAAAACAAAUUAUAGAAAGGUUGUUACAGAAAAAUACAAAUUAAAAUUAAGAAAAAUAAUAGCUAUAUAUGAAAGCUUUCUAUAUAAGAAGACGUAUAUCAAAAGAAGUUUAUUUUAUUUUAUUAUGUGUCUUUUAUUGGUUAGUCUAGUCAACCUCAAAAGAAGGGAGGUAAUAUUUUCCUAUUAUUGUCCCCAUAUACACAUGUAAAAAGGUUUGAACUAUUUUUUGGUUUCUUACACUAGACCAAUUAGAAAGUUGAUUUGACAAGUUGUAGUGAUGAGUUGUAAAUCAAGUUGUAAUGUUAAUACAAAUUUAUUAUACUAACAACAAAAACAUAAUUUAUCAUACCAGUAGGGUAAAUGGCAUAAGUCAGUAAACAUUUUAAUUGAUAAUCACGAAAGCCUAUGUAUGGACAAACAAAGUAAAGCUUAUCGUUUCUAUGAUUUCACCUAUAUAUUAGGCUGUUGUGACUAUGGAUAUCAAAGGUGUGCAUAUUUGUAAAUCCCUACUUACAAAUCCUGAGGUAUAUGAAUCCUUUCAGGAUUGUUGAGCGGGUUAGUGUCGAUCCCUAAUUGUAACACCCCUGUCUGAAAUUUUGUUAGUGUUGAUCGACACCAACAAAUUUCGGUUUGACCUAUUUGUUUUAAAUUGCAAAAUUGAUUUGGGUUGGUUUCACGAAACCCUAAGGCUCGUUUUAAAAGAGAAAACUUGAAGCCUUGAAGGGUUAUCAACCACUUUAUUCUUUUAGAAGAGUGGAAAAAGUUCCUAAGUUUCUUGUGAAGUUCUGUGGGAUUUUAGAGAUAUUUAGGUGUUGUUCUUGAGAGUUUUGACUAAAGGAAAGGAAGAUUUUGGGGCUGUGCUGUUAAGAGAGUCUUGUGUUGCCUCUAAUUGUGUUGUUUCCUUCAUUGAUAGUUCUAUAUCAAGGUGAGUUCCUGACCAUGGGUUAUCUAAGCAUUAAGAUUGUGUGAUUUUUGUUUAUUUGAUGUGUGGAGUAAUUUUCCGUGAUGUUUUAAGUUUUUCUGGUGUUUGUGUGGCCUUGUGUGGCUGUUCCUUGGUUGUGUCGGAGUGGGAGAUGAUGUGGUUGUGAUUUUAAGGUUCUCUGGUGGAUGAGAUUGUCAUUGGAUGUGUUAUAGGGUGUGGGACACCAGGCUUUUGUUCGCGGUGCAUUACCGUGGUCGUGUCGACCGACACCAGUUGUGUGUGUCGACCGACACUAGUUGGUGUUGUCAAUCGGGUAUCGACCGACACAAGUUUUCUGUGAGCGCAGUUUGUGUUUUUGAUUGAUUGGUUUGGCUGUUUUUCGUAUUAAUAUGUGAUCAUGAUCUUAAUUACUAAUAUGUAUAGCCCAGUAGAUAGGAGGAUCGCUUCACUGAGUAUUUGUGAUAAAGCCCACGUAUCUCAUUGUGUUUGUGAUGCAGGUAAAGUGUGACGUAGAUUCAUGGCAAUGAGGAGGAGGACGAUCUAGGGUCUCGGUUAUUGUGUUUAUGGUUAUGUUAUGUUGUUAGAACCUGGAUUAAAAACAUGCUAGGCGGUUAGUGUAAUUUAUGGUUAUAGAAUGAUUGGUUAAUUAAUAUUUGAUUACUUAGAGUUGGUUUUGUUGUUUCCGAUGUGCAUGAUGGUUUAUUUAGAUAAUUGCUGGAUAUUUGAUGGUUAAAUGAUAUUUGUUUAUUGGAUUGGUUUCCGGUUUAUUUCUUCCGUUGGUUUAGUUGGUUAAAUUGUGAGACCUCGGUUUGCGGAGAGGUUUAAAUGAAUUUAUUUGGCCAUCUAUGUCACCAAAUUGCACUUAUCUUUUCGGUCAAAGGUCCUGAGAGAACUCAAGAGUUAAGCGUGCUUACACUAGAGUAGUCAAAGGAUAGGUAAACAUCCAGGAAGUGGUUAUAGGAACUGUGUGAGUGAGGCCAAACAGAGGGGAAUAUCAAGUGGUGAUUUGUAGGGUCGGUAAAUAAGUUUUCAAGCCUCCCGGACGUAGCAAAACGACCGUCGAGUAUGGAUGGGCUCGCAGGCCUAACGAGAGGAUGUGAGACCCAUUAAGAGGGGUGGGCCCAUGGGCUGAGAGGGAACAUGAGAUCCUUUGAAGAGGUGACGGUCGGGGCGUUAGAAGUGGUAUCGGAGCCGAUCCCAGACGGGUGUGGAGUCAAAUCGGCUCACACCGUCAAGGGUGACGGUCUUGGUGCACAACGAGGACGUUGCGGCAUGUUAGUGGUGGAGAAUUGUGAGUUCCUGAUUUGAUAAGAGGUUUAAAUUAAUUAAUUUGGGCCAUUUGGCCACCUAUGUCACCAAAAUGCACUUAUCUUUUCGGUCAAAGGUCAUGAGAGAACUCCAGAGUUAAGUGUGCUUAUGCUUGAGCAGUCAAAGGAUGUGUGACCUAAAACCGAAUACUCCUUCGUAUUUUACUAUCUUAUUAUUUUGGCCUUUGUGUAAUGGCCUAAGGCCCGUUGGUAUACAUCCAUAAAGAUGACCUUAGAAAAGAGCCACCAAAAAAGUGGGCUUAACCGGACGUUUCAAAACCAGAACAGAAAUGGAUAAAUCAUGAAACUUUAAGAAAUCUAUAAUUGUUAUAAUCAUCUUUUUCAAACUAAACCAUUUCUAAAUUGAGAACCGAAUAGAUUUCCAAAAUACAUAUAAUACAUUUAUAUCUAUAAUAUAGGCAAACAUUAGUUACUUUUUCUUUUGGGGUUAAAAAACAAAAGUUACAUAAAGUUAGUUUCUUUUGUCAGUAAUCUACAUACAUUAAAGAGAAAAUUGUAGGGAAUGACAUGAACAGUGAUAAAAGUUAUUUGGAAUGCCAUUUUCCAAAACUUCUUUCAAAACAUGCCAUAAAAGCCAUGUAAAAAGACUAUGUUAUCCUUCUCCUCAAUGAAAAUCUCAAAACACAAUUGUUUUCUUUUCUUUCAUUAUCUCUCUCUUCUUCUUCAUCUUCAUUUUUUUUUCUUAUUCCAACAACAAACAGUAUCGACGGACCAGAUCCGACGGACGAAUUCCGACGGACCAUAUCCAACAGACGAACUCUAACGGACCAGAUCUGGCGGACCAUAGCCAAUUCCGGUGUACUGUAACCAGUUCCGUAGACCAGUUUCGGCAGACCAUAUUCGACAGACUAGUUCCGACAGACCAUACAGUAGACGAGUUCCGGCAGACCGUAGUCAGUUCUGGUGAACUAUAACCAGUUCUGGCAGACCAGAUUCGGCGAACCAGAUUCGACCAACCAGAAAGACGAGUUACGAUAGACGAGAUCUGGCGGACCAUAGUCAGUUCCGACGAACUUCAACCAGUUCCGGUAGAGCAGAUUCGGUGGAUCAGAUAGACCAGUUCCGACAGACGAGAUUUGAUGGACCAGAUCUGAUGGACCAGAUCUGAUGGACCAGAUCUGAUGGACCCGAAUCGGUACACCAAACUUGUCUAUCCUACAGAUCUCUUGAAACCACAAAUAAUUGAGUAGAAGAUGAAACAAGUGAUACAUCUAUGGAAGAUAUCCAUCAAAGAUCUAUCUAGAUGUACACUUUGGAUCACACAUUUGUGUGUAGAUGGACUAGAUUCGGUGGACUAGAUCCAGUGGACCAAAUCCGAUGUAUGUAAUAUGUUCAUUUUUGUUUCCUAAUUUGUUGUCCAUCAUACGUAUAUAGCUUUGAAAGAUGUUUGUGGCACGUUUUGAAAGAUGUUUGUGUCCAAAACUCACUCAACAAUGUUGAGGGAAAAAUCGUCCAAGCUUCUCCCUUUGUGGCAUGUUUUGAAAGAUGUUUUUCAUAAUGACAUAAUAACAACUUUGAGUUUAAAAAAUGGCAUAGCCUACAAAAUUCCCUACAUUAAAAGCUUAAUAGAGCAAAAACCCAAGAACAUUAUUUAAGAUAAAGACACGGUUCGGAAUACACUUUGCGUGAGUUAUUAUUUUAUUUUUUUUGGUCGACCAUUUAAUUUUAUUAAACAGAAGGUAAGUUACAGAAGGAUUUAAACAUUACACGUAUACAAAAGCUAACAGUGUAGAAACUAAAUUUAGCAAUAGACACGUGUUCUUCUUGGCCACGUCACGUAUCUUGAGGAAGCACACCACCGUAAGCUUUUGCCGAUGUCUUCACGAUUCCGAUCAAGCUUCUUAGAUUGAUAGAUUCAUCCUUUGCUUGAUGGAGAACUUUUUUCCUUCUGUCAAUUUUCUUCUGCUGAUCUCAGAUCCUUCCAAGAGAUAUGUCAAGUUUUUCUGGUUUCUAGAAUAAAACUCUUCAAAUCUUCUCCAAAGAUCAUCAACUCCGGGAAGCUCCACCACCGAAUACAUCAAAAUUUGAUGCAAUUCUUUUCUUUGCUCUUAUGAUAUGAGCAAAAUAAAGCGAUGAAGAUAUUACUCCACAAAUAGUUGAAGAGAUUGAAGAAAAAUUUGGAAGGAUAAUCAGAAAACUUUGACUAAAAGAAAACACAAAUGGAUUAGAGAUCUAGAUCUCGCUAAGAAACCGGACUUAGCCGGUGCAAAAAUCCAGAACUUAGCUGGAAAACUAUUUUAUAAGAUAAACUCCGGUGUACCAGAAUUCUCCUUCUCUCUCUCAAAGAUAGAAAAGCGAUAAGAGAGAGAAGUUUCUCACGUGAGUUAAAAUUAUAUACCUAAAACACAUUAGAAAGAAAUAAAAAAAGUUACAUAAAAUAAUCAAAAAUAACUAAAAGUCAUCUAAAAGUUAUAUAUGUCAAAAUUAAAAUAUAUAUAUUUUUUAAAUUAAACCAGUCCGACCUGGAACCGAACAUGAACCAAUCCGACCGGAUACAUAUACAACCAAUAAUCAUUUCCAAACAUAAACCUUGUCGACGUCUCUUCUGGGUUUUAUAGUUUCAGACAAGAAAAAAGAAUUGGAAAUUGCAAUGUGGAGGAGUUGCUUACGCGCCUCCUCUUCUCGUCACCGUUUCUCUACUCUCUUCUCUUCCCAAACUCUUAAACCCUUCAUCUCCUAUCCUCCUCCUCCCUCGCCGUCACCAUCGCCGCCGUGUUUCCCCUCUCUCCGGCGAUUCAUCUCUACUGGCCCAGAGUUACCAAUUGGGUCUCAAGAUAUCAUCCCCAGCGAUGAUUCUUCUUUACCUGUUCUCGCCGUCGUAAAUUUCCUCGACGGGUUUCAUGAAUUCACAGGAUUGCCUUGGUGGAUGAUUAUUGCAUCUUCUACUGUUGCUGUUAGAUUAGCUUUGUUGCCUUUACUUAUACUUCAACUUAAGAAAUUGAAGACCAUUUCUGAGUUGUUACCUCAAUGUUAGUACCAUUUCUCUAAUUUUUUGGUUUUGUAGUUGUUAGGGAACAUGGAAUUGAGGCUAAAGUUAAUCCCUUUAUGCUAGAUUUAGUUGUUUCAAUGGGACUUGUAUGCAAGUGAUUAUGUCAAGUUAGAUAAGCGUUGCUCUAGAUAGUGGUGAUUGUGAUGCAUACUAUGUGAUUGGUUCUGUAUAUUCUUGAUGAAGUUAAGAAGCCAAUCCUAAUGUUUCAUUUACUUACAGUGCCUAUGCCGAUCCCAGAGACUCCAACAUUAAGAGGGUCUAUUGAUCAGUUUUCUCGUUUUUUAAAAGAGAGUCGAGCUAUUGGUUGCCCUUCGUUUUUGUGGUUCUUCCCAUACUUAUCGGUCCAGGUAAAAAGACCUCUCUUUGUGAUGUUUUCUACACUCUGUGUUGGUAACAAUACCAGAUACUAGCUCGAACGUUAUAUUUGCAGCUCAUCUCUUUUUUUCCCGUAGUAAGCGAAGCUAUUGUGAAAAUCUGAACAAGAACACUCGUGCUUUAUAAAUCUUGGGUCUCGUAUAGUCAUCUUUGUUAGACACUCUGUUGACUACUUCACUUGGAAAUUAUUCUUUUUAGAUAUCAGCUUUCUAUUCGUUUUAGUUCUCUUUGAAUGUUUCCUUGUUGCACUUAUAUGUAUCGAGCUUCCAGUGAGAGUGGUGGAUGAUUUUAAAUUAUACAUCAGUACAUAAAGAGUUUUGAGAUCGAACUAGUAACUAUAUGGAUGUAAUAUGAAAUUCUGUAUGAAAAAGCCAACCUUUGAAUUCUUUGAUCUUGGGUUCUCAUCAUGUGACACAUUUGUCAGUGCGCUAGUUUUUGCCAUUUUCCUUUGGAUUUUCUUCUCUAAAGUAUGUUUUCGCCCCCUUGUGGUUUUAAUUUGCGUGGUUGGUUGGAGUCGUAUGCAGCUUCUUUAUUAGAACUAAUCGCCCCAAUUGAACUUUGAUUCUGCUUUACAAUCACAGUUGAUUUUUUUUGCAGAAAAAUCCAUAUCGUAUAUGUUUUUAUAUCUGUUUGAUAACACCUUCUCAUGUUACUUGAUCUCUGGCUUUCUUUAUAAAUGAUAUGGUGUUUUCUAUGUUGAAACAUUUAAUAAAUAGUUAAUGUGUUUCCAUCAUAUUCAUUCUCACUUACCCAUUUGCUUUCCUCAUCUGCAGCUCCCAUGCUUUUUCUUGUUGAUGGCUAGCAUCCGGAAGAUGUCACUAGAUGGUCAUCCUGGGUUUGAUUCUGUAAGUUGAGACUGCACAAGAAUAAUUUGUAUAGUCACAUAGUUGGUUUAAAAAUCUGCUAGCUUGUGUCAGGUGGUACACUAGCAGUUUCCCUGGUGAUUUUGGUUUCUUUUGUCGAGUUAGAAUAUCUAUCUGGGUCUGUGUUAGCAAGUGGCGAUUGAUGAAUAAUGCCAGUAUAGAUGGCUGCUAUCUGAGUUGACAAGAGUAGGCUAAAUCGGCGUUUUUAAUGUUGACAAGACUUGUUAUAUUGCUUGUAUUUUUCCUUUGUAUUUUAUACCUGAAGUACAGUUUUUUUAGGACAUGUGACAUAUAUGCUCAACAUUAUUUGUGACUUGUUUUCUAUUUGUAUAAUUUUUAGUUUCGUUGUUGUACGUAGACUCUCAUAUGGAAUCUAGAUCUUAGUACUAGGAUUGAGCAUAUCUGAUCUGAAUAUGUCCUUUAAUAUUCCCUGAUGUUGCUUUUGCGACUGACCUGUUAUCUUUUCUUUGCAGGGUGGUGCCUUGUGGUUCCAGAAUUUAAGUGCUCUUCCUGGUGGCUCUUUUGGACCAGUCUUUCCAAUUUUGAUUGCUGGCUUCCAUUACAUUAACAUACAGGUUAUUGUGACUACUUGUUAUUCAAAUAUGUGUCGAUGGAUCAUACUAACCUUCUUACUUUCAGAAUUUAUUUGUUCUGCAUACUGUUACCAUAGAGUAUUCAAAUUAUAGGUUACAUUUUUAUAUAUGUAUACUUCUAACUUUGAAUUUUUCUCCAGAUUUCUUUUGAUUCUCCCACAAUUCGUCAAACUACCGGCUUGACCGGGAUGCUCAUGAGAGUGAGUUGAACAAGUCUUAUUUGCAGCCUUGGUUACUUACGUCUUACGCAAUUUUGUUUUGUGUGCUUGGAGCACUAAUUAUUUCUACCAUGAAAAUUGGUAUUGUUAGUGAUAUUACUAAUGCCAUGUUUCAGUAUGCUAUUAAUAUUAGAUUCAUGCGUCCAGAAUCUCAAAACUGUACUUGUUUUUGUUUUGCAGUAUUACAAGUUAUAUCUGGAGAUCUUGAGUGUUCCUUUGUUUUUUGUUGGCUAUGCUAUACCACAUGUAAGUAAUUUUAUCCAUCUCUCUCCGCAGUAUAAUUUACUCUACAAAUCUGUUGGCCGUCUUAUUCUUGUCUAAAUAUUCAUCUUUCAGACUUUUGGUUAUUUCUCUACCAAUUUCCAUACCUUCUUUCUUGUUUCUUGUCUUUCUCUACCAAUUUCCAUACCUUCUUUCUUGUUUCUUGUCUUUAAACGUGUUCUUACUUCUUUUUAUGGGUCAGUGUGUGCUGUUUAUUUGACUCUACUUCUUUUGUUCAGUUUAUUCUAUAUGUUUUCUUCCAUAAAACGUUUUCCCUAGAGACUCUGAAUUGUCCUUCAUUUUUGCUUCUCAUCUUACUUCGGCAGAGUUUUAUGUAUAUGGAACCAGAACUAAUGCUUCUGUUUUUCUGAGCCAUUUUUUUAUGAGCAUUUUCUUCUUUUUCAGGGAAGUCUUGUCUAUUGGGUAACCAACAGCUCAGUAAAUAUAUUUCAGGUAUGCUCCCUUGUCUCAUUUCAGAAUUCGCAGUAGAAGAUGCGGUUCUUUGUUUUAUCUUCCCAGUAUCGAGGAAUGGGGAAUGAUGGUAGUUAGCAUUAAAAUAAAUCAAAUCGAAGAAAACUUCUCUUGCUUGUAUGUUGUUUCUGCAACUGAAGAUUAAAUACCAAACUAAAGUGUUAAAAUAGACAGAUAGGUUGUUCCUCUGUGUAGACUCAAUGCAAUUAUGUUGAUGAGAUCUAUUUAGUGACUGCACUUGCUAAAAAUAACAGAUUCAAACAUUAAAAGAGAGUUGUCUUAGUGGGUUCACCAGUGAUUUAGUUUUUGAUUUUAAAGAUAGUGAAAAGAAAAACUUGCUAGCAACUGCACUGGGGGCUCAUAUAAAGAAUUGACUCUUUGUCGAGGUUGUUAAUAUGUGUAAAGUCCUCACGAGAAAUCUCAAAUCUGCAGCAAUUAUCUCUCAAGCACCCUAUGGUAGGAGCAAAACUUGGUUUACUGGGUCAGGGAGCCUCUUCAAGCGUUGGGCAUUCCAUGGAGAUCAGCGAGUCUGUGAUCAAGUAUGUGGACUCUAACUCACAAGAGCAGACCCUUUCUCUACAGACUUUAACACCAGAAGAACUUCUUUCUGUAAGUAGUUGGACAAUGUAUUCCUAUUGAUCAUGUAAGCCUGUAUGUUUCAAUUUUUCUUAUGUGGGGAUUUGGUGUCAGCUUUCAGUUCAGGUCUUGUCAAACGGUGAUCAAGAAACAUCCAUUCAGUUGCUUCGGUGUGUAUUUCUAAAGAGUAUCUUCCUGAUCAUCUACUAUUCUUUACCUUCAUGUCUAGCGAUAUUCACUUCAUGUGUAAAUUAUUCUUUUCAGAUUAGCUCUUGAAAAGGAUCCUGGAUAUGUAAGAGGUUUGGUUCUCAUGGGACAGGCUUUAUUGCAGAAGACGCAGUUGGCAGAAGCUACUCAAUAUUUGGAGCUUGCUAUCUCCAAGGUUAGAAUUCUGCUGCUUACUUUUUUGUACGUUUACACUUACCAAUAUUACUUUCUUAUUGACUGUGUAGUAAGAUUAAGAGCUUAAGAAUCUUUCACUAAGCAGCACACUUCUUUUGUUUUUCUCUCAGCUUCUUGAUAGCGAUCCAUCUGAUCCUGAGGAUGUUGAACUUUUAAUGCUUGCAUCUCAGUGGGCUGGUGCUGCAUAUGUGCAACAGGUACGACCGAUAAUCAUUUUUGAAAACGACUGUUAUGAAAGUGUCUCAGGUCCUGAAUCGGAUGUCAAUUGUUAUAACAACUUCUUCGCGUAGUUUCAAUUUGACCAAAAUUUAAGAGACUACCUAUUGUUAUUUUCUUGCUCUGCAAAUUUUCGUCACCUAUAAUGGUGGAUUUGGUUGGAAGUUGAGAUUUGGUGUUUCUGGCAGGGAAAAAUGAAAAGUGGUAUUACACACUUGGAAAGAGUAGCGAAACUGCAAGAACCCGGUGAUCUUAAAAGCAAAGAGCAUUACUUUGAGGCAUUGCUGCUUCUUUCAAGGUACUCUAUGACAGCAGAAUAGAAGUUUCACUAUGGAGAGUUUAGAAAGUAGAUAGAGAAUCAUAUAUAUGACUAAAUCCCGCGCAAUUGAAAACAAAAAGCUUUUGCCAUUGCAGUGCUUUGUACAAAGAAGGGCAGAGUGAUGAAGCUGCAAAGAUUCUACGAGUAGUAGUGGAUCACAAUCCAGCUUACAAGCCUCUGCUUCAACAAUGUGAAGAUGAGAAUGAGCUGGUUAGUGAUCUUGUCAGUCGCAGGAAGGACCAUUACUGAUUCUCUCCACUUUUACUUGUAAGUAUUUGAAUACUAUGUGUAACAUUCAAAAGUUCAUGACCUUGCAGGUUAGUAAUAGUGUAAAUGUGUAAAUCCAUCAAUGGAUAUUAGAAAACAUUCAAAACAAAUAAAACUGAUCAGAACCAAAAGUCGCAAUAAAAGUACAUACAAAGUUGAGGUUUAGUACACAACACUUGUUUAAGACUUUUGAGUCAUGAACCUACUACACAAACACACCAUCAAACUAGAUUAUUCCGAUAGCAGACAUGAGGAAGCGAAGUCUAAGACUAACAUAUGCAAUAUCAUGAGUGUCCAACUGGUUUAAACUUGAGCGACUAGGUUCCACCACGCCAGUGAAGACAUAGAGAGCUUGAAGCUCCUCUGCAUAUGUGGCACUCCUUGCAACACUGUAUCCUACUACCUUCCUCAAUGCCUCCAUCUUCUCCCAUAUCUGAUCUUCACUAUACACCUGCAAAUCCAAAACCAUACAUACUUGGAUUACUUGGACUCUUACCUUUGAAAAUCGAACGUAAUGCAGAACAGUUGAUCGCAAUCAGAGCCAUGUUCUUUGUAGCUCAACUUUAAAAAAUUCAUUUGGAUCCCCCACCACAAUUUUCAGAGAUUAGUUAAAAAUGUUACUACAUACAUGCCUAACUAAACAAUGGACUCUACUAAAAUAGCAUCACAUACGAAAAUACAUCAUAUCAAGAGCAGAUUCAAGACAUCUCUCACCAAAACAUUCUAAACCAUGUCUAGCUAAUGGCACAACACAAUAUUAGCAAUGAACGAACAGAGUCUUCCCUCUAAAUUAAACAUUCCAGAACAUGACAUAUUAGAAACCGGUUACCUGCACGCCCGGUUUUCUUCUUUUUCUUAGUUGUGUUUUUUCGUUUCUCGUCCCCGGUUCCAUGUGCCCCACUAGCUUGGUCUAUCGGCUGAACCAUUAGUCAAGAGAUCAGAGAAUGAUUUUACAAUAAUUCCCAGUCAAUUAUAUAGCACCAUUGGCACUAGUCAAUGAAAAGACUAGUCCAUGACCUUAAUAACUAGAGGACAUAACCACCACAGAAAGAAUUAUAACCACAACAAUAUAGAUGUAACAGUGAAAAUUAAUAGCUAUUGACCAAUAAGAUUAAAAAUGUGUUGCAAGCAACUAGUCAACGACCAUCUCGAAUACAUGCAAAUUACAAACUUAGCAUGGAUUUAUCCAGUACUUAACUAGAGGCAGGGGAUAUUUCUAGAUGUUAUCAUGCAGCUACUAACUCACAAGAUGAUAGGAUUUAGUAUAAACCUCAUUCGAAGAUGUUUCCUCAUCAUCCUUGCCAGUAGAAGUUUCAGUUUUAGUGCUCCCAAGUUCACCUGCCAAAAACCUUAAACAUCAGUAAACUAUUUUACAUAAAAUAAAAUUUCAUACAGUGAUCAUAAUGAAACAACAACCUUCACGUCCAGUUUCAGGCUCUUCCGGCUUUUCAGGCUGAUCUUGAACCUCCUCUGACGACUUGUCAUUUCCGGACUUUUUAUCAUCUUGUAAGUCUUUCUUCUCAGAGGUUUCUCUAUCAUUUCUACCCUCAUCCCUAAUUUUCUCUAGCAAGCUCGUUGACUCUUUCGCCAUAUCCUUAUCUUCCUCAACCCCAAUGGGAACCGGUUCAUCCGAAUCCCUGAAAAGUGCAGCCUCACCAACUCCGGCCGCAUCUUCACGGUGACCAAUCUUGCUGUACUCAUCAAAUCCAGAUUCAUCAUCUUUGUCAACUCCACUCGUUUCUUCAGUAUCAGGAGGAAGAAGACUACUCAUGACCUUUUGAGUACAAGCAUAGUUAGCCAAGAAGAGACAAAAAGGAACAGAGGAGAGGAAGGCUAUGGUAGAGGCAACAACAAGUGAAGGAACAAGAAGUGGAGCUGAAGACACUACAACACCAGCUGUUAGAACCUUCUUCCCAACACUUACUGCCUUACUCCAAAUCCAACCUCCUUUGUUCUCUUCACUCUCAUUAGAUUGAUACUCCUCCAUUGUCCGACUCAUGGUUCUGUCUUCAAUUCUGCCAUGAAGAAUCAUUUGUUUGGACUCAAAACAUACUUAAGAGGAAACAAGAACAUGCAUGCAGACCAAACAAACUUCACGCAAGCACAUUUACAAAACAUCAUCAAACUCCACAAUUUCAUCAACUUUAAAGAAAAACAAACAAAUUGUAAAGAAACCAAACCUUAUCAGUUAACAUAUGAAACUAAGGACAAGAAAGAAACAAACCUGUUUAGGUUGCGGCAAGUUUGAAAGCAAAGAACUCAUGGCAGAUUCAGUAGCAAAGUUGAGGAGAGAAUAAGGACCAGAGACGGAGAGAGAAAGAGAGGCAAAAUUUUGUGUGUGUGUGUGUAGACAAGUUGGAGAAGAACACAAAGAAACAAAGUAACACGCGUCGAGGAAACAGAAACUGAAGGUUGCAUGGUUUUGUGUCGCAACGUGGCUCUUGCUUCCUUUCUCUCUAUCCACUUGUUCUUAGUCCUGUGUGUUUUAUGCAGAGUGAAAAAAGCUUUGGGUUUAUAAUGUAAACUGUUGUGAUUUGAGUAAAUAUUAUGCGCAAACCAACUAUGUUACCUUUAGAACAGGCUGGUUCAAAAUUAUUAUGUUUACUUGUGAUUUACUUUUUUGCCAAAAAUAUAAGGUUCUGUUGAAGUCUUUUUUUUUUUUCUUUUGUAAAUUGUUUUGGCCAAUUUUGUAAUGAUAAAUUAAUGUUUAAAACAUACACAUCAUUUUAAUAUACACAUGUAUCUUAAAAAUAUCGUUUCACUAUAUUAUUUGUUCGACUCGAUUAUAAUGAUUUCAAAUGCUUAACAUUAUUUAUCAGUGGUUUAGUUUGUUUGUUUUCGUCUUUAAUUUUGUAUAAAUUUGAUAUCGUCGUAAAUUGUAUCUCUAUACUGAGUAUUGAAGAUCAAACCAAGUGAAAAAACAAAAAAAGAAUGAGAACUAGAAUCUACAAGAAUAGAGCAAGAGUAGCUAAGUUCAUCUAUUUAUAGUAUUACAUAGUUUAGUGAUUAAGUUUACUAAACUUAGAAACUGAAUCCAUAUGUACUUAAUCUAUAAGAUUGUCCAAAGAUAUGUAUAUCCAAAGGAGAUGUUUUUUUGGUGAAUAAGUAAUAGAUUAAUCAUAUAUUUUAUACAUGUUUCAUAGCAGUCCACUUUAAUUAAUAAUUAAUAUAUAUGUGCAAUAUACUGACUCGUUAAAAUUUUUAUCAUAGAAUAUACCCCGUUUAGGAUAAAAACUAUUAUAUACAGCGUAGCUAAAUGUAACGCUCCGACCGUCACCCCUCCAGUGGGCCUCAUGUUCACUCUCAUCCCAUGUACCCACCUCUCUAAACGGGUCUAACGUCCUCUCACUAGGUCCAUGAGCUCAUCCAUAUCCGACGGUCAGUUUGCUACAAAUCACCAUAUGAUCUUUCCCUGUGUUUUGGCCUCGCUCACACUGUUCCGAUGGCCACUUCCCGGAUAUUUUCCUUUGUUUGGCCUUAUUCACGAAGUUCCGACAACCACUUCCCGGAUGUUUACCCAUCCUUUGACUACUACAAAUCAUCUUGAGUUCUCUCAGGACCUUUGACUGAAAAAUAAGUGCAAUUUGGUGACAUAGAUGGCCAAAUAAAUUAAUUUAAAAUUAACCAACUAAACCAACGGAAGAAAUAAACCGAAAACCAAUCCAAUAAACAAAUAUCGUUAAAUUAGCAAAUAUCCAGCAAUUAUGUAAAUAAACCAUCAUGUACAACGGAAACAACAAAACCAACUCUAAGUAAUCAUAAUAUUAAUUAACCAAUCAUUUCGAUCACCACAAUUUACACCAACCGCCUAGCAUGUUUCUAUCUACAUUCCAACAACAUAACAUAAUCAUAAACAUAAUAACCGAGACCCUAGAUCAUCCUCCUCCUCAUUGCCAUGAUUCUAUGUUACACUUUACAUGCACCACAAACACAAUGAGAUACGUGAGUAUUAUCACAAAUACUCAGUGAAGCGAUUCUCCCAUCUACUGGGCUAUAGAAGUAAGCAAUUAAGAUCAUGAUCACAUAUUAAUAAUACCAAAAACAUCCAAACCAAUCAAUUAAAAACACAAACAGCGCUCACAGAAAACUGUCGAUUAACACCACCAACUAGUGUCGGUCGAUAACCACAACUGGUUUCGGUCGACACCACCACGAUAAUGCACUGCGACACAACCACAUCAUCUCCCACGCCGACACAACCAAGGAACAGCCACAUAAGGCCACAUAAACACCAGAAACACAUAACACAACAAGGAAAAUCACUCCACACAUCAAAUAAACACAAAUCACACAAUCUUAAUGCUUAGAUAAGCCAUGGUCACGAACUCACUUUGAUAUAGAACUAACAAUGAAGAAAGCAACACAAUUAGAGGCAGCACAAGACUCUCUUAACACCACAGCCACAAAAUCUUCCUUCCCUUUAGUCAAAACUCUCAAGAACAUCACCUAAAUCUCUCUAAAAGCCCAUAGAACUUCAUAGGAAAACUUAGAAACUUUUUCCACUCUUCUGAAAGAAUAAAAGCGGUUGAUAACCCUUCAAAGCGUCGAGUUUUCUCUUUUAAAAUGAGCUUUAGGGUUUAGCAAAACCAUCCCAAAUCAAUUUUUCAAUUUAAAACAAACAUGUCAAACCGAAAUUUGUUGGUGUUAAUCGACACUAAUAAAAUUUCAGACAGGGGUGUUACAAUUAGGGAUCGACACUAACCCGCUCAACAAUCCUGAAAAGACCCAUAUACUCGGGCGUUAUAAGUAGGUAUUUACAAAUAUGCAUACUUUUUAUAUCCAUAGUCACUACAGCCUAAUAUAUAGGUGAAAGAAUAGAAACGAUAAGCUUUACUUUGUCCAUACAUAGGCUUUCGUGAUUACCAAUUAAAAUGUUUACUGACUUAUGUCAUUUACCCUACUGUAUGAUAAAUUAUGUUUUUGUUGUUAGUAUAAUAAAUUUGUAUUAACAUUACAACUUGAUUUACAACUCAUCACUACAACUUAUCAAAUCAGCUUUCUAAUUGGUCUAGUGUAAGAAACCAAAAAAGAGUUCAAACCUUUUUACAUGUGGAUAUGGGAACAUUAAUAGGAAAAUAUUACCUUCCUUCUUUUGAGGUUGACUAGACUAACCAACAAAAGACACAUAAUAAAUAAGUAAAACUUCUUUUGAUAUAAGUCUUCUUAUAUAGAAAGCUUUCAUAUAUAGCUAUUAUUUUUCUUAAUUUUAAUUUGUAUUUUUCUGUAACAACCUUUCUAUAAUUUUUUAAUAUUAAAAAGUAUCUAGGUAAAUGUGUUGAAACAUCUUUUGUGGACCUAGUAGAAAAAUAUCAAAGCUAGAAGUCAUCUAUAUAACAUUUUACCCAUUAGUAUCUGAAACCACACAAAUCCUCCUCUCCUUCUUCUUCAAUCUUUUUUUUUCACCAUGGGUAGGAGAAAAGUUACACACCAAUUGAUCAUUGACAACGCCACUCGCCGAGUUACAUUUCGAAAACGCAAAGCUGGUUUACUGAAAAAGAUCAAUGAAUUAACCAUCCUUUGUGGUUUACCAGCUUGCGCUAUCAUUUACAGCGAGUACAAGGAUGGCCCUGAGCUCUGGCCAAACGUUAACGAGGUUCGUUCUCUUCUUGACAGGUUUAGCGAGCUUCCAGUUGAGAAACAAAUCAAAUACAUGAUGGACCAAAAGGAUCUCAUGGAGAAGAUGAUUCAGGACGCAGAGAAGAAGUUGGAGAAGGAGAAGAUGCAUACUCGUGCUAUGAAUCUUGGGAUAAUGGCUUCAACCAAUGAUCUAACCACCGAAUCAGAUUGUUCAGAGGAACUGGUUAAAGCAGCCGAAGUGGUUGAAAAGAAGCUCAAACUCAUCCAAGAGAGAAUCAAGGCUGUGGAAGCAGGAGCCCCCAUCAUCAUGAGAGAUUAGUCUUAUCAAAAUUUUUUUUAUCUUAUUAUCUAAUUUAAUCUCAUCGUUUUUAUAAUUGUUUUCAGAUUACAAUGUUUGGAUUAAUGGUGUUGACAUUUAUGUUCUAUGAUUUAUGCUUUGCAUUCUUAAGAAGGACUAGGAGAAUUGUAUCAAUCUCGUUUGCCUUUGUGUUGUGUAAUUUUUCAUAGAUUUAAUAGAAUGGAUACCAUGAUUGAUAUAUUCGGUUUAUGACCAGAUUUGUUUUAUAUUUAUGAAGAUUCUCUCCCUUAUAUGUUUGCUAUUUUAAUUUAUUUCUACUUUUUUCAGUCAGCGAUUUACUUUCUAUAUGAUAGAAAAUCAUUUAUCUUAUUUCUUAUCAAGAAAAAAAACUUAUUUAUUAUCUUCUACGUUAAUUCAUAAAUAUAUUUUUUAUAUAUGAACUACAUACGAUUUAAUCCGUGAUUUAUAGGAAGAACCUUUUUUGGUACCGAAAAUAUCGUCGACAAUCGUUUGUAGUCAAUUCGAUAAAUAUUUCAUAUAUAAAUCAAUAAAAAUAUGUCUUGAAAAGCCAAUUAAAUUGGAUUCAUGAACGAUAGUUUACUCUUAACGAUAGCUAUUUAUUUUUGUUAUUAUAUAUUAUCUAAACACAAUAUUUAGUCCAACUCUAUAUAUAGGCAGCAAUAAAAUUGAAAAAUUUAAUUUUACAGAAAUUUAUAUAUAUGCGCGGGAAGUUUAUAAUUUUUUUUAUAUUUUUAUUUUUGUAACGUUUGUUUUGUUGGUUUUUUAUUGCUAUAAUUUUUUGUUAUUUUAUUUUUCAUAUGAUUUUUUUUAAGUUUAUAUUAGUUUAAUAUUUGAAAUGUUAUUGUUAUUUGUUUAACUGUAAAUUAGGCUCAAUAGUAGAUGGUACAACCUGGUUUUACAAAAACACAAAGCAUAACUGCUUUUCUCUCGUGGGCGAUAUCAACGAGAAAAACAAGUCGUUCGUUUUCGUCACUCUUGCCAGCCAGCGUCGGCUUCUCUGGCGUCGGCCAUCAUCAUUUCUAUUUUCCAUUGUUUGAAUUUCUCUAAUUCCCUUCUUAAUCUUAGGUUUUGAGUGAAUAUAACGGCAAAUCAUGAGUAUCAACAAUAUGCUCUAUGCUAUGCGAUGAUGUUGUGUAAAGGAUUGAGUGUGUCAUUUCUCCGUAAGAGUCCGAUCUCUCUGUGGGAUCCAUCUCUGGUUUGGUUUUUGGAUCAAAUUGACCAGAGGCUUUCAGUAGAUAUGACAAAAUCAUAUCUUUUACAAUGUAGUUCCUCCCCUAUUACAUUUCAGAAGCCUUAAUUAAAUUCUUGUAACCCUCACAAACUAUUAUGAAUUAUCAAAUUAAAUAGCUCUCUGUAUGUAUGCAUUUAAUAAGUUCAUAUUGUAUAAAAGCAACAUUAUAGACUCACAUAGAUAUAAUUCUUUGCAUUUCUAUUGGCUCUCAUAUAAUAGAUAUAUUAGAGUGUGAAUUGAUUUUGAAGACAUAUCAUAACUAUUUUCUCCUUAAUAAUAGCCCUUUUUAAAAAACGUCUUUUUGUUGUGUGCAGGUGAAAAAAAUUUGUUUUACUCACCCUUGACGCCUUGUCAUUGCCACCCUGUCAUUUGACUCAUGGUCGUUGUUUCGAGAGAUGUUGAACUUGGCUAAUUUCAUAUACUUGAGGUUGACAACUUGUAUUUUUUUGUGAAUUUAGGUUGGUAUGUUCAUAGUAUCAAAGUUUGGGUAUUAAAAAACUGCUAGGAUGAAUGAAUGAAUGAAUUUUCAAUUAGUUUAAAUUAUCAUGUGCAUUAUUAUCUUGAGACAUUCUUACUAAUAACUUUUUUAUGAUACCCUCUUGCAAAACUACCCUUUUUGUUUGUCAUUUUCAUUUUUGCCCUCUCUGAAAUUUUAAUGGCAAAUUUACCCCUAGUUUAAAGAAUAUUCCUUUCUUUGGAUGGAAUAUUCUUUCCAAAAAAUUUUCCGCCAAAAAAAUUUUCCCGCCAAAAAUUUUUUGAUAUAAUUUUCCGCAAAAAUUUUCCCGCAGAAAAUAAAGAUUUUACAAAUUUUUCUGCCAAAAGUUUUUUUUAAGGGUUUACAAGGAGAUUUAAAGGAUCUUUUAAAGGAUUUAUAAGGGUUUUUAAAGGGAUUUACAUGAGUUUUAAAAUGGGGUUUAAGAGAUUUGUAAUAGUUUUUAAAGGAUUUUAGAAGUUUAUAAAGGUUUUUGAAUGGGUUUCAAAGGAAAAUGAUUUUUAAAAGAUUUUAUAAGUUUUAUAACAAUUUUUAAAGGAUUUUACAAGGAUUUUUAAAAGAUAUUCAAAUGGUUUUUAAAAAUUUACAAGGAUUUUUAAAAGGUUUUUAAAAGGAUUAACAAGUGUUUUAAAAAAGGUUUACAAGUGUUUCUAAAGGCAUUUACAAGGAUUUAAGGAUUUAAAAAUGGUUUAAAAAGGAUUUACAAGGAUUUUUAAAGAUAUUUACAAAGAUUUAAAAAUAGUUUAAAGGAUUUAUAAGGGGUUUAAAGGGUUUUAGAAGUUUACGAAUGUUUUUAAAGGGUUUACAAAUGUUUUUAUAGGCAUUACAAGGAGUUUAAAAUGGUUUUUAAGGAUUUACAAGGGUUUUUAAAAGGUUUUAGAAGUUUACAAAAGUUUUUAUUAAAGGAUUUACCACGGUUAUAAGGGGUUUAAAGGGAUUUACAAGUGUUUAUAAAUGUUAUAAAAUGAUUUACAUAGGUUGUAAAAGGUUUACUUAAGUUUCGAAAGGUUUUGGAUGAUUUUUAAAAGAUUUACAAGGAUUUUUAAAGGAUUUUAAAAUUAUUUACCAGGUUUUUUAAGGAAUUGCGGAAAAUUAUGGCUGAAAAAUUUUGACGGGAAAAUUAAUAUCGGAAAUUUUCGGCGGGAAAAUUUUUCGAAAGGAAUAUUCUUUUUGUUGGAAAGAAUAUUCCUUUCUUCAUCAUGGGUUAUACUAAAGGAGGGUAAAGUCAUUUUUUAACAUUAAAGAGGGUAUUUUUGAAAAUGGACAGCGAGAGAGGGUAUUUGUAGAAAAUGAUAUCAUAAAAAGGUUAUUUGUGCAAAUCCCCCAAUUAUCUUUUCAAGUUUUAAUAAUUUAUUUUAAACACGUUUGACUACAAUUAAUUCGUUAUUAUCUACUAUGCGUCUUUUGUUGGUUGAUUUAGUCAACCUAAAAAAAACGGAGGUAAUAUUUGCUUAUUAAUUUCCCCAUAUACACAUGUAAAAAAAACUUGAACUCUUUUUUGGUGAUUUAAAAGUUGUAUUUGAUGAGCUGUAAAUGAUGAUUUGUAAAUCAAGUUGUAAUGUUAAUACAACUUAUAUUUAUUAUACUGACAAAAAAAACAUAAUUUAUCAUACUAAGUAACUGACAUAUAACAGUAAACACUUUAAGUAGUAAUCACAAAUGCCUAUUUAUGGAUGAACAAAGUAAAGCUUAACGUUUCUAUUGUUUCAGAUACAUAUUAGGUUUUUGUGAUUAUUGAUUUUAAUGGUUUUCAUAUUUGUUAAUAAGUGUUUACAUCAAAUCCUCCUUUAAUUGGUAUAAUAUUAAAAGUUAAGGCCAAACUUUUCUACUAUAGUAAAACAUAUAAGGCAAAAAAAAUAUAUAUGUUUCAUUUAAAACAUUUCAUAAGAUCUUAUCCAAAACAUUACAUUUUUCUACCAUUGUAUUUUAAAACCCAGGAUUAUGGUUGGGCUGACAAAAAAUUCAGAUGAGAUUUUGUUAUAACAAAAGUGGGGAAUUUUUGUUUAACCCACUGUAAAAUUGGGAUAGGAAAAGACUAAAAAAUGAUCUUAUAAACAAACAUAGAAAAAUAUGCUAUUAUAACUUUUUUUUGAAAAACGUACUAGUUUGACGAUUUAUUUCAAAAACUUUUACUAAAACAUGAAAAUUAUGUAGUUAUAAAUAAUAAUAAAAUUGCAUUGAGAUACAUGUCUAAUUGCCUACAAAUCGUUUUUUUUCAUUUCUAUGACAAACAAAAAAGAUAUUUCAUUCAAUUCGUUCUAAUAAAAGAUAGUCUUAAUUAAACAGGUUAUCUCAAGUCAUUUCGCAAUAAAUUUUAUAGUUUCAUACAUUUAAUAAUGCCGAAUCCGAGCCCAACAUACAAAGAACAAAAAAGAUACAUAGUUAAAUUAGUGAACGUACCGUCUCACUGAACCAGUCCUUCCAAAUCUGCAAGUUAUCCUGACCGAUUUGAUAGAUUUUUUCUUUCUACUGUCGUGAACAAUGAGAAAACAUAAGAUAAACAUUAGAUCACCUUUUAGUUAGUGUUAGUUUCAAAAGAAAUUGCUAUCAACAAGCUAAUCGCCAACAAUACUUACAAAGAUAUUUUUGGUGCCAUUGUUAUCUUCUAUCUCUGGUGAUGCCCAAAGAAACAUAUCUUAGUUUCCAUAGAGAAGAUAUGGAGAGAUUUGGUGAUAUAAAAUGAAUGGUAGAAAAUUUAUAUGUGUAGUUACAUACCAUUUUAUUCCCGUUACGCUCUUUUUCAUGUAUGACAUGUUGAGUUUUAUUUUCUUAUUUUUUGUUUGCGACACGUGUUGUAAUCUAUUGGUAUGAAUUAAUUUUGCAUAUAAGAUUUUGUAAGAUGAAAAGAUAUACAUAUAUGGUCUAUAAUAAAUUUUUCUAUUUAACAAUUUGGAAGAAGUUAUUUCUCGUAACGCUUUUCAAUGUAUGACAUGUAAUUUCAUUUUACAAUACAUGUUGUGGUCAGUGAUCUGAUUAUAGAUUUUACUUUAUAGAUUUUACUGUCCGGGUACUGAACUUCGCGGAUCAGUCCGGCUUUGAGGAGGCGGUCCACUUCGGCAUUUACCAUGUCAGCUCGUUCUUUUCCCUGUUUCCUACGUUUUUGCCGAAUUGGCUUAAAUGCAGGAUUGACGUUCAGCUCGUGUGAUAUCACCUCGGUGCUGAUACCAGUCAUUUCGCCCAUUUCCCAAGCAAAUGUCGACUUAUUUUCCCGCAAAAAAUUAAUCAGCUCGGUUUUGAUCGUCGGGGACAAUACUGCUCCAAUCUUCACCUUCUGAUCAGGAAACAACUCAUUGAGUUGAACUUCCUCAUAGAGGUAGCUAUCCAGCUUACUUCUCACCGGAUUUUUAGCGACCUCGAACUGUGGUUGCUAUUGAACUAGAAGUUUGUGCCCGGUCAGGUAACAACUCCUGGCCGUGCGUUGGCUCCCAAGGAUCUCGCGAACUCCAUCAGGAAUCGUAAAUUUGACGCACUGGUGAUAAGUAGAGGGGACUGCUUUCAUCUAGUACAACCAAGAAGACCGGGAGAGUUAUGGUUCCUAGAGUCCCUAGUAUGACAUUGUAGGUCGUAGGUCGGUCGAACACAGUGAACUCCACCAUCUUAGAAACCCCUUGCGUAGAGACCGGGAGAGUUAUGGUUCCUAGAGACAUCGAAGUUUUGCUGGUGAAUGACACUAAUUGGGCUGGAGGUUCGGUGAUAUGAUUUUUGCCGAUCCUCAUCCGUGCAAGAGUUUCCAAAAAAGUGAGGUCUACCGAAUUCCCCGUAUCGACCAGUAUCCUACAAUCAUGGUUUGCUACGUCAAGAGUAAUGACCAGUGCAUCAUCGUGGGGAGAAUCCAGGUUCUCUGUUUCCUUUUCCGAGAAGGUUAUGUCGGGGUGAACCUCGCUCGUCUUAUGCUUUUUUGGGAUCGAACCAUUAAGCUUACUCGGGUGGUCCUUGAUGGCCUGGAUAGAAUUACGGAACAUCUGGGAUCCCCCCCCCCCCAUAAUGAUGUCGAUUUGCUUUUUGGCAACUGAGGUAUCUCCUCGAUGAGGAGUGCCUUCGGUUUCUUAGCUGGGGGAAGAUCCUCCUCUUCGGGGGCUGCCUCCGAGACGGGCUGAACUGAGUUUUGAGCUUGGUCAAGCUCAUCGAUCGUUAAGUCCGGCGUUCCGCCGCUCACAAACCUUUCCGCGAGCAAAUGCAUCAAUUUUUUUGCAGUUCCUGGUAGCAUGACCAGCAACUUUGUGAAGCUCGCAAUAGGAAUUGUCCUCCUUCCCUUCUCUGUCCACUUAUUGCUAGGGAGAGCUCCGGCCUACCCGCGAGGUUCGAACGCCGGUUUUGAAUGCGAGCCUUUGGCUCCCCCCUUCUGGUGAUCCAUUGCGAAUGUCGCUGGUUCUGGCCGGUGACCCUGAGGACCUCUCCUAGCACUUUGAUCAAAGUUCACCUUAGGUGCCACUUUGUACUUCUAGGCAAAUGCAGCCUUCUCUUUUUCCGCCACGACCCAGUUCAAAACUUGAUGUAGAGCGUCUUGUAUGCUGGAGGAGCGAUUGACUGUGAGUUCCUCCCUAGAGCGAGAUUCGUGCAAAAGUCCGUUUUUGAGAGCUGAAAAGGCCGCAGAGUCAGCAGUCCCGGGAUCUGGACCAUUAUUUCCUUAAAUUUAGUGACCUAGGACCGGAGUGAAUCAUUAAGUCCUUGACUUAAGUUCCACAGCUGGGCAUUGGUGACCCCGACGCCUAUGAAGCUCGAGUAUUGUUUGAGAAAUGUUGUGGAAAGCUGAGUAAAAUUGUCAAUUGUCCCUUCCUUGAGCAAGGCUAACCUAAGGAAAGCUGGUCCGACGAACGUUUCAGCAAACAGUUUGCAGUACCCCGCAUCUUCUUUGUGGGGCUCAAAGUCCACUCUUCCCACCGUGAGGAGGAAAGUAUGGAGGUGAACUUUCGGGUCCCCCUUCUGACGAGAAUCUCCCUAGGAUUUGACACUCUUAAGUUGAGCAAGGAUAGAUUUGGCUGGAAAGCCGUGGAGCGGAAUAGAAGUUGAAUGGUCGAUGGAUAUCACAAGAAGCUUGCAGAAUAGCUUCACGAUACCGAACUUAAAUCCUUUGGAUAUACGCACCAAAGAAGCUAAGGGUUUUGCUGGAUAUACACACCAACAAGAAGAUCUCCUUAGAGAAACAAAAGGUUUUUGAUAAAAAGAAAAUGUUCAGUUUCAAAGAGAUUACAAGGGAGUUUAUAAAGAAGAGAAAGAACAAGCCUUGGAACAAGUUACAAGGCUGUUCUCGAAAAUACAAAGCAAUAAAUUAAAAACUUGAAAUUUAAAAGAUAGAUUGACCCUCUUCCUCUUCUUGGCCGUGGCUCCUUAAGUGCAUAAAAGGCCUUGGGCUUUUGAUUCAACAAAUGGGCAAUGGUGAAGUGAAACAGCUGCCUCAUUAAAAACCUUGUCAAGAAACCCAGUGGGACAAAACUUGACAAGGGAAAAAGAGUACAACCAUGACACUUUUCCCAUUGUUGAAUCACUUAGCUUGGAUCAAAACUUAAGUGUUUUGACAAGCUUUUCCUUCAUACUUGAUGUCUUGAUCGUGUUGGCUCCGAAUCUGAUUAAAUAAUCCUCCAACAGAUUCGUUAAACAAUUUAGCUAUUGGGCGAGUCAUUGGACCAGUUGGUAUGACAAGAGCAUCAUCGGCUACAAGCUUAUCCUCCUCUCCUAGUUGCUUAUCCUCCUCUCCGAGCUGCUUCUCCUCAGCUACGAGCUUAGCUUUUUCAAGUUCCAACUCCGGUUCAUGCUCCAAUUCCUUAGUGCUAUCCAUGAUCAUAUCACCUUCCCUUCAUAGCUGAGGAACUUGGGCUUCCGCGUAUCUUUAAUCCGCAUUAGCGUGAUCCGCCAAAAUGUGGGAGCUGGAAUCCACAUAAAGAGAACUGAGAUGACUUUGGGUGGGAUCCUAUUCCCUGUACGAACUCGUUAUAUUUGCGAACAUAAGUUUAAAUGAAUAGUGAAAAAUUUAUAGUUUUAUUGCUCAGCGAAAUAUGUCAUUUGUACAAUCGAUCUUAUUAGCUAUUUAUACAAUCGGACAUAGUCAUUAAAUGGAUCGCGAAAUUAACUACGUCAAUCUCGCGAUCCUCAUCAAAGCGGAGUUUGACCACGGAGUGACCAGUUACGAUUUGCUCCUUUAGUUCUCGAGAUUAUGGUUGACUUCUCCUUAGCAGGCUUAGAAGGUUCGAAGUGGGCUUCUUUUUCAUGGGCCCGAGCAAGAUAGGCCCACCGGCCGAGAUGCCGAUUUCGGUAUCCACAGUCGCUUGAACUGAUGUAUUGAAUUUGAACUUCCUUCUUUUCUUCGAGUUCUUGAGUAUAGGAGAUAAAUCUCGGAGGAAUAUGUUUUGUCCUAUAACUCUUAAUAUAACCUUCUUUAACCUGAGCAACACACAUCAUUAUCUUCAAAAAAUAUUUGUUGAUUCCCUUUUGGUGAUUAUUCUGCUUGAUUCUUGUAUGUAAUGAGUCAUUGGUCUAAGCCAAACACAUUCUCUAUUUGCUUCAUGAAGUCCAAUAAUUUCUUGCGUCUGCAAAACAAACUUGGAGAUAAUGUAAGGUAUGCUUUAUCCCAUUCUAACCAAUGUUCGUGCUGAGCUGUAUCUUGUAAUUAGAUUAGUAGCAAAACCUAUAUCUGAUCGAGUAUAAUUUGCAAGAUACAUAAACCCACUAAUGGCGCUCAUAUAUGGUAUUUUAGGACCUAAUAAUUUUCUUAGAUUCUUUCGCCAUCUUUGAUUUUUCUGGGAAGUUUAAUCCUUGAAACGACCCAUCCAAUUUUUCUCAUUUAAUUCAUCAAUAUUAACCUCAUAAUUAAUAUCAAACCGACAAAUUAAACCAACAUGCAGUCAACAGCGGAAACCAAACUAAUCAAUCCAAAAUUAAUUGUUUAACCAAAUAAACCAACAAUCAUCCAAACAUUAUCCAAUAACCAAUUAAACCAGCAAUCCUAAACAUGCUCCUGAUUCCAAGGCUCCAAAACAAUAAAUUUAAAUAACCAACCAACCAAACAACGACCCUAGAUCAUCGCCAUCUUCCUCGCCUUGCAUCACAAAAACAAUGAGAUGCGUGAGUAUUAUCACAAAUACUCAGUGAAACAGUCCUCUCAUCUACUGGGUUAUACACACAUGCAUAAUAAGACCAUCAAACAUGCAUAAGAUCAAUCAAAACAACCAAACCAUGCAUAUACAAACACCGACUACUUGCUGUCCAGAAAAUUGUCCAGAAAUUGGUUUCGACUGACACCAGAAAAUGGUGUUGACCGACAUAUAAACUAGGUUGUUGUCAACCGACUCUCGAACUGAUGUCGAUCGACACUGGCUCCGCAGGAGCCCUGAAAUCGCAUCUCCUCUCCCUAGAGACCGGUUCAAACACUUCCAGGCUCCAAAAUUUAAUCCUAAACCAUCAAUAGACAUAAAACAACAUCCACAACACACAAACAAACCAAAACACAACAAUUCUAGCCACCCAAAUCAAUCCAACACACAUUAUAAGGUCUUAUAUGCCUAGAUCAACCACGGUCACACACUCUCCUUAAUGUGGAUUGAAUGAAGGGACGAAACAGAGAGGAAACAACAAGAACAAGACCCUCCUUGCACCACCAGCCACGAAUCCAGUCCUCUUCUCGCUAAACUCACAAGAACAGCCACAUAAACCUCCAGAACCCCCCUCCUAAGCCUCCUUAAGCCUCAGGAUUAACUCUCAGACUCUCUCUUUCUUUCUCUUAGCUUUCGGAAGCGACAAAACAAAACUUAAGAGAAUGAGAAGAGGCUGGUCGAAUUUCCAAUAAUAUUAAACCGAUCAAUUACAGAGUUAAAUCGUUUAACCGCCCAAAUAACCGGUGUCGACCGACACCCUUCCUUACUCUCGAUCAACACCGUCCAAAACACAGACACAUGCAUUACAAUUCUCCUAUACUAACAAAGAUUCAUCCUCGAAUCUAGCAACACCGUUCAAUUAGUUGAACCACAACCAACCGCUACCAUAGUCCAACAAUCCUUGAUCCAACCCGGCCAAUACACCAAAAUCACGAGAUUGAACUAAUCAACAACCUUCAAGGUCUCCAUCUAGUCUCUAUGCAUGGCCUCCGCGUAAUAUACCUCACAUGCUCACAACUCCUCGCUCUCAGGUCGCAACCUAGAGCCAUACCGCUCUCACACUUAGACCUUAGGCUUUAAGUCAUACCAUCUCACUUUUGGGUCGUCACCCUCAAGCACUCCUAGUAUCCGGGGAACUAAUCAUACCCUAUGAGAACUAAUCAUCUCAUCUGCCACUCUUAUCAAAGGAAUCUUCUUACGCCAAAGUUCCUUAACCCUCCUCUCGAGAACCCUCACUGGUAUCGUCUCCAGGGUCAUGUUGGGCAGAAGAUCUGUAGGAAUCUUCGCCAACACCUCAUCAUCCUUAUGCCACCACUUUUUAAGCAUCAACACAUGGAAAACCUUACGAAAAGCCUGUAUAACCGAUACGCAACCGGCCCAACCCGCUCCACAAUGCUUUAAGUGACCUAUUAGGACUCCGCAGCAUAGCCAUCUUGAGAUACACUCUAUCUCCAACCUCAAACUCAAUCUCUUUACGCCUCUUAUCGGUAUAAUUUUUUUGCAGAUCCUGAGCUUCCUUCAUGUUCAGCUUCAAAACUCGGAUCUUCUCCGACGUUUACUGAACAAAACUCGGAUCUUCUCCUCUCCCUCACUUGGGUCCAGCACAAUGGUUUCCUGCAUGGCCUCCCAUACAAAGCCUCAAAAGGAGCCAUGCAAAUACUCGCCUGGUAGCUAUUGUUGUAAUCAAACUCUACCAAACUCAAGUGGUCCACCGAAUGACCACCCCAAUCCAGUACACACAUCCUAAACAAAUCCUCGAGCGUUUGAAUAGUCCUCUUGGAUUGACCACCAGUCUAAGGAUGAUACGAUGUACAAUCGUUCCUUUUUCUUUUUGAGAAUUAUAUUUAUCUUAUGAACCAAAAUAGCCUUUACAAUCGUUCCUUUUUCUUUUUGAGAAUUAUAUUUAUCUUAUGAACCAAAGUAGCCUACCACGGUUAAUACGUGUCAUAGACUUAGUAUGUCAUUCUUUAGAGACAUAUUUGUACUCGAGCAUUUUAAGCUAGAAUAUGAGAUUGAUUUGAACUUCAAGUUCAACUUCAAGUUCAUAUUCAUUUAUGUGUGGAUCACAAAUUUUAUUAUGAAAUCUCAUCCAUUAGUUUUUUAGAUUUUAUUUGCAAUAUAUUAUGAAUAGUGAUAUGUGGAACUUUUAAAUUUGUAUUCAUUAUAUUCAUUUAUUCAAAUAUCCAAACUAUUCAUCAAUUCUCCCAUAAUAAUGGAGAACUUUAUUAUCAACAUGAUAAUAUGCAAAUCUUUCAAUAUAGGCACAUCUCUUAUAAGAUUGCUCAAUAUUAGUAGAACAGAGACUCAUCUUUCCCCUCUAUAUAUUUCAUCUUUCUUAGAUGAUAUAUUUUAUGCGGUGUGGGGAAGCAUUUACAACAUAUAUCACACACCUAUAUAAUUUCAAACUAGAAAUAUUUUAUCUCCAAUAAUGAAUACAUAACAUGGGAGAAAGAUUUCUUACAAAUUGUUUUCCUCAUGUAUAAUCAUUACUACAUGGAAAAUUUCAUGUUUAAUCACCUAUGAAUCGUUUUCAAUCUCUUGUAUUGCACUAUGAACAAUUCAUUAAAGCUCAUUUUGAGGGUGGACAUCAUGUAUGUUUCACAUUAUCACUACAACAUAUAUAAUCGAUAAAAUAUGGAAUAUGACUUCACCAAAGUUAUUUCGCUCUGGGUGUCAAAUUCACCAAAGUUUAUCGACUUACUGUCAAUGUGAGAUUCUUUAAUUCUCCUCUUCGAGAUGAUAACUCUUGGAUACAUUCAUCUCGGACUGAAUCCCACUUUAGGAUCAACAACAUACCACUUUUGGUCAUGUGUAUUUACAUCUUAAAUCAAAUAUGUGAGACCAGUAUAACUUUCUCUCUAGGUGAUGACUUUUUCGAGUCCAUUCACCUUGGAACGAAUAUAAGUUGUAGAUCGGCUAUACGAGGCUUAAAUUCUUAUCUUAUUAUCUUCCCACAAAGCUAUACAAAGCGUAGCUAAGUGUAACACCCCGACCGUCACCCCUCUAGUGAACCCCAUGUUCACUCUCAUCCCAUGUGCCCACCUCUCUAAAUGGGUCUCACGUCCUCUCACUAGGCCCAUGAGCUCAUCCAUAUCCGACGGUCGGUUUGCUACAAAUCACCACAUGAUCUUUCCAUGUGUUUUGGCCUCGCUCACACUGUUCCGAUGGCCACUUCACGAAUAUUUCCCUUUGUUUGGCCUCAUUCACGAAGUUCCGACAACCACUUCCCGGAUGUUUACCCAUCCUUUGACUAAUACAAAUCAUCUUGAGUUCUCUCAGGACCUUUGACUGAAAAAUAAGUGCAAUUUGGUGACAAAGGUGGCCAAAUAAAUUAAUUUAAAAUUAACCAACUAAACCAACGGAAGAAAUAAACCAAAAACCAAUCCAAUAAACAAAUAUCGUUAAAUUAGCAAAUAUCCAGCAAUUCUUAUCCCUGUAUUAGUAAAAGAGAAGUACAAAAUGGAAUACGGGUCAGAUCAAAAUAAAAAAAAUAACCUGAUUUUAACAAUUGGAUACUUCAAAAUUGGAUAUUAAAUUGGGUUUGGAUACAUACAUCGGAUACUUCCCAUAUCUAAUUUUAGGAUUGUAUUAUUUCCAUAACUAAUUAUAAGAUUUCCUAAUAUUUUUUGGGAAAUUUUCACAACUAACCUUUUUAUGAUAUCAUUUUCUAAAGUACCCACUUUAGGUAUCCAUUUUCAAAAAUACCCUCUUCAAUGUACAAAAUGACUAAAUUACCCUCCUUUAUGAUAACCCAUGAUGAAGAAAAGAAUAUUCUUUCCAACAAAAAGAAUAUUCCUUCCCAAAAAUUUCCCGCCAAAAAUUUUCGACAAAAAUUUACCCCCCAAAAAAAUUCUCCCGCCAAAAAAUUUCCGACAAAAUUUUUCCCGCCAAAACUUUUUCCACAAUUCCUUAAAAACCUUUUUAAAAACCUUGUAAAUAUCUUUAAAUCUUUUAAAAAUCCUUUAAAAACCCUUGUAAAUCUUUUAAAAGUCAUCCAAAACCUUUCAAAAUUUGACUAAACCUUUUAGGCAUUUCGUUUAAGGCAGCACGACGUCGUUUGUACUUGUGAUUCUCAUUUUUCGACUUAACAGAGAUCGAUUAACGAUUCUAAACGACUGUUAACUCCUUUGUUAGACUCUGUUAGAGGAUUUGAUUUGACGACAUGUUCAAUCUAGCUCAGUUAACAGAAGAUGGUGAUUUAAAAAUAACGUCAACGAAAAGUCUAUGAUUUUAAUUGCCACAGUGGAAAUCGAGGAUUAAAAUGGCCAAAAUUUGUAAAUUCGGUAUUUAAAUAACAUUUUCCCCUUUUAAAACCAUUGUUCAUCAUUUUAUAACAUUUAUAAACACUUGUAAAUCCUUUUAAAGCCCUUAUAACCGUGAUAAAUCAUUUAAUAAAAACUCUUGUAAACUUCUAAAACUCUUUAAAAACCCUUGUAAAUCCUUAAAAACCAUUUUAAAGAACUAGUGAUACCUUUAAAAACUUUUGUAAACCCUUUAAAAACCUCUACAAACUUUUAAAACCCCUUGUAAAUCCUUUAAAACUAUUUUUAAAUCCUUGUAUGUCUUUAAAAACACUUGUAAAUCCUUUUAAAAACACUUGUAAAUCCUUUUAAAAAAACCGUUUAAAAUCCUUGUAAAUUUUUAAAAUCUUUUUAAAAUCCUUGUAAAUCCUUUUAAAACUGUUAUAAACUUAUAAAAACUUUUUAAAACCACUGUAAAUCAUUUAAAAAUUAUUCAAAAACCUUUGUAAGCUUCUAAAACCCUUUAAAAACCGUUACAAUAUCUUAAAAACCAUUUUAAAACUCCUGUAAAUCUCUUUAAAAACCCUUGUAAACUCUUAAAAAAAACUUUGGCAGGAAAAUUUAGUAAAACUUUUUUUUUUUCCUAGAAAAAGUUUACGGAAAUUUUUUUUGCGGGAAAUUUUUUCUCGGAAACUUUUUUGGCGGGAAAAAUUUUGUAUAGGAAUAUUCCUUCCUUUGGGAAAGAAUAUUCUUUCAACUAGGGGUAAAGUGGCCAUUAAAAUUUAAGAGAGGGUAAAAAUGAAAAUGACAAAAAAAUGAGGGUAUUUUUAAAAGGGUAUCAUAAAAAGGUUAUUGGUAUCAAUUUCUCAUAUUUCUUUAACUAAUUUAAUAUAAUCUAUUAAAAAAAAUUGUUCUUCUUUUUAUCUUAUGAUAUUAUAUAUAAUAUAAAUAUUUAAUAAAAAUUUAAUUUUUUUUGCAUAUGUUGCAAUUUGAAUUUUUCAAAACGGACAUAUAAUACUCAACUACACUUGGUUAAAUAUUUUGGACAAUGGUUUAAAAUCAUUAUAAGUAUGACCAAUAUUAAAACCAUUAUUACAUUAGCAUAUUUAAAAUUUCAAAUUUUUUCAAAAAGUUUCAAAAUAUCAUAAUUAAAUGGUUCAAAUAUAUAAAUAAUUUAGAAUUUAAAAUAUUGAAAAUAUAUGUGAUUUUGGAGACAUAAUUUUAUUGAUAAAAUAUAUUAUAUACAAACUAUGUAAAUUUUAGAUAGUUUACAGGUAGUUUGUUAAAAUCACAAUUAUAAUGAUAAAGCAAGUUAUGAAUAAUGUUUUUUAUAAAAUGAAUUCUGUUACGGGUUGAUCCAUCAAAAAAUAUAUUGUAAAUAUGUAAUUUUUACGUAUAUUCCUACUUCUACUACAAAAAUGGUCAAAUUGAAUAAUUUAUCGACAAAUAUUAUUUCGUGUUGUUAAAUUUUCAUAGUGUUUUUAAUUGUAUCAAAACUCAAUAUAUGAUUAUUUACUCGCUUUUUUACUUUAUUAUUUUAUUUAAACCUAUUAUACAAAUAUAUGAUUUACUGUAAUCGACUGCACUGCAGUAAAAUUAAAAUGUAACAUAUUAUAAUCCGUUAUAAUCCGUUAUAUGUAAUUAUUUCCUUCGCGCUGUAGCGCGGGUCCGAACCUAGUUAUGUAAAUAAACCAUCAUGCACAACGGAAACAACAAAACCAACUCUAAGUAAUCCUAAUAUUUAUUAACCAAUCAUUCUAUCACCACAAUUUACACCAACCGCCUAGCAUGUUUCUAAUCUACAUUCCAACAACAUAACAUAACCAUAAACAUAAUAACCGAGACCCUAGAUCAUCCUCCUCCUCAUUGCCAUGAUUCUACGUUACACUUUACAUGCACCACAAACACAAUGAGAUACGCGAGUAUUAUCCCAAAUACUCAGUGAUGCAAUUCUCCCAUCUACUGGGCUAUACAAGUAAGCAAUUAAGAUCAUGAUCACAUAUUAAUAGUACCAAAAACAUCCAAUCCAAUCAAUUAAAAACAAACAUUGCGCUCACAGAAAAUUGUCGAUUGGCACCAUCAACUAGUGUCGGUCGACACCCUCAAUUGGUUUCGGUCGACACCACCACGAUAAUGCACUGCGAACAACAGUCUAAUGUCGAUCGACACCCUCCUGGUGUCAAUCAAUACUCACACCCUAGAACACAUCCAAUUUUGAUCUGAUUAACCAGAGGACCUAAAAUCACCACCACAUCAUCUCCCACGCCGACACAACCAAGGAACAGCCACAAAAGGCCACAUAAACACCAGAAACACAUAACACAACAAGGAAAAUCAUUCCACACAUCAAAUAAACACAAAACACACAAUCUUAAUGCUUAGAUAAGCCAUGGUCACGAACUCACUUUGAUAAAGAACUAACAAUGAAGAGAACAACACAAUCAGAGGCAGCACAAGACUCUCUUAACACCACAGCCACAAAAUCUUCCUUCCCUUUAGUCAAAACUCUUAAGAACAUCACCUAAAUCUCUCCAAAAGCCCAUAGAACUUCACAGGAAAACUUAGGAACUUUUUCCACUCUUCUGAAAGAAUAAAAGCGGUUGAUAACCCUUCAAGGCGCCGAGUUUUCUCUUUAAAAUGAGCUUUAGGGUUUAGCGAAACCAUCCCAAAUCGAUUUUUCAAUUUAAAACAAACAUGUCAAACCGAAAUUUGUUGGUGUUGAUAGACACUAACAAAAUUUCAGACAGGGGCGUUACAAUUAGGGAUCGACACUAACCCGCUCAACAAUCCUGAAAAGACACAUAAAAUCGGGCGUUAUAAGUAGGUAUUUACAAAUAGGAAUACCUUUUAUAUCCAUAGUCACUACAGCCUAAUAUAAUUUUGAAAGAAUAGAAACGAUAAGCUUUACUUUGUCCAUUAAUAAGCUUUCGUGAUUACCAAUUAAAAUGUUUACUGACUUAUGUCAUUUUCCCUACUGUAUGAUAAAUUAUGUUUUUGUUGUUAGUAUAAUAAAUUUGUAUUCACAUUACAGCUUGAUUUACAACUCAUCACUACAACUUAUUAAAUCAACUUUCUUAUUGGUCUAGUGUAAGAAAACCUCUUAUGCUACAUCGCAUUGGGGAAUUGAACUCCAAGGGUACAAAAAUACCUUUUUUAAUUUGGCGCCGCUGCCAUUUGGAUGUUAUUUGUUCCAUUUAGGAUCCCAGUUCUAUCUAGAUCAAGUUCUUUUUAUUUCCUUUCUAUUUCAUUACUGAUUUCUAUUUGCUGCUUGUCUGAUUUGCAUUUCAGGUACACGACUACUCGAGCCCGACCACCCAACCCGAUCGAGUUACACCAAACCCGAUCAUGUCUGCUCUCAGCUCGACCGUGUCUCACCUCUGCUUAUGAAUCCGAUGGACCAGUUCAUGAUGAAUUUUCACUACAAGCACCACCCAAUGCAAGUCACUUCACGUUCUUAUCAGUUUCAAGAUGUCUAUCAUCAAUCUUUCGCUCCACAACAUGAUUUUCAACAUCCAGCACCUAGGAUAGCCACUGCUAAAGAUUUUUAGUUGAAGAACAUGUUGCAGCAACUUCUACAGCUGCAAGCUGAUGAUCAAUUGGAAAUGACUAGGAUGUUCGAUGAGCUCUCCAACUAUAUGACUUCCUCAUUCAAUGAUCUGUCCCAAAAGUUUUACGCUUUAAGCAACAGGAUCAUGUAUUUAGAAGCCAAGGAGUUUGCACCUCAACAAGCUAUUCAACCUCAACAACAAUCCCAAGCACGGGACGUCCAGGCAAUUGUCAACAAAAUCCUACAAAGUCAAACCGACAGCGAUCAACAAUACAGCAAACUACUGAUGGAGAUCCGCAAUGACAUGACCCACUCUUUCACCGCGCUAACUGAUAAGUUUACCACCCUCUACCAACGUAUUAUCAAACUAGAGGGGCAAACCACUUCUGCAUCCCGUCCACACACUGUACCAAACCGCAUAAUCCAACACUGAACGAAUUUGCCAAUGUCGUUACCCUCCGUAGUGGCCGUGUUCUACCACCUCGUGAAGGAGUCCAACCAAUCCCUGCAGACAGUGAUGAACAGGAGGGGGAGAAUUUCUAUCAAAAUGAGUUUCAGGCUGCAAAAAUAACACAAGAGAAUAGACCCGACCAACCCACCCGAUCGGACACUAGAGUGACUGACAGCGUCAAGAUCAACAUAGUUGAAAAGCAAGUCUUCUCAAAGCAGAAGGAACCACACUACAUCCCUCCAACCUACAAGUCUCCAUUGCCAUUCCCUGGAAGAUUUAAGAAAGAAAUCAAGGAGGAGUAUAGAGGAAUACUCAAUACAUUAAAAGGGGAUGAGCUAACAAAGGCUUUGUUAGAUGCUUUUGCCAAUAUUCCUUCCUACAACGUGAUCCUGAGAGAGGUACUAAUGGAAAGGAUUCAAGAGAAAAAGGCUGCUCAAGAAAAAGCUAACCUUAAAUUACUUGGCUUGACUUGAUUAGAUCUGCUAUAUCUUGAUUGCUUACAAUACAUCCAUUUGGAUCGAUAACCUCUUAUGCUACAUCGCAUUGGGGAAUUGAAUUCCAAGGGUACAAAAAUACCUGUUUCAGUAAACAAGUAUUUAAGCCUCCCGGGCGUAGCAAACCGGUCGUCAGAUAUUGGUGACUCACGGGCCUAGUGAGAGGACAUGACGCCCAUUAAGAGAGGUGGGCCCAUGGGCUGGUGAUGAACAUGGGGCCCACUAGAGAGGUGGCGGUUGGGGCGUUACACUACGCCACGCAUAUGAGGGUCGAUAACCCAUUUUAGUCUCCAAGAAAAGCAUGUUUGGAUAAUGUACUACUUUAUAAACUCUGGCUAGUAGAGAUGAAGGAGAUUUUAGAAGCCUCCAUGACUGUUUUGCAAGCAAAGCUUGAUUAAACCUACCAAUAUCACGGAAUCCCAAUCCUCAUAUGUCCUUUGAUCUACAAACUUUCUUCCGAGCAACCCAAUGCAUCUUGUUUUUAUCCUCAUGAGCACUCCACCAGAACUACAUCAUGGCACUUGUAAUUUGCUUGCAUUGAUGUUUAGUCAGCUUAAAACAGGACAUUGCAUAAACAGGAAGGGUCAUUGCUAUAGAUUUUAACAAAACUUUCUUCCUGCCCAAAGAGAGUGUCUUCUCAAACCAGCCACUUAUUCUUGACUUCAAUCUAUCUGUGAUAAAAUUAAGGAGGUCGCACUAUGCUCCACUAAAACACUCAUCAGGUACUUGCUAUCACCACCCUCUUGUUCAAUACCAAAAAACAGCCCUAGCAUUUGUCUUAUGUAAGGGUCUAGCUUCUUCCCAAAAGUAAUAGCAGAUUUCUUGAAGUUAAUCUCCAGCCCCAAAGCCUUUCCAUACAGCUCAAGGCAUUUCAAAAAUUCAGUACACUCUUUAAGGCUUGCUUGACAAAGGAAAAGACUAUCAUCCACAAAGAGCAGAUGUUGAAUCGAUGGACAGGAACGUGAAGGUUUCAUUCAUGUUAAUCUUCCGUCAAGCUCAGCUUUAUUCAUGAUGUGUACCAAAGCCUCAACACAAAGAAUGAAGACAAAAGGCGAUAACAGAUUACCCUGCCGUAGUCCUCUUUGUGGUUGAAUAUAUCCAUAUGAAGCUCUAUUAAUAAGAAUAGAAUAUGAGACCAAGGUAAAAAACUCAUUAUCCAUUUCACCCACAUGAUAUCAAAACCUAGCCGACUAAGUAGCUCUUCUAAAAAAGACUACUCAACUCGAUCAUAAGCUUUAGACAUAUCGGCUUUAUAGCCAUGAAAAUCUUCAUCACAACUAGUAUUUGUCUUCAAGGCAUGAACGAGUUCAUGUGCAAGUAAAAUAUUGUCUAAUAUCAACCGGCCGGAAACGAAAGCUCCCCGAUUAUCUGAGACAAUAGAAGGUAAAAUGCAUUUUAAUCGAUAGAACAUAACCUUAGAAACAAUUUUCUAUAGUACCGAACAAAGACUAAUUGGUUGGAGAUCAGUCAUCUUUGAUGGCUUUAAAUUUUUUGGGAUCAAACAAAUAUGUGUGAAGUUCCACUCAGGCGGUAAGGAACCAGAUUCAAAAAACUGUUGUUCCUCAGAUAUAACUUGAGGCCCAACAAUGUCUCAAAAAGAUUGAUAAAAACACCCCGACAUGCCAUCAGCUCUUGGGGUACUGUCACCUCUAAUACUGAAUAUUGCCACCUUAAUCUCCUCGCCUGAAACUGGAUGCGCUAGAGUAUUCUGAUCACCGUCACACAUCCAUUUUUCUUUGCUUUGCUGCUUCCAAAAGAGUUCUUCCUCAUGAUAAGCUUCAACUAAUUUCCACAGUAGAGUCUUCAACAACUAAAAAUCUGGUAUUAGUUUAGCUCCCUCAAUUUCAAGUUCAUAGAACAGCCUCAAAAUAUUCUCCUGAGAGUUCUGGUUAGUAGAUUGAUUCCAGAGAGAUAUACACCUUCUACGAUCCGCAAUACGGCUCAUUAAGGAAUAGUUAUCCAAAGCGAAACCUUUAUUCCAACCCUCUCUCACUACCUCAGAGAAAUCCGGUUUUGAAACCCACCUGUUCUGAAACAUAAACCGGCCUCGUUGUGACAUGUUUUCAUUCACAAACCUUGUGAUGAUAGGGCGAUGAUCAGAGCCAAUCCUUUCCAAAUACUUAGUUUGCACCCUUGGAAAAAGAUGAAACCAAGCUGCAUUACCAAGAGCUCUAUCAAGCUUACAUUGCACCCAAACUUGAUUGCGUUCCCCAGCCCAUGAAAAUUUAUUACUAAUACUAGCAAUUUUCGGUUUACCAGACACCGAAUCAAUGCCAUCGUCAUCAUCAGUCAAAAAUCCAAACAAAGGAUCAUCCUUACUAAUUUUUGGAACCAGACGACUUGGAAUGAUCGAUUCAAUUCCCCCCUGUAGCAACAGUUUGCCGGUUUGAGGGAUUAAAUGGGCAGCGUUCCUUGUCAUGAGUUAGCCUUUGACACUGAUUGCAUCGGCGCUAGAUUCUCUCAUACUCCAUCCCAAUGUUAAUCUUCUCUCCAUAUGGGAUCUAGAGUUCUCUAGAAUUCUUCAAGGGUUUGUUUACAUCAUAUAGAACUCUAACUCUGACAUAUCCCUUGCUUAGUGGUUUCAAGGGAUCAAAAGCAACAAUAACUGUCCAAUAUGCGCUGCAACUUCCUUAAUGGUAUCAGCUGUGUUAAAGUUAUCGGAAUAUUGCGAAGAGGGAUCUAUAUUGGCAGCACUUUCAAGUAAUCAGCUGGCGGUUUCUCCACCCAUCGCUCCAGCGUAAUACUCCAGUCAUUUAAGGUCCAAGCACCGAUUUCUAAGACCGUAGUUAACUCAGACUCUGAACCAAAGAAGAAGUGAAACUGUUCAUUAGAAAGAGCUAUUCCUCUAGCUCUGUUGUACACUCGCCAUAAGUGAGGCAUUUCAUGAAUCAAAUCAGACAUCUUCUAGUUCUCUGGGCACAAAAGACGACCAGUGAUACUACUCUUGUUUCGCAAGAAAGAGCUGAACUGCGGAAGGUUUUGCAGCACAAUCAGCUUAUCAUCUUCAAUCGACAUCUCCUGCAAAGCUUUAUCCAACUCAUACUCUAUGACUGCACGUAAAUAACGUAUCAAACAAGGGUUUUGAGCUUUAACACCAGUAGGUUCGACGACGGCUCUCAAGAACACGACGAAAUAGGUUAAAUAUAUAAAAGAUCUCCAAAGAUUUUGUAACAAAAGUGAUAAAAACAGAAAAUAUUCUCCCAAAUCCGGCGAAAACAGAGAUAUUCCCGGUUUACUUAAGUUCUCUCCCUAGAGAGAAAAAUCGCCUCUCCUUUUACUACGAUUCCUUGUGUCAUGUACUAUUUAUCUAUUUACUCAUUAGUCAUUACCAAUCUAUAUUAACAUUUUUGAAGUACGUUUUGGGUUAUAACCUUUUAUUUUGUAUUAUUUGCAUAAUUAACUCCUUGCCAUUUGAAUAAAUAAAAAAACUUUAAAUUAAAUUUUGUAAUUAAAUCAUAAUAAAAUUGCAAAACUGGAAAUCGAUAGUUAUUACAUUUAACAAAAUUUCCUAAAAUCUCUCUCUAAUAAAUCAAAUAUUUCUCCAAUAUCUUUAUAUGAUCUUAUUUGUUUUGAAAAUUAUAUUAUUACAUAAAACAUAUGUAUAGUAAAAAUAUAAUUUUUCGCAUAUGUUGCAAUUUGAAUUUUUGAAAACGGAUGUAUUUUAAUCAAUCGAUACAAAAAAUGUAUUUACAAAACUAUUAUUGAUAAUUGUGAUAAUUGUGUAGCACGAGUCAUGUGAUGGAACGAGUUAUAAAUUACAUAUAUUUUUUUAGGGGUUGUCUACUAUAGUCAAACUCACAAAAAAUUUUAAUUUAAAAUUAGACUAUUUAAACUAAAGAUGUUGUGCCAACAUCAUUUCAUUAUUUUGAAUAUUAGACUUAUUUAGUUAAGUUGAUCAAAUUACGAUUAUAUACAAACAAAUUAUCAUGUCAUAUUUCACUAGUUAAAUUAUAGAAUUAACAGUCAAAAUACAGUGGUACAAUCUUAUAUACCAAAUAAAAUUUAAAAAAAUAUAUUUUAAAAUAUUGCAGGUUAUAUUCUAGUAAAAUAUUAAAUCAGCACUAUUAUAUUAGGAUUUCACAUAAAUGUGUUCAAUUAACUAAAAUCAUAACGGUAAAUCGAAUAGGUUACUAUGUGCAAAUCUAAAGGUUGUGUUGUCUACAAUAUUACAAAUUUCUUGGUCAUUAACAAAAAGAAAGCUACAAGAUUAAGAAUUUCUUGGGCAUAAUACAAUACUAAAAGUAUUGUAUUUCCAUAUUUCUUGAUCUCAUAUAUUUGUGUAUAUUAUCUAGUUUCCUUAUGCUUAGAUAUAGAACUUGGGUAAUACGUUUUGCAUGUUUGUAUAUAUACUUCACCUAAGCAUUCUAAUAAAACACAGAAAACAUUCUCUAUUGAUCGACUCUAAAUUUAUCAUGGUAUCAGAGCAGUAAUCAAAUUCUGGGAUUCUCUUUGUUUUUUUAAGAUCUGAUUUCAUAUCUUUGUAACGAUGGCUGAAGAACACAGAGCGAUGUUACCUGCGAAACCAAUGGAGAAUCAACGACGAACAAUCUCUCCUUAUGACCUAACCUCGAACGACAACCCCGGAAGCAUCAUCUCAUGCCCUUUGUUGCGUGGAGAUAAUUACGAAGAGUGGGCCGUGAAUUUGGAAACCGUUCUUUACUCUCGAAAUAAAUCAUGUUUUCUUGAUGGCUCUAUCAAGGAACUAGUUGAAAACUUGGAGGACUAUGAAGAUUGGAAACCUAUCAAUGCUCUCAUAGUCUCCUGGAUCAAGAUGACAAUCUAACCGAAGCUCCUGUCGAAUAUCUCUCACAAACCAAUUGCAAAAGACUUGUGGGAUCAUAUUCGAAGCUGGUACCGUGUGACCAACGGUCCAAGGAUUCAACAACUGCAACAAGAUCUAGCCAACUGUCAACAAGUAGCUGUUAGCAUUGAGACAUACUACGGAUGGCUCACAAAACUGUGGGAUGAUGUCAUCUGCUAUCGACCUCCUUUGGUGUGCACAUGUGGUCAUUGCACAUGUGAUCUCAAUGGUGAGGAUGAAAAACGAAUGGAAGAAGACAAGUUUCAUAAUUUUCUGCGUGGUCUUAAUGAAUCGACUUAUGGAAUGUUGAAAUAGAAUUUGAUGGCUCGAUCCUCUACCUACGUUGGAACAAGUAUACUUGAAUGUUACACAUGAUGAAGAUGCUCGCUUGAAGAAGAAAAGCUUUGAAGGAAAAAUUGAAAACAUGGCGUUUGUUGCACAAACACAACGACCUCGCUCUCAUUAUGAUGAUAAAACCACAAGCGUUAUGUGCACAAAUUUUGGUCGAGCUGGGCAUCAAGCGGAUACUUUUUCAAAUCUUGGGAUUUCCUUAAUGGUGGGGUUAUAGACCACGAAAUCGAACCGGUCGUGGAAGAGGAACAACUCCGGCAGCUAGUGGUACACUGGGUCGCGGUGGCCCUGCUCGUGCAAACGUUGCUAAGAUCGUUGCAAAUGUAGCUGUAACAGAUGCUGACCGUGAUGCUAUUUUGGGACUGAUAGAUGAGCAAUGGUUGAGCGUUCGACGAGUAAUGAGUGCAGCAAAAACUGGUACAAGCGAACAAAUGUCUGGUAAGAUACUCUCUCCUUCUUGGAUUUUAGACACAGGUGCUACUCAUCACUUGACUUGUAAGAAAGAGAAUCUUAAGAACAUACGAAAAUCUACACCAACUCAGAUUAUGCUAGCAAAUGGUAGAGUUGUUACAAGUGAAACAGUUGGUACAGUUGUGUUAAAUUUGCAUCAUAGUUUCAUUGAGGUUUUCUACAUUGAGAAUUUGGGCUUUGAUUUGAUCUCGGUAACACAACUAAUGGAAGAAAAUAAUUGUGUGAUGCAAUUGGCUGUUCCAUUUUGUGUUCUUAAGGACCGUAUUACGAGGACGCUGAUUGGAAUAGGUGAGCCGGUUGGGGGUUUGGUCUAUUUUUGGAACACCGAGGUUGUUGCAGCUUCGAAGGGUCUCACGAAUCAGUCCGUGGAGCUGUGGCAUCGUCACUUGGGACAUCCAUCACCAAAAAUAGUGGAGAUGCUUUCUAAUUUCAGUUUUAGUAGUAGUCGUACUUCUAUGAAUAAAGUGUGUGACAUAUGUACUCACGCUAAACAAACUCGUUGUUCUUUUCCGUUGAGCAUUAAUAAGACUUCAGAGAUAUUUGAAAUGAUUCAUUGCGAUAUAUGGUGACCCCGUCUUUCUCUGGGGCUAGAUACUUUCUCACCAUUUUUGGUGAUUUUUCGCGUGGAACUUGGAUAUAUCACAUGAAUGCAAAGAGCAAGACACCGACAAAGCUUCAAUUUUUUUUUCUCUUCUAGAAGGACAGUUUGGAAAGCAAAUUCGAUCGUUACAUAGUGAUAAUGGAAGUGAAUUUUUAUCACUAACGACAUAUUUUUUGGAACACGGCAUACAUCAUGAGACCUCGUGUGUGGGAACACCGCAGCAAAACGGCCGCGUUGAACGUAAACACCGUCAUUUGCUGAAUGUUGCUAGAGCUAUUCGUUUUUAAGGUCAUUUGCCUAUUAAAUUUUGGGGAAAGUGUGCUCUAGCUGCAACGUACCUCAUCAAUCGGACACCAUCUGUGAUUUACAAGGUAAAACUCCUUAAGAAAUUUUGUAUGGAGUUAAGCCUUCUUAUGAUCAUGUUUGUGUUGUGGGUUGUGUAUGUUAUAUUCAUAAUCAAGACCAUCAUGGGGAUAAAUUUGCAAGCAGAAGUCGCAAAUGUGUAUUUGUGGGUUAUCCUCAUGGGAAGAAAGGAUGGAGAGUCUUCGAUUUAGAAAAGGAAUUUAUUGUGUCUCCCAUGACGUUAUUUCCGAGAAGACACUUUUCCAUACAAAAAGAACGAUACACAAGACAUUGGUUUGGUCGAUGAGCAUCCAUCGUUGCAACCACAAACCUGUCUCGGUGAAACUCUAGUCUCUCACCCGUCUCUCGUGGAAGAUACACCGGCAACUGUAAUUCCAGUUGCAGACACGACGACUUUGAGUGCAUCUUCAGCGGACGACAGCUCUAACGAUGAUGAGUGACAAGUAACUCUGAAAAUGGAAAAGAACACGUUGACUUCGAAAUUGAAGUAGACCUUGAUAUGGAUAAUGCUCCAAUUGCUGUUUGCAAAGAAGCUCGCCAACAACGUCCACCGGGGUAUCUCGCUGACUACGAUACUACACUUGUGUGUACUGGAUCUAGCUACUAGUUUAUAUCCUCUAUCUGAUGUGCUGUCUAACGAACGCUUCUCUGCAAGUCACAAAGUGUUCUUGGCUGCUAUCACCAUUGCAAGCGAACCGAAAAAUUUCUCUGAAGCGAUGCAAGAUGCUCACUAGAAAGAUGCAGUUGGAAAUGAAAUUACCUCUCGCGAACUGAAUAAUACGUGGACGCUUGAAGACUUACCUGACGGGAAAAAGGCCAUUGGUUGUCAAUGGGUCUUUCGUAUUAAACACCGUGAUGAUGGCUCCAUCGAACGUUUCAAAGCAAGAUUAGACGUUUUGGGAAAUAGACAAGUUGAGGGUGUUGACUAUGGUGAGACAGUUGCUCCAGUUGUUGAAAUGACAACACUACGUUCUUUUCUUGUCGUGGUCUCCGUACGAAACUAGGAAGUACAUCAGAUGGACGUUCUUUAUUGCUUUUCUACACGGUGAUUUGGAAGAAGAAGUGUACAUAAAGCUUCCUCCGGGUUUCUCUAAGCAAACGGAUGGGAAGGUAUGUCGUUUAAGAAAGUCUUUAUACGGUUUAAGCAAGCGCCAAGAUGUUGGUUUGCUAACCUUUUGACGUCUUUGGAAAAAUAUGGGUUUCAACAAUCUUGGUUUUGUGUUCAAGAAAGCGGCGACUGAAAUAAGAGUUCUUGUUUAUGUGGAUGAUCUGGUUAUUACGAGAAAUAAUGUUGAAGUAAUCGAAGCUUUCAAAUUAUAUCUCAGCACAUGCUUCCACAUGAAAGACCUUGGUGUGUUGAAAUAUUUUUUUGGGAAUUGAGGUAGCUAGAAAUUCAGAAGGUAUAUAUUUGAGUCAUGGUAGGUUCGAGGAUCUUGCGCGGCGGAGCGAACUCCUCGAGAAAAAAUAUACACUUGAUAUCUUAUGAGAAACUAGACUACUAGGCACAACCUGCUGCAUUUCCUCUUGAACAACAUCUUCAACUUGGCUUGGCGAAAGGUUCUCUUCUACCCGAUCCCAAACCAUAUCGACGAUUGGUUGGGAAGUUGAUCUAUAUCAACGUCACUCGACCCGACUUGGCUUACUCCGUGAACGUUUUCUCCCAAUUCAUGAAAGCUCCUUGUGCAGAUCAUUGGACAGCAGCACUACGGGUCGUUCGAUAUUUAAAAGGCACCCCAAGUCAAGGAAUCUUGCUCCGGUCCGAUUCUGAUCUCCAAAUUUUAGCAUGGUGUGACUCCUCAUAUGCUGAUUGUCCAUUGACUCGACGAUCUACGGCCGGCUGGUUAAUACAACUUGGUGCAUCUCCUAUCUCUUGGAAGACAAAGAAACAACAAGUGGUUAGUAUGUCUUCUGCUGAAGCUGAUAUAGAGCAAUGGCUUGGACGAGAAAGGAGUUGAUAUGGCUAAAGGCAUUAUUUCUUGAUCUCGGAGUUAUUUUGAAGCAACCUAUGCGAUUGUUCUGUGAAAACACCGCUGCCUUGCAUAUUAAUGCUAAUCCGAUUUUUCAUGAACGAACCAAACAUAUUGAGAAGGAUUGUCACUUUAUACGCAAUGAGAUUAAAUCCGGGAGCAUUGGGAGAGAUUGAGUUCAGCAUGUUCUGGUCCAAGCUGGGCAUUUUAAAUCUCCAUGCUCCAGCUUCACCUAAGCAUUCUAAUAAAACACAGAAAACAUUNNNNNNNNNNNNNNNNNNNNNNNNNNNNNNNNNNNNNNNNNNNNNNNNNNNNNNNNNNNNNNNNNNNNNNNNNNNNNNNNNNNNNNNNNNNNNNNNNNNNUAGAGGAAAAAGAAGUCGUUAGAACGGUCUCCCUCUAUUAUGUAAGUUGACUGGCCAAGCCCGAGUGCUUCAGAGGAGUUUGUUUUUUACCAGAGACCUGAGUUCAUCAGUAGAUUGCCGCUUCUUGUGUACAUUCAUCCACGGUUGGGUGUUCUGAAUGUUGCAAGCAAGUUGAUUCAGGUCCAAAGAUCCACGUUUCUUGUGGGAACUAUCAAGAACUUGGUCAAGGCGAUUCAGUUACUCAUCUUCACUACAACAUGUGUGAUAUGGUUUACCUGUUAGUGCAUACAUCUGAAGGAAUGGUAGAUGCAACAAAAGAGAGGAAAGCUCUGAACCAAGAUCACAAGUUGGAAUCUUCUCCCACGGACUGUAGCGGAGCUCAAUGGGAUAUCUUCAGGUGUCAAGACAAUGCAAAGCUCGCUAAGUAUCUGAAAAUGAAAACGAGAAUAUUUCAGAACCCUCCUAAGUAUUGUACAGAUGACUUUUUGAGUGUUAUCAUCUAAAAUCAUUCAGUUGCUGCAUCUAAUUAACCGUUGCGUUUCGUUUCUGAGUGUUUUUCUGUGUGUUUUAGGCAUCAUGCUAGUUAUAUGAAGGACAUUACCUAAACGAAUACCACAAGAGAUAACUAAAACAAGAGUUUGGUAAGCAAAUCAAACGUUUUGUGUAUCCCGUGGAAAAGUUGAAAGAACGAGACACUUAAUCUUCUUUAUACGUUUCAGGAGUUGAGCCAUUGUCAUUUGAGCAGCGUCGUGGUGAAGCCAUUUUUAUUCCGGUUGGUUCUACCUUCCAAGUUAAGAAUCUAACGGUUAAAAGGAAAAGAGGGAAACACUUUCUUUUCUCGUUUGUUUACAUAAUAACUGAUUCUUGCACAUAUAUGUAUAAACAUAGUCGAACGUUCAGAUAGCAUUCGACUUCUAGUUUCCUGAAAGCGUUACGGAGGGCGUGAGACUAGCUGAAGAGAUUCGAUGUUUACCUAACCACCAUGAGGCAAAAACAUCAGAUUGUAGAGGUACCAAAACAAAACUAUUCUUGAUUCCUUUUAUAGCAUUAACCCUCAAAUGCCUUAUUGCUAAACUGUUGAAGUUUUUGGGUUUUAGAUUGGAAAGUUGUCGCUAUACGCAGCAAGUUCAGCUAUCAAAGAGGUUCAAAAACUGGUAUUGGAUCCUAAGUAAGUCUUAAAAACUUUAUAAUGGAUAAAGCAAAAUCCAAACCUUUGAGCUCAAAAUAUUUAGUUUUUAUUGUAAUUGUUGCAAGAUUAGGAGCAGAGCUGGGUUUCGAUCGAGUUUCUUAACUUGACCAAAGAAGUCACUGAGAAGUUGGACUAUGCAGUAAAGAGUCCGCAGCUGAUCAGCUGUCAGUAAUCAGAUAGGCCUUGUACAUACAUUGCUAUGAAUUUAAUGCACUCUAGAUAAGUUGUAUCAAUUAGAUAGUCUACACAUGUAUAUGCUUUUUAUGUGAAUCAUUCCCUUGAAAACAUCCCACUGGAUAGUAGACUGGCUGUUGCAAGCUACUUCUUUUUUAAUGAAUAAAAGAAGAAGCAGAGACUACCAAGUGCUAAAGGCAUGGGCAUUGGCAGUCCCUGUCCAGUCCCACACCCAAAAAGAAAAAAAAAUCAAAAAAGAAAAUAUAUAAAAGGGACGUACCUCCAAACGGGACCGUUCUCUGCUUUGUGUUUCACUAUUCGCGGGCCCCACUGACAUGUGGCGGCCCGCGAUUGGUUACAUGUUUUUUUAAAAAAAAAAUCUAUUAAAAAAAAAUAAAAUUCCGAGUCUUACUGAUGCCCAUGCUCUAAUAGCUCAACUGGUAAAGAUAUUUGGCAAAAGCUCAAAAGUCACCGGUUCGAGUAGCGCUUGGGACGAAACCAUAUAACAUGCUAUGGUUUCGGGUCUGGGGAUGUAUGAGUUUCGGCCCAGAAUCUCUUUCAUUAUUAAAAAAAAAAAAAAGAAGCAGAGACUUGCAAGUAAAACAGAAGUGAUCGAAUUGGUUGAUUAAGCAUAGGUUUUAACCAACUGUAAUGAACUGGAAAUUUGGUUAAAUUUCAUUAUACAAGGGGGAUCUUGGAUAAAGCAAGACUUGGUGGUGAAAACUAAUUUUAAAAUUUUAAUUCCCUCAGUAGAUGAUUAUCAUGGUUAGUCAGUAUGAUAUAUGAGGUCCAAUGUUAGAUGCCUAAAGGAUACAACUUAACCGAUGAAUAAAGUAUCUGUGAUCAAGAAAAUACGAUAUGACCAUCAACAACACAAACAAAAAAAAAAGUUUUAAGAAGAAGAAACAACAAUUGCUGAAAUAGAACAAAAACCAAAAACCCAAUGAGCUAUAUUUGAUUUCAAGAAUAUGAUCGAAUAAGGAAGAUAAGUGUAUCAUUUACUCAAACCAGCAAACAUAUAAAAAAGAAACAGUUUUGAUACAAACCACAAGGUUUCAUUAUACAGCAACACACAAGGUUUAGAUAAGUGUAUCAUUCAAUACUCAAACCAGCAAACAUAAAACAUACAACUUUAAAAAAAAAAAAACAGUUUUGAUCCAAACCACAAAGCAUAACAUAGUCUCGUUUAUUAUUCGGUUGAUUCGCUGGUGCCCGAGUUGGUACGAGAUUCAGUUCAGAUCAUGGUCGGCUACAAAAACAUAAGAACCAAAAAGAAAAAGUUAAUGAGAUCCAGAACAAAUGUUUGUUUCUAUUAGAAAAAAUGUGACAUGGUAUAUUUUGCCAACAAACACUUCAUUUCUCCUUCAGAAAAAAAAAAAAAGUUUUAUCAGAGAGGCUAAAGAGUUUCUAGACGUUUCGUCGAAUACCUUCAAGGGCUUCAUCCAGUUGAUGAAACUGAAAACCAUCAUAAUCUGCAACACAUAGUCACAUAGCAUCAAACAAGUUCCAAUGAAAUUCAUUCUUAAAUGGCAAUUGAGGAAUUCAUGUUUUACCUGCUAGUUCCAGAAUUCAUUCAUUGAGUUGGUUAUACAUGUACACAGAAGGGAUGUGUUUGACUUUGUAAUAAUCUGCUCCUCCUUCCGACCAUCUAUUCUUACAAUCCUCUCCCAUAUCAUAAAAACUCAGAUCCUUUAAGGAUCGCAGCACAUCAUCAGGAAUCUCCUUUAGUUUCUUGCAAAACCAAAUCUCAAGAGAAUUGAGAAGGGGCAUGGAGCCUUCUUCUACUAUCCAUUCUUCCCACUCAUCUAAUUCAAAAAAAUGUAGUGACUGCAACUGAGGGAACCCACCCCUAGAGCAAACCAUUCUCCUCACACAGAAAGAAUUUCCAUGCAAACGAACAAUUUUCAAUUUACCAAACUUCUCUAGAAUGGGCAUCGGAUCCUCCUCCAAACGACACCCCUCUAGAAAUAGGGUUGUAAGGCUUGAAGGAAAUUGUAAUUCAUCAGAUAACAAUGGAAUAUUUAUCACCAAAUUCAGCUGUUGGAGAUUAAGGAAUUCGAAUAGACUUCUCCAUUCUUUCGUCCCCUUAGCAGCCCCGCUAAGUCUUAUAUCAAGAGUUUCCAGGUGUCUAGCUCCACCUAUCGAUGCAGAUAGGGUUACUAAACUGCUCUCACCAGUUAAUCUGAUUUGAAGAAUCCUCAACAUGGUCAUACCACAAAGAUCCUCUAAACUGCAAUUCUCUGUUGAGAUAUUAGUCAAGAUCUCCAAGUUUACUAGAUGGCUCAAUUCCAACUUUGUCUUCAUAUGCAUAGCAUAUGGUAAUCUAAGGUAUCUCAAUUCUUUCAUCCCCUUCAAGACAUUAGGCACAAAUAUAGGACUUCUAAACACAUCUAAAUUUAGAUAGAUCAGCAACUUUAGAUUUCCUAUAGAAGAGGGUAGAUAAGAUAUGUCCGCACCUUCUAAGCUCAGAUAUCUUAAGUGGAUGAGCUUUCCAAUGCCAGAAGGUAACUUCCUUCCUUUGAAAGUGACUCUAGGGAGAUGUAAUACUCUCAGCACUUGUAACCUUGUAAAGCUUACACAGGAAACUUUACAACCGUAUUUCGUCAAAUACUUCUUGAGAACAAUGAGAGAUCGAACCUUUGAAUUAUUUCUCUCUCUCUCAACAUGUAAUGCAGACGGUUCAUGUGAGACAAAUCUCCGAGAUGUACUAACAGACGGGGAGCUGUUACCGACAAUUUGUAGGAAGUUCUCUUCUUUUGCUUUUGACAAACAAAGAUCUCUCAUCAAGUCAUGCAAACGGCAUUCUUCAAAUCUCCAAGUGGUACUGACUCUUUCAGAUAUAACCAUAUUUCUCUUUACCAAUUCUUCUAUGUAGCUAUCUCCAACAUCUCUAAUGCUCUCUCCAUUGGUAUACUUGAUUAUUCCUUCUGCAGCCCAGUAAUAGUGCAAUUUUUCGAUACUUAUUUCGUAAUCUUCUGGAAAAUGGGCCAAGUAGAGGAAGCAAUACUUUAAAUGACUAGGCAGCUCUUCAAAGCUCAGAGACAAUACACGGUUCAAUAAAUUGUUGUUGCCGUCAUUGGCUCUUCCAACGAGAUGAGAUUCAAUAUUCUUAGAUACUCGUUCCCAGUAGAGUUCUGUGUAAUUUUCAGCCAACAAUCCUCCUAACACCCUGACAGCCAAAGGCAAUCCCCCACAAUGUUUAAGCAUUCGUCUACCCAUCUCUUCCAUUUCCUUAGCAACUUUCUUCGGUUCUACACAACAUCAUCAAACAAAUAAAAAAUACAUCAUUUAUACCAUGAAAGAAUUUCAGUUCAGUAUGAUAUAAUAAUUAUAUACUACAAUAAGCUAUUUUAAAGCUAUGUCUUCCGAGACAUAGGUGAUCCUCGUUAUGACGAUGGUCUCCGUCUCUGGUUCUCCACCCGCUAAUAUUCACAUAUAACUUUUUAAAUUCUGUUUUAUUUUCCAAAUACUUUCUAAUUUUUCAAACCAACUGAAGCAUUCUUUGUACACAUGGUUUUUGAUUGAAUAAAAUUUUACAUUCAAUUUAAUUCAAAAAAAAAAAAAGCUAUCUCUUGCGAUCAUCCCUUCAUUUGAAUGCUUACCAGAUCCCUUCAUUAUUUAUGUGAUCAAAGUCUAUAAAAUAUAUAUAUAUCCUUCAUUUGAAUGCUUACCGGAUGCAUUUUUCAUUGGCAUCGCUAUUCUUUGGAAAAGUGUCCAACUGUCUUCAUCAGAUAGGCAUUCUGGUUUGAAGUUGAUAAAUGGUUCUUCACGUCCAGCGACUCUUUCAUUUCGUGAAGUAAGUAGCACUUUCCAACCUGUACAACUUAAAAAUUAAUAUAACACAGAGAGCAGAAUGAGUGUGAACUGGAAUAUUAUCUUUCUUUCAUUAAGUAGUAUAAAAGGUCAUCAUCACCUUUUUUGUGUGGAAAUAUUGGCUUGAUUAGGUUCCAAUCUUCUUCUUUCCAUAUGUCAUCAAUGACAAUUAAUGAUUUUGAUGUUUCCAACAAUCUAGAGAGUUCAUCUUGGAGUCUUUCUUCUUUCAUCUGCAUGAUUUCGUUUUCUUCUGCUUUGGUUCUGAAACUUUGCAAGAUAUUUUGCCACACAUUCUUCCGAUCACAAACUUGUGAAACACAUACCCACACAAGUCUAUCAAACUUCUCCCUAACCUUGUCGUGAUGAAAAGCUUGUCUAGCAAGGGUGGUUUUCCCAAGACCACCCAUCCCGGUCACUAGAACAAUUGGAUCAUCAUCUUCCUCCACCAAAUAUCCAACCAACUUCUCUACGUUUUCUUCCAGCCCCACAAGAUUGCUUUUUUCCUGUCUAGCGAAUUCUUUUCUUUCAGGAAGAGGUUCUGGAUCCCUCAUGUCGCCAAUAAUCUGUUGUACUCCUUGAGUUUCCAUAUCACGAAUCACCUUAGAGAUCCUAUUACUUAAGCUUCCAAUUUCUAAUGCGAUUUCCCUGCGUUCAGGAAUGAUGCAAGCAAGUCUUCUCAUACGCUCCUUGAUGCCACCACUUUUUUGGAGUUGGUCUUUUAGGAUAAAAGUUUCAAGUAUAUCUUCCGCGUCAAAAAUGAUUUCCUUGAUCACUUCCACACAGUUCUUCACCCUCGCACUUGUAUGCUUUUUAGCCUCUGCGUCUUGCAUAAAUGACUUUAAUCUGCCUAGAUCAGUUUUUAGUUCAUCAACUUGAUCUUCAACUCCCUGAAAUUGUUUGUGUUCAUGGCUCAGUAGGUUCCAAAGAUUUUGUAUUCCAAAUGACAGAAGCUCCGUAGCCAUAGUGCCUCCUGCUUAAAUAGUAAUGAAAAUAACAACCAAGUUACUUAAUAUUGACGAACAUUUCUAAUCAUAACAUAUUCUGAUAAACUGAUGAGAGUAAAGAACACAAAAGUGUUUAAAGGAAGAAUUGUAUUAGACUCAUCCCAAAAUAAUGUUACAUAAUACAUCGAUAUAUAUAGUAAUAGGAAUAAACCUAAUUUCCUAAACUGAGAUAAUGACUAAUGAAAAUAAUACAUUUCUACAUAAAGGUAAAUAUCCUAAAUAAGAGGAUCUAGAUUCUUUCACAUCUUCAUAAUUUACAUAUUCUUGAGCAAUCAUCUCGACCGUCGAUCUCUCAACCGAUCUCCGGUUCUCCAUCUCCCAAUACCCCCCGGCAAGCUCAUACGUGGUAACACGUGUGAGAUUGGACAAGUCUUCAAAAUAACGGCUUUAUACUCGGCCGUCGAGUCAUCAUCGACGUUUAUACCCGGUCGUGGGGUCAAAGCGGCUGUAAAAUCCGGCCGUCGGAUCAUUAACGACGUUUAUACCCGAUCGUAGGGUUUUUCAAGAAGAAAGGGACAAAACUCGCGUUUGCGAUGUUUAUGAAUAAUUCGCGAUUGCGAAAAUAAGUCACGAGAAUAAGAAGUCAGAAUAUAAAAGGAUGUUAAUCGCGAGGGCGAAGAAAACAUCAAGCUGAACAAAUCAAUAGAUAGAGAAAAAUCAAAACAAAAGAGAGAAAAACCAAUAGAAAAUUAUAGAAAAUAACAACCAAGUUACUUAAUAUUGACGAACAUUUCUAAUCAUAACAUAUUCUGAUAAACUGAUGAGAGUAAAGAACACAAAAGUGUUUAAAGGAAGAAUUGUAUUAGACUCAUCCCAAAAUAAUGUUACAUAAUACAUCGAUAUAUAUAGUAAUAGGAAUAAACCUAAUUUCCUAAACUGAGAUAAUGACUAAUGAAAAUAAUACAUUUCUACAUAAAGGUAAAUAUUCUAAAUAAGAGGAUCUAGAUUCUUUCACAUCUUCAUAAUUUACAUAUUCUUGAGCAAUCAUCUCGACCGUCGAUCUCUCAACCAAUCUCCGGUUCUCCAUCUCCCAAUAUAUUCACUAGAGCGACAUAUCACAAGUUCCGUAAGAGGAUAAGAUUUUCAUAAUUCCAUUAAAGCCUAUAAAAACUAAACCUAAUUAUUCUAGUGAGUAACCUGUAAGAUCCAAUCAAACUGCCAGAAAUUUAUAUGGAUAUAGACAAGGUUUUAGUAUCAAAACUUGAAAGAUAUAUAUAUGGAGAAAAAUAAACAGAGAUUUCAUUCACCGUAAACAAAAUUUUUUGCCAUGAACAAAAGAAAACAGAUUGAUAACAUUAAAAGAAAAAUGACUAACCUUUUGAAGAAGAGAGAUUUUAGCUCUUUAGCUCAUCCUAAGGAAGAACUACCUUUAUGUUUUCAAGACUUAAUUUCCCUUCUUUCUGAUAUUUUGUUUUUCAGACUUUUCAACUAUCGACAACGCAUGGUGUUCUUAACCACAUACUUUUCUUUGUCUAUCAUUCUCUUUAUCUAUUCUUUUUUUUUUUUGCAGAAAUAUUUUUCUUUUGUUAUGAAAUUAUUAUUUUAUAUAUAGGUGUGAGGAAAGUAAUUAUAUAAGUGUUUGUUUUAUACUAGUAUAUAUAUAUAUAUAUAUUUAUCUAUAUUAACAUUUUUGAAGUACCUUUUGUGUUCUACCCUUUUAUUUUGUAAUAUUUGCAUAAUUAAAUCCUUACCAUUUGAUUAAAUAGAAAAAGUUUAAGAUAAAUUUUGUAAUUAAAUCAUAAUAAUUUUGCAAAAUUAGAAAUCAAUAUUUAUUACAUUUAAACAAAAUUUCCUAAAAUCUCUCCCUAAUAAAUCAAAGAUUUCUCCAACAUCUUUACAUGAUCUUAUUUGUUUUUAAAUUUAUAUUAUUACAUAAACAUAUGUAUAAUAAAAAUAUAAUAUUUUUUUUGCAUAUGUUGUAAUUUGAAUUUUUAGAAACGGAUGUAUAUUACUCAAACGAUACAAAAAUCUAUGUACUAAAGUAUUAUUGAUAAUUGUGUAGCACGGGUCAUGUGAUGGAACGGGUUAUAAUUUACAUAAUUAUGAUUAUAGAUAUUUUUACAGGUUUUUUACUAUAGUAUAACUGACAAAAAUAUUUUAAUAUGAAAUUAUAUUAUGUAAACGAAUAUUAUGUCCGUAUCAUUUCAUUAUUUUAAAUAUUAUACUAUUUAAUUAAUUUACUCAAAUUACGAUUACAUAAAAAAUAAAUUAUCAUAUAAUAUUCUACGGGUUAAAUCAUAAACUUAAGAAUCAAAAUAUAGUAGUACACUCUUAUAUACCAAACAAAAAUAAUAAAAAGAAUACAUUUUAAAAUGUCGUUCUGCGGUCUGCGGUGUACCGCGGGUUAAAAUCUAGUAUAUAUAUUAUAUUUGUUAUUGGUUAAAAGGGAGAGAAAGUGACGAAGAGGAAAGAGAGUGAAUUAUUAUUACUCUUGCAUUUUUGUUGCUUUCGUACACACAGUUGUGUAUUAAAAAGAACUAAACCGACCACAAACGACAUAUCUAGGCCUUGAAAGACCAUCCACAUCGUCCCUCCAAAUAGUCUCCAAUACAUCAGGAACAAAAUCAAAAGUAAAUAAACCUAAAAGCAAAGUAAGGCAUAGUUUGUUAAUCUAUCCGCAAGGUGAUUAGCUUUUCUAUACAUGUGAGGAACCCGGACAAUCCAGUUUCUCGAUAAAAAGCCAUAACACAAGUAUACUAGGGAUGAUGAUGGGUAGGACUUGCAGAUACCCUUCUUGAGAAACACCACCACCAUUUUAGAAUCAAUCUCCGGUUCCACUCUUAAAACUUGUUUCUCCCUGGCAAUAACAAGUCUAUAGUAGACAACCCAAAACUCUGCUAGAGGUGCGGAACAUCGACCAAUAUUGAGUACAAAUCCUUCACACCAGUUUCCCUCUCCAUCACGUAGAACACCACCACCAGCUGCCAGCCCUGGAUUGCCACUUGAAGCUCCAUCAGUAUUAAGCUUAUACCAGCCGUUAACUGUUUAUUAUCCUCUAAUGUCUUUAAUCUUUUUUGGUGUGUUUGGGAGAUUGCAAGCUUGAUUUCUAUGGAAUUUUGGGUCUUCUUUCUACAUUAAUUAUAAUUGAAAUAGUUUUAUUUCUGUAUAUUUAAAUUAAUUAUGAAUAUGAAUUUUUAAAAAAAAGAUAAAGUAGUAAAUCUAUUAUUGAGAUAGAAUAUUUUUGGCAACCAAUUCAUAUUUAUAUUUAAUUGAAAAAAUGUUGAUCAAAGAAAAAAUAAUAAUAAAUAGUUCUACAUAUAGAGGUCUCGGGUUCGACGUCCAGAUAAGAUGAUUUAUUAAUUAAUUUGCAGAAGAAUGAGACAAGCUUUCUAGAGAUCUAACACGAUGUACAAUUAGAACUGUUCACCGUGUUUCUAUGCAUGGUGAAUGAAGUGUCGUUCGUGUGAGGAAAAAGAGUAAUUUGUGAUGAAUCUAUUAGGAUCGGGGAGAAUUAUCUAUAGUAGAAUCCUUAUUUUAAUAAUUCUCAUAAUUUUCAAUAAUCAAUAAUUCAAGAGUUUAAAAAAAACUAGAACUAUAUAGAAUGCAAUCUAGGGGUUAAAACGGAGUAAUGCUUAUUUAGAGAAAAAUAAUUCUUAUUUAGAGUCGAAUUUUUUAAGGAAAAAUGAUUCUCAGCUACAUGAAGUAUCCGCCAACACAUUGUUACACAUGUAAAUAAUAUAAUUGUCUCGUUAACUACAUGAAGUAUUACCAUCACAUAAGGACAUGCAUAAAUGAUGCAGCACAUCUUCUUAUCGGGCUUGGUCGUUGCUCUUGUGGGCUUUACACAAUCGACCAAAUGGGAGUUGAUCUUUUAAUUUCAUUUGAUAUUUUGACAUUGUUUUAAUAUAAGGAUGUUAACAUAUCCAUCCCUUCUUAUAUUUGGCUUUAUCUUAUUAGUUGGUGUUUAGGGCUUUAUAAACUUUGUUGCGUCUUUGUUUCGAGUCAGUUUUUGAUAUUUAUAAGAAAAAAACCAAAAAGAGGCAAACCUUUGCCCAAAGAGCUUGUGUCAAGCUAGAGAGGAGGACUCUCAAUAUCCUUCUGUUCAUUUUUACCAUUUCCGCUUACGCCUCUACAUUAUUUGGUAUCAGAUUCAUCUCGUUCUUAGAGAGAAUUUGUGUCAACGUGUAGCCAUGCCUCCAGCCAACAAGAAAGGUGAGGGAGACGACGGCCACCACACGAUGACAACGACUGAUUGGGCUGAGUUUCGUGAUGCUCUGUUGACAUCAAAACACAACCUACAAGCAUAUCUCCUGGAUGCUAUGCGAAAUUUAACAGACACGCUUGUUCACAGUCUCGGAGAUCGCCAUCACCGACGAGGGGGAGAAAAUUUUUGGGCCAUGGACAAUCCGUUUGCUCAUGAGGGAGCACAUCGUGGGGAGUUAGUGAAUUUCCUGCAACAAGACAACCACGCUCAAGAUACACGGUGGAAAGCUAGCUUUCGAGUGGAGAUUCCAGAUUUCCAUGGUGGGAUUCGCUGCGACUCUCUCCUUGAUUGAUUAGUGGUUGUAGAGGAAAUUCUCGAGUUUAAGAAAGUACCAGAGGAUCACAAGGUUGCCUUAGCUACGACACGGUUUCCCGGACACGCCGCAUCAUGGUGGCAACAUACAAAGGCCACACGCAGCCGUACGGUGAAGGAUUAUAUACAUUCAUGGGAAAAACCGAAGAAGAAACUACGAGCCACGUUCCUAAAACACAAUUAUGAUCGCACCAUCUACAACAAGCUACAGAACUUGAAACAGGGGAGUCGAUCCGUAGACGAAUACGUCAAAGAAUUUUAUUUGUUGGUCACUCGCAAUGAUAUUUUCGACAGUCCCAUCCAGUUAGUGUCUCGUUUCAUUGGUGUCUUAAGAGUACAACUACAAAAUGCGAUGUCGCAAUUCGAUCCUACCUCAAUUUCAGAAGCGCACCGUCGAGCUGCAUCCUUUGAGCUCCAAUUUCGCUCACCAUCAUGGUCUACUCCUUCGGCCAAGACACGACCAUACAACCAGAGCACAACCACCACAUCGACCGCGAUAAAAGAACUUGGAACCGCUAAUGAGGUGACAAACAAAGCAGCUCGGGAGGAACAGCCGCUACGCCGUUCCACUCGACCCAAUGCUCUUCGAUGUUACUCUUUUGGUGAGGCGGGACAUCGUCAAACGACAUGUCCAAACCAAACACGUCGUGGACUGCUCAUGGAUGACGGACAAGAUAACUCACCACCAGUUUUCGAUUAGGAAGAAGAUGGAAGAGACGAGGACAACGUGGAAGGUCUUCACACAACUGGCGACACGGGAAGGUUGUUAGUAGCACGGCGGCUCUGUAUAGCACCACCCAGCCGGACAGAUUCUUGGCUGAGACACAACAUCAUUCGCUCAUCGUGUAUAAUCCAAGACCGUGUGUGCACGUUCAUUAUCGAUUUGGGUAGUUCGAGGAAUACUAUGGCGGAGUAUGUUGAGCAGAAUUUGAACAUCCUGGCUGAACCACACCCUACUCCUUACUCGCUUGGUUGGAUGCAAGAUGGCGUCGAUAUUCGCAUCACUCAUCGAGCCUUGGUCGCUUUUACUAUUGGUCAUCACUACAAGGACCGUUUCUAUUUUGAUGUUGCUCCUAUUGAUGUAAGUCACCUAAUUUUGGGUUGACCUCGGGAAUUUGACCGAAAAAUUUUCCAUGACGGAGCAAAGAAUACUUACAGCUUCUACUGGGAGACAUAUCGCAUUGUUUUGCUGCCAACUCUGGAGACUCCUCUACCCGUGACGCCUCCACCACAGGCAGCAUCUUCGACACUGUUCUGUUCUGUAGCUACCUUUGACGAUGAGUUCAAACAAGAGGGGAUCACCUUUGCUCUCUUGCUUCACCGCUGUAGGCGACGUCCGUCCAAACCAUUUCAUCAUAUGACUCCGUGCUGCGCGAGUUCACCGACAUCUUUCCAGAAGAGCUACCGCCGGGUCUCCCUCCCCUCUGGAUAUUCAGCAUCAAAUUGACUUGACUCCAGGUGCAGCUCUACCAAACCGUGCUCACUACAGAAUGAGCCCUCAAGAACACGAGGAGCUCCGACAUCAAGUUGAAGACUUGCUGCGCAAAGGGCACAUUCACGAGAGUCUUAGUCCUUGCACUGUCCCAGCCUUGCUAAUUCCAAAAAGAUGGUUUGUGGCGAAUGUGUGUGGAUAGCCGGGAAAUUAACAAUAUCACAGUCCGCUACCGGUUUCCUAUUCCCCGCCUUGACCACUUGCUGGAUCAAAUUGGAACGGCCUCUAUUUUUUCGAAGAUUGAUCUUAAGAGUGGCUACCUUCAAAUCCGUAUCCACCCCAGGGAUGAAUGGAAAACGGCGUUCAAGACAAGAGAAGGACUUUUCGAAUGGUUGGUCAUGCCGUUCAGGCUUUCCAACGCGCCUAGUACCUUUAUGCGUAUCAUGAAUCAAGCACUACGGCCGUUCAUCGGGAAGUUUGUAGUGGUGCAAGCUAUCAAACAUUGGCGACAUUACUUGGUUCACCGGUAGUUUGUCUUGUUUACGGACCAUGAUGCUCUACGCCAUUUGGAUAGCCAAGCAAAGGUGUCUUCCCGUCAUGGAUUGCAUUUCUUCAGCAACUUACCUUCUCUAUACGAUACCAAUCAGGCAAAACAAACCGUGUAGCUGAUGCAUUAAGUCGUCGCCACACCUUACUCACUACGAUGCACACGUUGGUAAUCGGGUUCUCCAAAUUUGCUGACUUGUAUGGAACUGAUCCGUACUUUGCUCCUCAUCUCGCUGACAUUCGCCAAGGCCUACAUUCUAAAUUCACUAUGCACGACGAUUUUAUCUUCUAUGGUCCUCGGUUGUGUGUUCCAGUUUGUAGCUUGCGGGUCAAGAUUAUUGAAGAAUUAUACAAUGAAGGUUGUCAUGGCAUCAUAUUUUUGGCCUACUCUUCGUAGGGAUGUAGAACGGUUUGUGGAGAGGUGUCGAGUUUGCCAACAAGGAAAGGGUAAGGCGUCGAACUCUGGUUUGUACAUACCGUUGCCCGUUCCCACCCAGCCGUGGACCAAUGUUGUAAUGUCCCUAACCGGGGCCUAAUAUUCAGACGGAAUGGUCAAAGAAUGGAUCAAAGGAAAAUGGAUCAAGGCAAAGGAGAAUUAAUUUUUGGGCUUGAGCCAUAUUUCAUACGACGAUGAAGUUUCUGGCCGAAGGAGUUUUGAGUACGAACGCGAUCACAAGCAUAUCAUUUCGUUUGCAUCCGCAAGCUAGUAGGUUGGUAGGCAAGCUACUGCACUAUUAUGGAUAAGAACAAUAAAUGGAUAAGCAUGAAGUUUAGGAUAAGCAUCACCAUUUGGAUAAGGAUAGAAAUAAAAAUAAGCUAAGUCAAGCCUAUCAAUGCCACCUCGUUGUCACGGACUUGAUCUUUGGUGAUCAAACCGUGCAGCCCUACACCCUCUUUGUCUCGAACAAAUGGACUAGGUAGCCUAACUCUCCCAAUAUUUCCGACCCUUUGUGAGAAAAGAACCCGGAAAGAACGAAAAGAACGAGAAAAGACAAGUGAUUACUGAAUUGCUCUAGUAUUGAUAAAAAUGCUGGAUGAUUACAAAUGAGGGAUCUCACCCCUAUUUAUACAAAACACCUCCUUAGUGGACGGUAGAGAUUAAAGCGUUAUAAUGCCCGAUAUUGAAGACAUCGUCAUAAAUACAAGGAUUUGGUUUGGUGAAAAAGUCUUCCGAGAAUCCUCUCCAAGUCUUUCCUUAAGUGGCUUCGAAGCUCUUCAACGAAAAAGGAUGGAAAAUGCUAAGUGUUUGGUGGGCUUUCUCCAUAGUCCGGCCCGUAUGUGUGUUCAAGUAAAUGGGCUGUGACAUCCUCCCCCACCUAAUUCGGCGACGUCCUCGUCGUUGUGAAUGCCUUGAGUUCCUCUCUGAAUUGCCAUAGCUCUUCUUCUGGUUCCCAUGAAGCCCCCGCUUUUGGUAAACCCUUCCAUUUGAUGAGAAAAUGUGUUCGUCGAGGAACACCACGUUUCCGAACUACCUUUGACGAGAGUACUUCCUCGAUCUCCUUAUCGUAAGACUUCGUCAUAAUGGGUGGUGCUUGAGACGACUCUCCACGAUGUUCGUCCUCAACAUCUCCGUGAUAGGGCUUGAGCAUACUUACAUGGAAAACCGGAUGGAUCUUCAAAAUGUCGGGUAGAUCAAGUUUGUAUGAAACCUUCCCUAUCUUGGCUAUUACUUCAAAUGGUUCCUCAUAUCUCCGGAGAAGCCCCUUGUGCAUGCUCCCGAAAACCUUAAAUUGUUGGCGAAGAAUUUUCACAAAGACUCGAUCGCCUACUUUUUCCAAGCAUACCUGGGCAAAGUCCGCAUGAUCUUCCCAUGUUUUUGCCAUAUUCUGCGCUCCCGGACUUCGUGUCUCGUUGUUCAGUAUGGCCAUGGAAUGGGGAGUCAUCGGUUGCUGCCCGGUCGCCAGUUCGAAGGGACUCUUCCCUGUCGCUUCGCUCCGUUGUAAAUUAUAGGAGAAUUGGGCAAUAUCGAGCAAAUUUGCCCAAUCUUCUUGGUUUGCACUUGCGCAGUGUCGUAGGUAGCACUCCAACAACAAAUUCGCCUGUUUUUUUUGACCGUCGGUUUGGGGAUGAAAGCUUGUUGAAAAACUUAGCUUUGUUCCGAGAUUCUUGAACAACUCCGUCCAAAGCUUCCCGGUAAAUCGAGGAUCACUGAAAACGUAAUCAAUAAUCAAUAAACGUUAUCAAUAAACGUAAUCAAAAUUCCGUCCAACUCUUGUUAUUUGCUUGUUUUGUUUUGCUUUCUUACCAGUAUCAAUAAUCGUUACAUUUUAGCUUAUGCAUGGUAGUCUAUGUUUUACAGCCUUACAUUUAUCGCAUGUUCAACAUGUUCGCUUAGGAUCACUGAAAACGUAAAAUCAUUUAUGCUUGCUUGACUUAAUCAUUUUUGAUAUACCUUGAUUGCUAGCAUCACACCUGAUUGGAUUGAUACGUAUUGUACUGUAAUGACAUGAUAGUACUCUAGGGUAAUUGAUAGAAAAAUCCUAGUAUCAUCGGUUUUCGGACUUGUCUUGUUGGCACACCAAACAAGUCUUCACAUAAAGCUCCACUGUGUCCCUUAAUUGGUUGCCAAUAGUAUACUGCUUCGACCAAGGCCAUCGUACGUUUUUGUCCCGGAUGCCCCGCCCACUGAGUAUCAUGAUACUCUCGAAUGAUCUCUCGUUGUAGGCUCCCCACAUUUGGGACAUAUAAGCGUCGACCCUUGGUGUAGAGUAACCCAUCCUCUACCUAAAAGCGGACAGUCUUCCCCUCCGACGCCAAUCUCAUCAACUCCCUGGCUAUCGGAUCAUGCUCGAGACUCUCCCGAACACGACUCAAGAUUUUCCCCUCGGCUUGACUAAUGUUUGCGAGUUUGGCCUUCUGACUCAACGCAUCAGCCACAACAUUAGCCUUCCCCGGCUUAUACUCCAACGUGAAGUUAAACUCAGCUAGAAAAUCUUGCCAACGAACUUGCUUCAGUGACAACUUCUUCUGAGUCUGAAAGUAAGUUGUUGCCACGUUGUCCAUCUUAAUGGAAAAAUAGGACCCCAAUAGAUAAUGGCGCCAAACACGCAAGCAAUGCACAACGACCGUCAUCUCUUUCUCCUGAACCGUAUACCGUCUCUUGGUGUCAUUCAGCUUGCGGCUCUCAAAGGCUAUUGGGUGUCCUUCCUGCAUAAGAACACCACCGAUGGCAAAAUCAGAAGCAUCGGUUUGUACCUCGAAUGGUUGACUGAAAUCCGGAAGGGCAUGUAUUGGUUCCCGGCUGACCGCCAACUUAAGCUCCUCGAAUGCCUUCUUACACUUAUCGGACCACUCCCAUGACUUUUCAUUUUUGAGGAGAUCGGUCAACGAGGCCGCCCUCAUGGAGUACCCCUCGAUGAAAUGCCGGUAAUAAUUAACAAGACCGAGAAAAGACCGUAGUUCAGGUACCUUAUUUGGAGCUUCCUGACUCGUAAUCGCUGAAACUUUGGCAUUCUCCAUUCUCAGUUUCCCUCUCCCCAUGAUAUGCCCCAAGAACUGCACUUCUUCGGUGGCAAAUGUGCAUUUCUCCCGCUUCACGUAUAACUCGUUCUCUCGUAGUUAUUGGAAUACUAUCUUCACAUGCUCAACGUGCUCCUCCAUGGAGUUGGAGUAAAUGAAGAUAUCAUCGAGAUAUGCUACCACAAACCGAUCCAAAUAGGGCUGAAGGAUCUGGUUCAUGAGUGUGCAGAACGUGGCCGGCGCAUUUGUGAGGCCAAAAGGCAUCACUAACCAUUCGAAUGAACCGUACCGAGUAACACACGCAGUCUUGGGUUCAUCCCCCUCGGCUAUCCGAACUUGGUAGUAACCCUUUUGUAAAUCCAUCUUGGUGUACACCUUCGCACAUCCCAGCCUAUCGAACAAGUCGGCAAUUAACGGAAUCGGGUACCAGUUUUUGAUGGUUACCAUGUUAAGUGCCCGAUAGUGCACGCACAUCCGGAGUGAGCCAUUGUGCUUCUUCUGAAACAACACCGGUGCGCCGUAAGGAGCCUUCGAUGGUCUCAGCAUUCUGGUUGAGAGCAACUCGUCGAGUUGCUUUCGUAGUUCAGCCAAUUCGGAUGGAGCCAUGCGAUACGAUGCCAUGGCCAGUGGUUUCGCUCCAACUUCUAGCUCGAUCCGAUGGUCCACCUCUCUCCUAGGUGGUAAUUUCUCGGGUAACUUAGGCGGCAUGAUGUAUUUGUUCUGCUCCAAGACUUUCUCGAUCACCGGUGGGAUAACAAGCGCUUCUCCAAACUCGUCAUCCAACUUCAACAAAGGGAGAUACGUUGGGUCUUUUUCUUCACUCCCUUCGAGAAUUGCAUCGCCAAAAGUUGCUGAACUUCACCAUCCUUUCGAGCUUCAACGGUAGGCACCAUACAUGGUGAAUUCUCCUCAAGGAUGCACAUUGUACUAAGGGCGGGCAUAGGUAUCGCCGAUACUUGCCUUUGGAAUUCGAGGCCAAGCACGACCUUGAAGUCAUCCAUGGAUACCACCGAGAAAUUCAUGCUCCCCUUCCAAGCCCAAAUACUAAGCUCCACCCCAUGUGCGAUCCCGUGAAGUGGUUGAGCUUUGGCGUUCACUGAUUUCAACCAUCAUUCACCCUUUGUCCAUGUCAGACCGAGCCUUUUCACCUCUCCCUUGGAUACAAAAUUGUGGGUUGCACCUGUGUCCACCAUUGCUUGUGUGGCUCGUCCGUUGACAUGGAUAUCCACGUACAUCAAUCCUCUACUCUUCGCCUUCGACGUAGUCUUGAGGGCGUUGAGUAACUGCAACGACCCGAUUAUUCCAGUCUCUUCUUGACCAUCGGCUUCCAUUUUUUCAAGGAGAGCGGACAAUGACCCCAGUUUUGGGCAAUCCCUCGCAGGAUGUGGCCCUUUUCACACGUAACAACUGCUCCUAGGGACAAAAGAAUGCUUCUUUGCUUCAUACUCUUCUUGUCCUAAACUCUUCCCCGAGUUCCGAGUAUAAGACGAUGCCGGCUGGUCUCGCCUAUCUCCAUUACCCCUAGGCGCUACUUUCUCCUUCUUCUUGUAGGAAUCAGGUUGAUUUUGGGUGACAAAAUUGGAAAGCGACUCAGCUACAACAAUUGCCUCAUCCACGGUGCUUACAUUCCGCCGUUGCAACUCUUGCUUCGCCCAUCCUUGCAGUCCAUCAAUGAAAUGGAACACCAAGUCUUGAUAGGACAAGUUUGGGAUUUGCAACAUGAGGGUAGUGAACUCCUUCACAUAGUCCCGCAUCACACCCCUUUGGCGAAGCUCUCUUAGCUUCCUCCGUGCCUCAUACACCAUAUUUUCAGGGUAGAAUUGGCGCUUGAGCUCCUUCUUAAACUCCUCCCAAGUGUCUACCCGACAUGUUUCCCGCUCAAUGUCCGCAUGACGCCUCUGCCACCAUAACAUUGCCGUAUCGGUAAGGUACAACGUGGCAGCUUUUAUCUUUGCAGUCUCGUCUCCGAGCCCGAGAUUGCCAAAGUACUGCUCUAUUUGCCACAAGAAAUUCUCAACUUCUUUGGCAUCUCGUACCCCAUCAAAUCGGGAUGGUCUCGGGUAAUCCACUAUACCCAAAAUUGCGUUGCUAGUCCCCCCACUGGCAACAGCCUUCUUGCACAAGGUAAGGUCUUCUUGCAUCGCCUCGAUGCUCACCUGCAAUGCUUGAACCGCCCCCAUCAUCUUCUCUUCCAGUCGGACGAAUUGACUCUCCAUUCCCCCCCACGUUCUCCUUGACUCCACUAAGCUCGGAGAACACAAUUUUUUGAGUUCGGAGGCCAAGUACUCGACACGCUCGACCCUCUCCCCCAACUCGUUCACCACAACAACCAGAGACCCGACCUCAUCGCGAACCCUGCUCUUCUUGCGCUUACUCGCCUUCCUCGGAGCAUGGACAUAUGCACUCUCCGUCACUAGGUUGAUGUCCUCUCCGUCAACAACGAUGUUUUCAUUGUGACCCACCAUCUUUCAGUAAGUUUCAUUAAGUGGCUUCGAAGCUCUUCAACGAAAAAGGCUGAAAAAUGCUAAGUGUUCGGUGGGCUUUCUCCAUAGUCCGGCCCGUAUGUGUGUUCAAGUAAAUGGGCCAUGACAUCGUGCUUCCAUAGCUUCCUCCCCAAGUAACCACGUCCUAUAAAUACCCCCUCUCCUUUUCAUUUGUUCGUCACACCAAAAACCAACAAAAACUUUCCCAAGUGAGUAAGUGUCCGAGCUUGUCCGUGGUAGUAUCUGAGUAGGAUCGCCAAGAGUCCCGAAGCGUGUGAGGUAGCACACGACUAGGAUUAUUUAAAGUAUUUAUUUAUUUAUUAAUAUUUAGCAUGAGAUUAGGGAUUAUUAUAUUGGCAUUAUUUGUGGUAAUGGUGAACUGUUCUUGAUUGAUGAUUAUGUGAUAGUAUAACAUCGCGAUAGAUAACUGUUAUGCUAGCAUUUAGGGGCAUAACCAUUAUGCUGUCGGAUUGUUAUAUUAUUUAGUUGUUGGUUAUGCUUUGGUUAGAUAUCUAGCACUAAUCGGAUCGUGCUAUCCUCGUCGUAUAUGAUACGUUAGGUAACGUGAUUAUAUACGGAGGCUCGGGGCUGGGUCGCGACAGAUCAGGCAGCUACAUGACGAUGUAGAGUGAAGGGAUGACAGAUCUUCUAUAAACUUUGUGUCUAGAAGUGUAGGGUGUUGCCUUGAGGAUAUCAUUGAUUCGUAGGGGCCCAAAAUAGGAUCGAGAUGAGAUGUAUUACUUGCAUUUUGGUUUACUGCUUAUGGCUUCUAAGCCAUAAUGCUUAUUGAUCGCCAUUGCUUGUGAUUGGGGGUUGGGUUGGGUUAUUUUAGAGAUCCCGGACUUACUGAGUAAUCUAAGAUUACUCAAGAUUCUACCAAUUUUUUUUGCAGGUAACCAGUAGUGGGAAAACCUUAGGGGAAGCAAAGGACGUUAGGCCAACCGGUGUAGAUUUCCUUGCCUUUGUAAGAUGUAGUUUAGUGUAUAAUACAUAUGACUCUAUUUUCCCGAUAUUAAUAAAGCGAUGCGUUUAUAAACACCAUGUCUCCCAUGAUGUUAUUAGUCUUGUCCAGACUAACACAACUCGUGUUCGCGGUACGGGUUGCAAAGCCAUAGGCCGUGAUCUUGAAGAACGACUCCUGCGGUUGGACGGCCUAGGCGUACGAAUUCGUUUCGGGAGCUUGAGUCGGCCGCCUACGGGCGUCUAACGUGACGCUCUUGGCUCCUUCUUGGCCUAUAACGGGUCGGGGGUGUUACAAGUUUGGUAUCAGAGCAUUGUUCACUGUGCUUACGGGACGCACGUUUUCAAAAAAAAAAAAUUAUCGAGUAAAUAUAGUCACAAAGGAAAUUAGGGAACUGGUACUUCCUUCUGCAAUUAGGUAGAUGGGAUAGGAUUUUACCCUUGAAUGUUGGAUGCAAAUGUCUUGCCAGAAGGUGGAGAAAUGAAUACCAUGGGGUAGAGUACAUUACUUCCCCAUUGGUUAUUCAUCAAGCAAGAAAUUCGGAAGACGUAAGGUGAAUGCCAAUGGAGAAGAUAAACCUUAGGAUUAUAUUACCCUUCUCAUUAGGUAUCAUAACAGGUAAGUAUGGGUUCUAUCUUUGUCCUUUUUAUCGUGUUUUGUGUGUUGAUUGUUUGUUUUAUUUCAGGUAAGUGUUGGUCUAGUUAGGUGUAGUAUAUUAGGGGAAUGACAACCCCAUAUGUGUCCAGAAUUAGGAUUUUAGUCUUUGUGUAACCCCAAAGACUAUGAAUCCUAAGAGUGAGAAAUCUAGAAUUUAGGAAACCAUAGUUUUCUAGUAGAAACCACCCUUUACCUUUUGGUGGUGACUUGUGGUGUGGAAGUAAGGCAUGUGGAGAUAGGUAAGCUGUCAUGUAAUAGUAACAAAAGGAAAAAUGAAGAUUGAUAAAUAGAGGAGUCCCUAGUAUGGUUGUGAUGCCAAUACCCAUGAAGGAAGGAACCUUCACUAGAAAAUGGAAAAGUUGAUAGUAGUAUGAAGGAUUGAGAGGAAGAAGCGAGUGCAGAGUAUUCUGUAAGGACAAGGCGAAGAAAGUUUGCGAGGACAAAGAAGGAGUAUUCAUUCUACUCACAAAAGAAGAAAACUCAGAAGUAGAUUUUAAGGUUCGAAAGAAGUAAAUCAUGAGGAUAUAAUCAAGUGCGAAUGGGAGGUGAUCAAGAGGAUUUUGAAGGGUCAUGACGACCCAAUGAAGCAGCUAUCAAGCAAUGAACUGGUUAGAGAGGACCACUUAUCAUGCUUGAUAGAGGAACGGUUCCACAUAUGGAGUAAUGGUGGCACCAAGCAGAGAGCAGAGAAGAUGGAUUCAUGGAAGGACCCAAGAAGAAUCAUCUAAUGGAAAGGAUAAUUAGAAGAAGAGAGUGAGAAAAUGGAGUCAAGUAUAGUGGAGAAACGAAAAGAGAAAAUUACGGGACAAUAAAAGAAGUGAAAAAGAGGACAGCAAGAUUAACCCCAUGAGAUGGAAAUCGUGAGAUUAAAAAGACUAUAUCUAAAGACAAAGAUAGCUAGAGCAAAGAGAAUGGAGAAGUUUGGUGUACUUGCCGAUGAAGGGUGUUAUUCGAAAGACGUACUUUACAUAUAGUCAAGUUAAGUCGAAGGGUAGAUAUAUUCACAAGGCGCAAGAGGGAACGUAUGUCUAAGAAGAUGAGAAUCAGAACUUAAAAAGAAGUUAAGGAAGAAAGAGAUUACACAAUGGAAUGUAUUAAAAGCCUAGGCCAUAAUUGAAAAAUCAGAGGAAGUGUUGAUUCUAACAAAAUCUUGGAAGUGAGACGAUAAGUUAAUAUCAAGGAAGACAUCAAAAAGGAAGAAAGUUAAAGAUGAAGAUGCAGACAAAAACAAGGAAAUCAAAGAGGAGUGGAAGGUGUGAACCAAAGAAAAUGGUUACACCAUAUUUUAGGAAGAAGAUGAAGACAAGAAUUGAGCCGUACAAUAAGCCAAAGGGGAGGAGAGUUGUACAUCGAAAAAGGCUAGUGAAGAAGUGUAAUGAUAAAGAUAGGUGAACAAGGAAAUCAAGAUGUUGGACUAAGAGCCAAGAAAAGAAGAAGAACUGUUGAAGAGUCCAAAGAGGUUGCAAGAAAAUAAUGGAGUACUAUUGAAAAGACCCGACCCGUUUUUUUUUAUAAAAAAAUUAUUAAUUAAUAGUCUCAUACCUACUAAUUAACCUAACGGAAUUAACCCAACAAUAAAUCAUCAUGCACAGCGGAAACAUAUUAAACCAACAUCAAAUAAUCAUAAUAUUAAUUAACCAAUCAUUCAGUAACCACAAUUUACACCAGCAACCUAGCAUGCCUCUAAACCAGGUUCCAACAAUAAUUAACAUAUUCAUAACAUAACAACCGAGACCCUAAAUCAUCCUCCUCUCCUCGCUAUGAUUCCACGGAUCACACUAUACAUGCACCAAAAACACAAUAAGAUGCGUGAGUAUUAUCACAAAUACUCAGUGAAGCGAUCCUCCCAUCUACUGGGCUAUACACACAAGCAUAUUAAACCAAUCUAACAUGCGUCAAAUUAACCAAAACAAACAAACCAGGCAUAAAAAGACACGAAAUACACGCUGUCCAGAAAAACUGUCCAAAAAUUUGGCGUCGAGCGACACCGAUCCCGCAGAAACUCUGAAAUCGCCUCUCAACUCCCCAGAGAACGAAUCCAACACCUCAAAAGCUCCAGCUAUGAGCCCUAACACUCAAACAUACAAUAACAGCAACCAAAACACACAAACAUGGCCACACAAAACAAAUCCAGCAAUCCAAAUCAAUCAAACACACAUAAGAAAGGUUAAACAUGCUUAGAUCAGCCAUAGUCACGCACUCACCUUGAUAUGGAUUGAAAGAAGGACAAAACAAAGAGGAACAGAAAGAACAAGACCCUCCUUGCACCACCAGCCACGAAUCCAACCCUCUCCUUGCUAGAAGUCACCAGAACUUGCCACAGAAACCUCCAAAAACCCUCACAAGCCUCUUCUUAAUCUUUAGGAACAACCAACUCACAACCCUCUCUCUCUCUUUUGUUUUUAAGAACCGACAAACGCCAUAGGUGAGAAAGAAAAGCUGCUUCCACGAGUUUAAAGUCGUGCCUAGGGUUUUCUAAUCAAUUCCAAUUAAACCGACGGUUUAAAAGCUAAACCGUCUAACCCAAUUUUGUUGGUGUCGAUCGACACCCAACACUGGUGUCGGUCGACACCACCAAAAUUUCAGACACGGGUAUUACAAUUCUCCCCCACUAACAUGGAUUCGACUUCGAAUCCUUCAAAACCAUCCGUCAGCCCACCACUGACUUCCCGAGGCCCCUAUCUAAUCAAUAUACUCACGUUCCAGACCCUAUUUGCUCAUACACACCUACCUCCCCCGUCCAUAGGUCGCAACCUAUGAAUCAUACCGGCUCGUCCUCAGGCCUCAGCCUUAGAAUACGGUAUCUUGGAAGUCUCACCACUCCCUCCGCUCUCAGGUCGCAACCUUCGAGUCAUACCGGCUCACUAUUAGGCCACCAGCCUUCAAGCUACGGUAUCCGGGAAGUCUAACCACUCCCCCCAUCCACAGGUCGCAACCCAUGAAUAAUAACGGCUCACUAUUAGGCCUCUAGCCUUCAAGCUACGGUAUCCGGGAAGUGUCACACUCGCUCUCGGGUCGUCACCCUUAAGCGUUCUCUCGAAUCGUCAUCCGAGACUAUCACAUCUCAUCCGAGACUAUCGCAUCACACCCGAGCAAGUAAGUCUAAACGCCCCCGAGCAUAUCUCUAGAUUAGAUAUAUCUCUCGUGGUUCCCCUAUAGCAUCACAAUGCUAUACUAACCACAAUCCCAAAACUUUCUAAAAAUAGAACUGUCAAACCCGACACUUUCUAAUUUUAGAAACUCACACAUAUUUCUCUUCACAUGACACCAACAAGUCAAAAAUCACCAAAAAAAACACAACUUACCGUGGAAUCUCAUUGAAGGCUCGAGAGGAUGAUCUAGGUCUCCAUGCUCAUAUAAUUGAUUAAACACACAAAUCAAUCAGCAUGCAAUCCACAUCAUCAUUUCUCAUCAACGAAAUUCACAUAUCACAUUAAAAAUCACCAAUUUACUCCCGCCCCAGAACCGUAAGGGCUCUGAUACCAAAUUGAAAAGACCCGACCCGUUUUUUUUAAAAAUUUAUUAAUUAAUAGUCUCAUUUCUACUAAUUAACCUAACCGAAUUAACCCAACAAUAAAUCAUCAUGCACAGCGGAAACAUAUUAAACCAACAUCAAAUAAUCAUAAUAUUAAUUAACCAAUCAUUCAAUAACCACAAUUUACACCAACAACCUAGCAUGACUCUAAACCAGGUUCCAACAACAAUUAACAUAUUCAUAACAUAACAACCAAGACCCAAAAUCAUCCUCCUCUCCUCGCCAUGAUUCCAUGGAUCACACUAUACCUGCACCACAAACAAAAUGAGAUGCGUGAGUAUUAUCACAAAUACUUAGUGAAGCGAUCCUCCCAUCUACUGGGCUAUACACACAAGCAUAUUAAACCAAUCUAACAUGCGUCAAAUUAACCAAAACAAACAAACCAGACAUAAAAAGACACGAAAUACACGAUGUCCAGAAAAACUGUCCAGAAAUUUGGUGUCGAGCGACACCGAUCCCGCAGAAACUCUGAAAUCGCCUCUCAACUUCCCAGAGAACGAAUCCAACACCUCAAAAGCUACAGCCAUGAGCCCUAACACUCAAACAUACAAUAACAGCAACCAAAACACACAAACAUGGCCACACAAAACAAAUCCAGCCAUCCAAAUCAAGAAGACACACAUAAGAAAGGUUAAACAUGCUUAGAUCAGCCAUAGUCACGCACUCACCUUGUUAUGGAUUGAAAGAAGGACAAAACAAAGAGGAACAGAAAGAACAAGACCCUCCUGCACCACCAGCCACGAAUCCAACCCUCUCCUUGCUAGAACUCACCAGAACUUGCCACAAAAAACUUCCAAAAACCCUCACAAGCCUCUUCAUAAGCUUUAGGAACAACCAACUCACAACCCUCUCUCUGUCUUUUGUUUUUAAGAAUCUACAAACGCCAAAAGUGAGAAAGAAAAGCUGCUUCCACGAGUUUAAAGUCGUGCCUAGGGUUUCUCUAAUCAAUUCCAAUUAAACCGAAGGUUUAAAAGCUAAACCGUCUAACCCAAUUUUGUUGGUGUCGGUCGACACAACCAAAAUUUCAGACACGGGUGCUACAACUAUGCUACUUAUGGACAAAGUAUAGUACCUACAACAUGAUCGUAUGCUGGAGAAGUGAUAAUACAGAUCUACCCAGAGUCAAAAUAGAAUCGACUGAAACACGAGAAAGAAGUAUGAAGACUACCUGAGUAGUGCUUUACAAGAGAAGAAUAUUCAAAGUGGUAUCAAGAUCAAGAAGAGUAAAGAGUUGAGAAGAAUGGUAUUAAUAAAAUGUUUAGAAGGGUGUAUCACAAAGGAGAUGGUUCUUAGAAAAGUCGUUCAGUACCACGUAAAAAAGUAGAAGUGUAAGGUCCGAGUCUAUUUGAUAUGAAAGGAAAUUAUCAAAUACUCGAGACAACAACAACGAGAAAAACGAGAGAAUAAGUAAGUUAGACAAAGACAAUAGUGGAGACAGAAUAAAGUAAAGCGUAAGUCGCAGUUCCAGAAAAUUCGAGGACGAAUUUUUAUAAGGGGAGGAGAAUGUAAUGUCCCUCACCCGGGCCAAAUAUUUAGAUGGAAUGGUCGAAGAAUGGCUAUCGAAGGAAAAUGGAUUAAGGUAAAGGAGAAUUAAUUUUUGGGCUUGAGCCAAAGUAUUCUUUGAUGAAUACAAAGCUUUUGACCGAAGAAAAAUGGUAGUCAGACGAUGAAAAUCAUAUUUCAUACGACGAUGAAGUUUCUGGCCGAAGGAGUUUCGAGUACGAACGCGAUCACAAGCAUAUCAUUUUGUUUGCAUCCGCAAGCUAGUAGGUUGGUAGGCAAGUUACUGCACUAUUAUGGAUAAGUACAAGAAAUGGAUAAGCAUGAAGUUUAGGAUAAGCAUCAACAUUUGGAUAAGGAUAGAAAUAAAGAUAAGCUCAAUCAAGUCUAUCAAUGCCACCUCGUGCUUCCAUAGCUUCCUCCCCAAGUAACCACGUCCUAUAAAUACCCCCUCUCCUUUUCAUUUGUUCUUCACACCAAAAACCAACGAAAACUUUCCCAAGUGAGUAAGUGUUCGAGCUGGUCCGUGGUAGUAUCCGAGUAGGAUCGCCGAGAGUCUAGAGUCCUUAGUAGCCAAGCCAAGGUAAGUUCUGAAGCGUGUGAGGUAGCACACGACUAGGAAUAUUUUAAGUAUUUAUUUAAGAUAAUUAAUUCUUUAUUUAUUUAUUUUUUAUUAAUAUUUAGCAUGAGGUUAGGGACUAUUAUAUUGGCAUUAUUUGUGGUAAUGGUGAACUGUUCUUGAUUGAUGAUUGUGUGAUAGUAUAACUUCGCGAUAGAUAACUGUAAUGGUAGCAUUUAUGGGCAUAACCGUUAUGCUGUCGGAUUGUUAUAUUAUUUGGUUGUUGGUUAUGCUUUGAUUAGAUAUCUAGCACUAGUUGGAUUGUGCUAUCCUCGUUGUAUAUGAUACGUUAGGUAAUGUAAUUAUAUACGAAGGCUCGAGGCUGUGUCACGACAGACCGGGCAGCUACAUGACGAUGUAGAGUGAAGGGAUGACAGAUCUUCUAUAGACUUUGUGUCUAGAAGUGUAGGGCAUUGACUUGGGGAUAUCAUGGAUUCGUAGGGGCCCAAAGUAGGAUCGAGAUGAGGUGUAUUACUUGCAUUUUGGUUUUUUGCUUAUGGCUUCUAAGCCAUAAUGCUUAUUGAUCGCCAUUGCUUGUGAUUGGGGGUUGGGUUGGGUUAUUUUAGAGAUCCCAGACUUACUGAGUAAUCUAAGAUUAUUCAAGAUUCUACCAAUUUGUUUUGCAGGUAACCAAUAGUGGGAAAACGUUAAGGGAAAAGGACGUUAGGCUAACCGGUGUAGAUUUCCUUGCCUUUGUAAGAUGUAGUUUUGUGUAUAAUACAUAUGACUCUAUUUUCCCGAUACUAAUAAAGUGAUGCUUUUAUAAACACCGUCUCUCCCAUGAUAUUAUUAGUCUUGUCCAGACUAGCACAACUCGGGUUCGCGGUACGAGUUCAUAGUCAUAGGCCGUGAUCGUGAGGAACGACUCCUGCGGUUGGACGGCCUAGGCGUACGAAUUCGUUUCGGGAGCCUGAUUCAGCCGCAUGCGGGCGUCUAACGUGAUGCUCUCGGCUCCUUCUUGGCCUAGAACGUGUCGGGGGUGUUAUAGAUGUUAUCAUGGACUUUGUUUUGGGCCUUCCUUGGCCCCAACGAGGGCACGAUUCUAUCCUUAUGGUGGUGGACCGAUUCUCAAAAAUGGCCCAUUUCACCCCCUGCAAGAAGACUACCGACGCAGUUAGUGUCUCUAAUUUGUUCUUCCGUGAGAUCUACCGCCUACACGGGCUUCCGUCGUCCAUCGUUUCUGAUCGGGAUUCCCGUUUUCGUAGCCAUUUUUGGAGGUCUCUUUGGAGGUUGUUGCGUAAUAGUCUCGACAUUAACACUGCCUAUCAUCCUCAAACGGAUGGUUAGACGAAAGUUAUUAAUCGUUCUGUGGGUGAUUUACUUCGUUGUUUAAGUUGUGAUAAUAUCAAGAGUUGGGAUGCUAAGUUGUGUCAAAAUGAGUUCGCUUAUAAUCAUGCCGUGAACCGCAUCGUGGGCAUGAGUCCUUUUCAAGUGAUUUAUGGUGUUGUUCCUUGCUAUCCAUUGGACCUUGCUCCUCUACCGGAUGAUAUUCAUUUGCAUGGCCAGGCAGAAGAUUUUGUGGCAAGCUUAAAGGAUGUCCAUACGCAAGCUCAUCACAAUUUGGAGACGUCUGUCGCUAAGUACAAGGCUACUGCUGAUCAUAAGCUGUGUGAGGUAGUUUUUGAAGUUGAUGAUCUUGUGUGGGUUGUUUUGACAAAGGACCGUAUGCCUCUUCGGGAGUAUAAUAAGCUGAAGUCGCGGAAGAUUGGACCGGUCGAAAUUGUCGCCCGCAUAAAUGCUAAUGCUUAUCGAGUAGCUCUUCCUCCUCACCUCAAGACGUCGGAUGUGUUUAACGUCAAGUUCCUGUCUCCUUUCCACGGGGACAACGACGGCUUGGAUUCGUGGUCGAAUCCUUCCCCACCGGGAGGGACCUGAUGCAGCGCAUCUUCUUAUCGGGCUUGCUCGUUGCUCUUGUGGGCUUUACGCAAUCGACCAAAUGGGUGUUGAUCUUUUGGUUUCAUUUGAUAUUUUGACAUUGUUUUAAAAUAAGGAUAUUAACAUAUCCAUCCCUUCUUAGAUUUGACUUUAUCUUAUUAGUUGGUGUUUAGGGCUUUAUAAACUUUGUUGCGUCUUUGUUUCGAGUCAGUUUUUGAUAUUUAUUAGAAAAAAAACCAAAAAGAGGCACACCUUUGCCCAAAGAGCUUGUGUCAAGCUAGAGAGGAGGCCUCUCAAUAUCCUUUUGUUAAUUUGUUACCAUUUCCGCUUACGCCUCUACAUUAAUAAACAAACAUGAUUAUAUGUACAACACCAUAACCAUCCAUUUCCGAUGAAUUUUUCGCCGGAAUCCGGCGUUGACCGAUAUUGACCGACGUUUACCAACAAUAAAAAAGAAAAAUAAUUUUUAUAAAAAAUAAGAAAGAAUAUAUAAUUUUCUAGUAAAAUUAUAAAAUGAAAUAUUUUUAAAAAUAAUAUACUUAACAAAUAUACUUUUUCUUUUUUUUUUCAAUUAUUUUUACUUUGUAUUCAAAUGUAGGGUUUUAAUUAUUUUCUAGAUAUAUACUUUUAUGUAAAUAAUAUUUUAAUUAUAUUUCUUCUUUUUCCCUUAUAAAAUAUAUAUAUUUGGCGAUGCCAUAGAAAUAUUUGAAAUGCCAUAAUCUCAUAAAUUUUAUAUCUAUAUUAACAUUUUUGAAGUACCUUUUGGAAAAUAACCUUUUAUUUUGUAUUAUUUGCAUAAUAAAUCCUUGCCAUUUAAAUAAAUAACAAAUUUAAAGAUAAAAUUUGUAAUUAAAUUACACCAGAAUCGAAAAAUUAGAAACUAAUAUAUAUUACAUUUAACAAAAUUUCCUAAAGUUUUCCCUAAUAAAUUGAAUAUCUCUCCAAUAUCUUUAUAUGAUCUUAUUUGUUUUAAAAUUUACAUUAUUACAUAAAACAUAAGUAUAAUAAAAAUACAAAACAAAUUUUGCAUAUGUAGCAAUUUGAAUUUUUGAAAACAGACGUAUAUUACUCAAUCGAUAAAAGAAAAAAAAAUAUAUGUAUAACGUCCCACAUCGGGUAGAAAAUUUUAGACAAUGGUUCGGAACCAUUAUAAAUAUGACUAAUAUGAAACUUAAAAUCCGAAAUCUUGAAUGGAAGAUUACAACAAAAAAAGUUUUACUAAAUUUUAGGGAAUCCAAAAUUUUAAAAUAUUGAUUGGUUAAAAAUGAGUUUUUGGAAAACAAAAACCAAAAUCUCUCUCGAAAUCUAUAAAUUAUUCAAGUUUUAUAUUUACAUAAAUAUGAUUUAACGGGCUUGAGUUAUAUGUUUUUCUUACGAGUUAUCUUAUGGGUUAACAAAACAAAAGAAAAUAACAAAUAUAACUUAAACAUAAUUUGUUUAGUCCCGCAAGUUAGAAAAAAAUAUCCCGCGAGUUAAGUAAUAAAAAUAACAAUCAAAAAUACAGUUACACAAUCUUAAACACUAAAAUGGUAAUAAAAUUAACAAAUAUAACUUAAAUAUAUAUUUUGUUUAGUCAAAACAAUCGUCUCGCGGUGUACCACGGGUUAAAACCUAGUAUAAAUAAAAACUCAAAACAUAUUUAAAACCCCGACCUACGACUUUACAAAAGAAAAAAAAUGAUUUUUUAAUAUUUCGUUAUAUUACUAUAUAUAUAUAACUAAAUUUACCACGUAAAAAUUUUGUGGUAUACUUUCUUUACUUGGUAUAUUUGUUUUUAUAUUACCAAAAUUGUAUAACAAAAUAUUUCACAAAAUUUAUUGAGAAACUGAUACCAAUAACCUUUUUAUGAUACCCUCUUUUAAAAAUACCCUCUUUUUUGCAAUUUUCAUUUUUGCUCUCUUUUAAAUUUUAAUGGUCAUUUUACCCCUAGUUCAAAGAAUAUUCUUUCCCAAAGGAAGGAAUAUUCCUUUCAAAAAUUUUCCCCCCAAAAAUUUCCCGCCAAAAAAAUUUCCGAGAAAAAAUUUCCGUAAAACUUUUCCCGCAAAAACAAAAUAUUUUUACAAAAUUUUCCCGCCAUAUAUUUUAAAGGGUUUACAAGAUUUUUUAAAGGGUCUUUUAAAGGGUUUACAAGGGUUUUAAAGGGAUUUACAAGAGUUUUUAAAUAGUUUUUAAAAGAUUUGUAAUGGUUUUUAAAUGAUUUUUAAAUGAUUUACAAUGGUUUUUAAAUUUUUUUAUAAGUUUAUAACAGUUUUAAAAGGAUUUACAAGGAUUUUUAAAGGUUUUUAAAAAGGAUUUACAAGUGUUUUUAAAAGGACUUACAAGUGUAUUUAAAGGCAUACAAAGAUUUAAAAAUAGUUUUAAGGGAUUUACAAGGGGUUUUAAAGGGUUUUAGAAGUUUACAAAGGUUUUUAAAGGGUUUACAAAAGUUUUUAAAUGUAUUACAAGUUCUUUAAAAUGGUUUUUAAGGAUUUACAAGGGUUUUUAAAGGGAUUUAGAAGUUUAUAAAAGCUUUUAUUAAAUGAUUUAUCACGGUUAUAAGGGGUUUAAAGGGAUUUACAAGUGUUUAUAAAUGUUAUAAAAAGGGUAAUUUAGUCCUUUGGUACAUAGAAGAGGGUAUUUUUGAAAAUGGACACCUAGAGAGGGUACUUAUAGAAAAGGGUAUCAUAAAAAGGUUAGUUGUGCAAAUCCCCCAAAUUUAUUUGGUAUAUAAGUUUUGACCUUUAAUGUGAGAUAAAAAAAUUUUACUUUUAUAAUAUGUUUUGAUAUUUCUUUUGUAAAAUUAUGUAAUAUAUUUACCUAUUUAUCAAAAAUAGUUAAAAUAAAAAAUAAAAUAAUUAUGGAUUUUUUUUUAUAAUUUUUUGUUGGUCAUCGUCGGUUAGGCAUGACGAUGUUUACGGUUUAUUAACCACCGGUUAUGGUUAUAAAUAUUUUUUAACCAUAACAUUAACUUUUAUAUAUACGGUUACAACGGUUAUGGUUAUAUACAGUUACGGUUAAAUCCGGUUACGGUUAUUUGAUGUUUAUGAUAUAAAUAAUAUUAAAGGCAAAAUUUUAUAUUUUCUUACCAUAUCAAAUAAUGUUUAUUUACAAAUAUGAAAUAUAUGUAAUUAUAUGAUUCAAAUAUUUAUAGUACAUUAGUUAAAGAAAUGAUUUUUGUUUAAUCAAAGACAACUACAAAUAUAUAAACCAAUGGUUAUGAACCUACAAAUAUUUAAAUUAAAUUAUUUUUGAUUUGAUUAAUGGAAAUGAGUAGUGGAAUGGAUUAGGGUUACUAGUUGACAUAUUUAAUCAUUUUGUUUUUUUUCAUGAACAUAUUUAACCAUUUAAAACAUUGUUUUAAUGAGAUAAUUUUUAGAUAAAUUAUCUCUAAUAACCUUUUUAUCAUACCCUUUUGCAAAAUUAUCCUCUUUUUUUGUCAUAAUCAUUUUUGCCCUCUCUUAAAUUUUAGUGACCAUUUUACCUCUAGUUGAAUUCUUUCCUUUGAACGGAAUAUUCUUUCCAAAAUUUUUCCCGCCAAAAUAUUUUCCUACCAAAAUUUAUAAAUGUUAUAAAAUGAUUUACAAAGGUUUUAAAAGGUUUACUAAAGUGUUUGAAGGUUUUGAAUGACUUUUAAAAGAUUUACAAGGGUUUUAAAAAGAGUUUUUAAGGGUUUUAAAAAAAUUUACAAGGUUUUAUAAGGAAAUGCGGAAAAAUUAUGGCUGAAAAUUUGGCAGGAAAAUGUUUUGGCGGAAAAAAAUUUGUCGGAAAUUUUUGUGGGGAAAUUUUCGGAAGGAAUAUUCUUUUUUUGGAAUUUGGAAAUAAUAUUCCUAUUUUCAUGAUGUGUUAUAUUAAAGGAGGGUGAUUUAGUUAUUUUGUACACGGAAGAGGGUAUUUUCUAAAUGAACACCAAAAGAAGGUAUUCUUACAAAAGGGUAACCUAAAAAAGUUAUUUGUGCAAAUCCCCCUAAUUUUUAUUCGAUGUUUAAUUUUACGGUUAACCGUACAGUUAACUAACGGUUUUAUACGGUUACGGUUGAUAACGGUUACGAUUAAUAUUUUUUAUAACUGUGAAAGAUUUAUUUUUACAGUUAACGGUUAUGGUUUUUAACCGUUUUAUACGGUUACGGUUGAAAAACAGUCUGGUUAUAGUUAGAAAUACGAUUAAAAUAAGAUUUUAGUCAUGCUUAACGUUGGUCAAUGCCGAUCAAAAUUGGUCAACGCCAUAUUUCAGCGAUAAAGUCACCAAAAAAAAUGGUUAUGGUAUUGUAUACAUAGCUUAUGCUUGUUUAUUUAUGUCCUUAUGUAAUAACAAUAGUUCAUGUAAUUAACGAAACAAUUAUAUUAUUUACAUGUAUGUAGCUGAGAAUGAUUUUUUCAAUUUUAAAUAAACAAAGCCAGACUGAACUCAUAAACCUUUUUUUAACACCCGAUAACACGGUAUGCUCAUUCUUGAGUUUACAUCUUUUCAUUUAAUUCACGUUUGACUUUAUUUUUUGUUUCUACAAACUCGACCGACUUCAAAUAAACUAGCAUCUUAUUUUCUUUUUUUUUUUUUUUUUCUAAGAAUGUAAAUAUCAUUUCAUGAAAUGAAAGUUUAGGUAUUACAUCAAGUAAUUCCUAAAUACAUGGUUCUAUGCCAAAAAAGUUUUAAAAACAAAGAAGCAUAAACAUUCGAGCUUCAAAUCAACAUCUAAAACCACAAGCGGUAAAACUAAUGGGACGUCGAGAAGAGAACUCGAUAAAAUGACUCCCCUAAGGAAAAGAAGGCAAGAAACAAGAGCAUAAAGGGAAAUAGGUGGACAUCAGACUGUUGUGGAAGCGAAGCGGAAGUCCCUUCAACGUGAGCCCGAAACCAAAAAAAGCAGCGGAGCAUCACGAGCUAAAGGUGGCAGGCAAUGUUGUUCUCUACCGAGACCCCAACAGUAGCGCGAACAAAGCAACAUCAUAUCCUCCAAAAGCCAUACUAACACCUCCAAAAUGCAAAGAACAAUCACAGUAAACCACAACCAAACUGAAGUUUCACUAGCCACUACAAAUACUUAGCUGAUGAAAGAGAGCGAAAGGCAUUGAAGGAGGUGAACUAAGGUAGCAGAAUAAACUCAAACAUCAAGUAGAAAAGCUAACAAGCGCGACAUAGCCGGAGUUGCGUGGACAUGCCAUCGAAUCUGCGACGCAAGGCUAACCUCAAAACCUGUAUCAAGCAAAGACAACUACUCCUUCCGGCUGAAACUCACUAGAAGCCUGAACAAGCAGAAAGAGACUCGGGCAAAUCAAGUCUAAAGCAUUAAGUCUGCAAUGACUUGGGAGAUGGCACGAAUAGCGAUGGAACCCGGUGACCAAAGGAGCAAGAGAAGUCGGCUCUUGAAAGGAGGCAAUACAAAUAACAACAAUCUUCAUGAAUAAUCCAUUCCCUCUGCAGACCUAUGAGCUGAAGAUCGGAACAACCAGGAUUCUGCAACCUAAUCACUAACCACACCAACCUAAACUCCAACAAACAACAGAGCUCACUGUACUCAACGAAGAGACAAUAAGACAGGGAGACCAACGACUCUAAUUCACAGAGCGGCAGCAGCGGCGAACAGCUUGAAGACUAGCAGCAAACGAAGGAAGGAGGAGAGCAGAAGCUUACCAACACAAAGGCGGAGUAACAAAACACCGCCAAACCUCUACCAAAGGAAGAUCCGCCGCACGCCAAAGGGAAGGAGAAGAGUGAUGAAAGAGACCACAAAUCUACAAACCACUUGCCAGAAAAGCCAUAGCACCACUUGAUAAAAAAUCAAGAAGUCGAGCGAAGCUAAACAACACUCAAAAUCACCAAGGUUCACCGCGUGUAGAGACGUCCUAAAAGUCACCGUCUUCAAGCAACCAUAUAAGGAGCGAGCACGCCGUGGCGGUGAAUUUACCGAAAACGCUGAAAGGUCCCCAACAAGUCGACGCCUUUUCAAUCGAAGGAAGAGUUUCCAGAGAACGAAGCCACUUAGAUCUGUCACCAACGCUCGUCAAAUCACAGUUGUGAAGGUGCCCAACCGAUGAACGGAGAACCGAGAAGCCCUCUCACGGCCAUGGCGAGAGGCGCCAAUGACCGGAGAGGCAAGAACUGCGGCAGAUCUAGGUUUUACAAGCAGUGGCUGUGGGGGGAGAAAAAUCGCAUGCGCGUCUCGGACACGCGCCCGACUUCGAGGUUUAGUCUUUAUUUUUUUUUAUAUUUUUUUUUAAGUGUAAUUUUCCAAUCCACAAAAAAAAAGACAAAAUUACAAAAAAAAAUCAUUUUUGCCACAACUAAAUAAACCGGCCGGUACAAAUUUCGAAUUUUGGUGUCAGAUUUUGUAUUUUUCCAAACCACAAAUAAAAUUGAAACAUAAAUAUUUCAAUUUGGCCACAACUAAUUAAACCGGGCCGGUACAAAAGCUGUAUUUUGUUUUUGGAGGUUUCUUGCUUUAUCACCACCGCACAUCUUCGUCUUCCUCGAGCUUCCUCUCCACGGCGAAGAGUCAACCCAAAGCUUCUUCUUCUUCUUCUUCUUCUUCUUCUUCUUCUUCUUCUUCUUCUUCUUCUUCUUCUUCUUCUUCUUCUUCUUCUUCCUACAUAGCUCUUGUGUAAUCUCAUGGUCUUACUAUGAAGGCUUCUAACUUCAUGUGGCCUUCCACAUCACCCAGAUUCACCAUCACCACACCUUAUCCACACCCACACUUACGCCUCCGCACGUAACCUCACGCGCCGCCCCAUUUUUACAGGUAAAAGCUUUCCAGCGCGGUGACUUCGACCGUUUCGCUGAUGAUGUUAAGUCCGGUAAAGCUUGGAGAGAUGCAUGGAGAACCGCUAACGAUGGAUUCGAACAAUUUGUCUUUGAUGCUAAGAAAACCGCCGAGCGAAUUGAUCGUCAGUACGCUGUUUCUCACCGGUUUAGCUCCGCUGCUAGUUCCGCCGGACCGUGCUCGUGAGAUUGAUCGUGAAUUUGGGAUUAGUCCUUGUGUUAGGAGUCUCUCUGCCGAUUUUAGUAGAAAUUUCCCUAAGGUAUACUUAUGAAUUGAGUUUUUGGUUUAGCUUCUCAUGAAGAUGAACUCAAUUUCAUGUCUUGAUUGUAAUUGAUUAAGUUUUUCAUGUGCUAUGCUAUUAAGCCAUUCUCAUGGUAGAUUUUAGAGUCAAAAAUCCGAACCGGAACAGAUCCGAAAUAUUAGACCCGAUCCGAACCCGAAAUUUUAAAUUUACCCUAUUGGGUCCUAAACUCCUCUACCCGAAAAUCCAAAUCCGAACCCGAACCGAACCCGAACCCAAAAAUACCCGAAAUAUAAAUGUAUAAAAAUAAUUUAGGACUUGAAUACCCGAGUUAUCUAUUCAAAUAUCAUAAUAUAUACCCGAAAUUCUGAUUUUUUACCCAAAAAUCCCGGUAUAUAUUAAAAAAAUUUGAAUUUGUAUCCGAAAAUCUGGGUAUUUACCCAAAAAUUCAGUAUUUGUCCGAAAACCCGGAAAUUUUUGGGUAUUCGGGUAAACUUUCGGCUAUUUGUGGACCCGAAAAAUUCUCGGAAUUUUAACGAUUCUGAAAAUUUUUACCCGAACCGAACCAAACCCGAAUGGACCCGAACCGAAACCAAACCGAAUUUUUAUGUUUACCUUAUUGGGUCCUAAACUACUCUACCCGAGAAACCCGAAUGGUUUUUAUCCGAACCCGAUCCAAGUACCCGAAUGCCCAGGGCUAGUCGCUAUUGUCAUUAUUGAUAAUGUUAUAUUAUCAGGUGGAGCAAAAUUGGGUCUAGCCCAUCACCUAGUUAAUUAUAAAACUUUUCAAGAUAAUAUACGAAGAUCAGAUAAGAAUCUUGAAAAAGAUAUUGGGCCUGGUUAAAAAGUUUUUUGUUCUAUUUUUUAAAGUUGAUAAACAAAGUUCUUUUGCAAACAUAUCAAACCCGUGGAAUAUAAAUGUUCUUUAUUGUAUUAAAAGACGAGUAAAUUUUGUAAGUAAUAGCAGAUUUUAGAGUAAUUUGUAAAUAAAAAAACCCCAACAGAUCAAGCCCAAUAAUUAUUUGAAAAAUUGCAAAAUAUAAGAUAAUCAUCCAAUAAGAUUAAUGGAAGCCCAACAAUAAUAAAAAAUGACUAUCCCAAGAAGGACGGGUCCAUCAAUCAUGUGGAUUGAUCAAUUUUUGUGUAAGGCAUAAAUUGAUCACAGUAGAAAGAUGAGAGAUGUAUCUUGAAAAAGGGAUUGACCGAUCUUAAUGAAUAAUUUUGGGAGACCUCUUGUGGUAACCAAUAAGAAGAAGAACGUGCAUGUGCGGAUUGGUAGGAAUAAAUCGAUGUAGUGAGAAGUUUUCUUCUAAGUGUUCCUACCAACACAAAACUUUGAAAGGUUACCACAGCGAUCCCGGAAGGAAUGCUGGAGUAGUCAAAGGAUGGGGGACCUUCCGGGAAGUGGUUGUCGAAACUGUGUGAGUGAGGCCACAACACAAAGAAAGAUCAUGUGGUGAUUUUUAGGGCCGGUAAACAAGUCUUUAAGCCUCCUGGACGUAGCAAACUGGCCGUCGAAUAUUGGUGGGCUCACAGGCCUAGUGAGAGGACGUGAGGCCCACUAAGAGAGGUGGGCCCAUGGGCUGGUGAUGAACAUGGGGCCCACUAGAGAGGUGGUGGUUGGGGCGUUACACUACGCCACACAUAUGAGGGUCGAUAACCCAUUUUAGUCUCCAAGAAAAGCACGUUUGGGUAAUAUACUGCUUUAUAAACUCUGGCCAGUAGAGACGAAGGAGAUUUAGAAGCCUCCAUGACUGUUUUGCAAGCAAAGCUUGAUUAAACCUGCCAUAUCACGAAAUCCCAAUCCUCCUCUGUCCUUUGAUCUACAAACUUUCUCCCAAGCAACCUAAUGCAUCUUGUCUUUAUCCUCAUGAGCACUCCACCAAAACUGCAUCACAACACUUGUAAUUUGCUUUCUUUGAUGCUUAGUCAACUUUAAACAGGACAUUGCAUAAACAGGAAGGGUCAUUGCUAUAGAUUUUAACAAAACUUUCUUCCUGCCGAAAGAGAGUGUCUUCUCAAACCAGCCACUAAGUCUUGACUUCAAUCUAUCCGUGAUAAAGUUAAGGAGGUCGUGCUUUGAUCCACUAAAACACUCAGGAAGUCUCAUGUACUUGCCAUCACCACCUUCUUGUUCAAUACAAAAAAACAGCCCUAGCAUCUGUUGCAUGUAAGGGUCUAACUUCUUCCCAAAAGUAAUCUCCUACCCCAAAGCCUUUCCAUCCAACUCAAGGCAUUUCAAAUAUUCAGUACACUCUAUAAGGCUUGCUUGAAAAAGGAAAAGACUAUCAUCCACAAAGAGCAGAUGUUGAAUCGAUGGACAGGAAGGUGAAGGUUUCAUUCAUGUUAAUCUUCCGUCAAGCUCAGCUUUAUUCAUGAUGUGCACCAAAGCUUCAACACAAAGAAUGAAGAGAAAAGGCGAUAACGGAUCACUCUGCCGUAGUCCUCUUUGGGUUGAAUAUAUCCAUAUGAAGCUCCAUUAAUAAGAAUAGAAUAUGAGACCAAGGUAACACAACUCAUUAUCCAUUUCCCCCACUUGAUAUUAAAACCUAGCCGACUAAGUAGCUCUUCUAAAAAAGACCACUCAACUCGAUCAUAAGCUUUACACAUAUCAGCUUUAUAACCAUGAAAUCUUCAUCACAACUAGUAUUUGUCUUCAAGGCAUGAAUGAGUUCAUGUGCAAGUAAAAUAUUGUCUAAUAUCAACCGGCCGGAAACGAAAGCUCCCUGAGUAUCCGAGACAAUAGAAGGUAAAAUACAUUUUAAUCGAUUGCACAUAACCUUAGAAACAAUCUUGUAUAGUACCGAACAAAGACUAAUUGGUCGGAUAUCAGUCAUCUUUGAUGGAUUUAAAUUCUUUGGGAUCAAACAAAUCUGUGUGAAGUUCCACUCAGGCGGUAAGGAACCAGAUUCAAAAAACUGUUGUACCUCAGAUAUAACUUGAGGCCCAACAAUGUCCCAAAAAGAUUGAUAAAAACACCCCGACAUGCCAUUAGCUCUUGGGGUACUGUCACCUCUACUGAAUACUGCCACCUUAAUCUCCUCGCCUGAUACUGCAUGCACUAGAGCAGCAUUCAUCAGAGAUGAAACGCGCGGAAGCUAACCAUCCAAAGCUUCUGAAAUGAGGCAUGGAGAGGAGCUCGAGAACAUUUUGCGGAAGUAAUCAACAACCACUUCUUCUUUUGAGCUUUCAGAGAACUGCUCAACACCCAUGUCAUUAAAUAUGGAGAUAAUUCUAUUAUGAACUCGGCGUUGUUUAACACUCCCAUAGAAAAACCGAGUGUUCUGAUCACCGUUACGCAUCCAUUUUUCUUUGCUCUGCUGCUUCCAAAAGAGUUCUUCCUCAUAAUAAGCCUCAACUAAUUUCCACUGUAGAGUUUUCAUAAACUAAAAAUCUGGUAUUAGUUUAGCUCCCUCAAUUUAAUGUUCAUAUAACAGCCUCGAAAUAUUCUCCUGAGAGUUCUGGUUAGUAGAUUUCCAGAGAGAUAUAGACCUUCUACAAUCCUCAAGACGGCUCAUUAAGGAAUAGUUAUCCAAAGCUAAACCUUUUUUUCCAACCCUCUCUACCUCAGAGAAAUCCGUUCUCGAAACCCUCCUUUUUUGAAACAUAAACCGGCCUCGUUACAACGUGUUUUCAUUCACAAACCUUGUGAUGAUAAAGCGAUGAUCAGAGCCAAUCCUUUCCAAAUACUUAGUUUGCACCCUUGGAAAAAGAUGAAACCAAGCUACAUUACCAAGAGCUCUAUCAAGCUUACAUUGCAUCCAAACUUGAUUGUGUUCCCCAGCCCAUGAAAAUUUAUUACCAAUACUAGCAAUUUUCGGUUUACCAGACACCGGAUCAAUGCCAACUUCAUCAUCAGUCAAAAAUCCAAACAAACGAUCAUCCUUACUAAUUUUUGGAACAAGACGACUUAGAAUGAUCGAUUUAAUUCUUCCCGUAGCAACAGCUUGUCGGUUUGAGGGAUUAAACGGGCAGCGUUCCUUGUCAUGAGUUAGCCUUUGACACUGAUUGCAUCGGUGGCGGAUUCUCUCAUACUCCAUGCCAAUGUUAACAUCUCUCCAUAUAUGAUCUAGAGUUCUCUAGAAUUAUUCAAGGGUUUGUUUACAUCAAAUAGAACUCUAACUCUGACAUAUCCCUUGCUUAGUGGUUUCAAGGGAUCAAAAGCAGCAAGAGUAACCUGUCCAAUAUGCGCUACAAUUUCCUUAAUGGUAUCAGCUGUGUUAAAGUUCACCGGAAUAUUGCGACGACGGAUCCAUAUUGGCAGCACUUUCAAGUAAUCAGCUGGCUGUUUUUCCACCCAUCGCUCCAGCGUAAUAUCCAGUCAUUGAAGGUCCAAGCACCGGUAUCUAAGACCGUAGUUAACUUAGACUCUGAAUCAAAGAAGAACUUAAACUGUUCAUUAGAAAGAGCUAUUCCUCUAGCUCUGUUGUACACUCGCCAUAAGUGAGGCAUUUCAUGAAUCAAGUCAGACAUCUUCUGGUUCUCUGGGCACAAAAGACGACCAAUGAUACUACUCUUGUUUCGCAAGCAAGAACAGAACUGCGGAAGGUUUUGCAGCACAAUCGGUUUAUCAUCUUCAAUCGACAUCUCAUGCAAAGCUCUAUCCAACUCAUACUCUAAGACUGCACGUAAUUAACUUAUCAAACAAGGGUUUUGAGCUUUAACACCAGUAGGUUCGACGACGGCUCUCAAGAACACGACGAAAUUGGUUAAAUAUAUAAAUGAUCUCGAAAGAUUCUGUAACAAAAGUGAUAGAAACAGAAAAUAUUCUCCCAAAUCCGGCGAAAACAAAGAUAUUCCCGGUUUACUUAAGUUCUCUCCCUAGAGAUAAAAAUCGCCUCUCUUUUUACUAUGAUUCCUUGUGUCAUGUACUAUUUAUCUAUUUACUCAUUAGUCAUUACCAAUCUAUAUUAACAUUUUUGAAGUACGUUUUGGGUUAUAACCUUUUAUUUUGUAUUAUUUGCAUAAUUAACCCCUUGCCAUUUGAAUAAAUGAAAAACUUUCAAUUAAAUUUUGUAAUUAAAUUAUAAUAAAAUUGCAAGAUUGGAAAUCAAUAUUUAUUACAUUUAAUAAAAUUUCCUAAAAUUCCCUAAUAAAUAAAAUAUUUCUCCAAUAUCUUUAUAUGAUCUUAUUUGUUUUGAAAUUAUAUUAUUACAUAAAACAUAUGUAUAGUAAAAAUAUAAUUUUUUGCAUAUGUAGCAAUUUAAAUUUUUGAAAACGAGCGUAUAUUACUCAAUCGAUACAAAAAUGUAUGUACUAAACUAUUAUUGAUAAUUGUGAUAAUUGUGUAGCACGUGUCAUGUGAUAUAACGAGUUAUAAAUUACAUAUAUGUUUUUAUGGGUUGUCUACUAUAGUCAAGCUCACAAAAUAUUUUAAUUCCAAAUUAGACUAUUUGAACUAAAGAUGUUAUGCCAACAUCAUUUCAUUAUUUUGAAUAUUAGACUUAUAUAGUUAAGUUGUCAAAUUACGAUGACAUACAAACAAAUUAUCAUGCCAUAUUUCAUUAGAUAAAUUAUAGAAUUAACAAUCAAAAUACAGUAGUACAAUCUUAUAAACCAACCAAAAUUUUUUUAAAAAUUCUUUUUUAAAAAUAUCGUCCCGCGGUGUACAGCGGGUUAAAUUCUAGUAAAAUAUUAAAUCAGCACUACUAUAUUAGGAUUUAACAUAAUUUUGUUCAAUUAACUAAAAUCAUAACGGAAAAUCGAAUAGGUUACUAUGUGCAAAUCUAAAGGCUGUGUAGUCUACAAUAUUACAAAUUUCUUGGUCAUUAACAAAAAGAAAGCUACAAGAUUAAGAAUUUUUUGGGCAUAAUACUUUAGUAUUGUGUAUUUCCAUAUUUCUUGAUCUCGUAUAUUUGUGUAUAUUAUCUAGUUUCUAUUGCUUAGAUAUAAAACUUGGGCAAUACGUUUUGUAUGUUUGUGUAUAUACUUCACCUAAGCAUUCUAAUAAAACACAUAAAACAUUAUCUAUUGAUCGACUCUAAAUUUAUCAUGGUAUCAGAGCAGUAAUCGAAUUCUGGGAUUCUCUUUGUUUUUUUUAGAUUUGAUUUCGUAUCUUUGUGACGAUGGCUGAAGAACACAGAGCGAUGGUACCUGCGAAACCGACGGAGAAUCAACGACGAACGAUCUCUCCUUAUGACCAAACCUUGAACGACAACCCCGGAAGCAUCAUCUCACGCCCUUUGUUGUAUGAAGAUAAUUACGAAGAGUGGGCCGUGAAUUUGGACACCGCUAUUUACUCUCGAAAGAAAUUUGGUUUUCUUGAUGGCUCUAUCAAGGAACCAGCUGAAAACUCGCAGGACUAUGAAGAUUGGAAACCUAUCAAUGCUCUCAUAGUCUUCUGGAUUAAGAUGACAAUCGAACCGAAGCCCCUGUCGAAUAUCUCUCACAAACCGAUUGCAAAAGACUGGGGGGAUCAUAUUCGAAGCCGGUACCGUGUGACCAACGGUCCAAGGAUUCAGCAACUCCAACAAGAUCUAGCCAACUGUCAACAAGUAGGUCUUAGCAUUGAGACAUACUACGGACUGCUCACAAAACUGUGGGAUGCUCUCAUCUGCUAUCGACCUCCUUUGGUGUGCACAUGUGGUCAUUGCACAUGUGAUCUCAAUGGUGAGGAUGAAAAACGAAGGGAAGGAAACAAGGUUCAUAAUUUUCUGCGUGGUCUUGAUGAAUCGACUUAUGGAAUGGUGAAAUAGAAUUUGAUGGCUCGAGAUCCUCUACCUACGUUGGCAGAAAUAUACUUAAAAGUUACACAUGAUGAAGAUGCUCGCUUGAAGAAGAAAUGCUUUGAAGAAAAAAACUGAAAAUAUGGCGUUUGUUGCACAAACACAACGACCUCGCUCUCAUUAUGAUGAUAAAACCACAAGCGUUAUGUGCACAAAUUGCGGUCGAGCUGGGCAUCAAGCGGACUUGUUUUCAAAUCUUGGGAUUUCCUUAAAAUGGUGGGGUGAUAGACCAUGGAAUCGAACCGGUCGUGGAAGAGGAACAACUCCGGCAGCUAGUGGUACACGGGGUCGCGGUGGUCCUGCUCGUGUAAACGUUGCAAAGAUUGUUGAAGGACCUGGUCUCGGGGUGGCAAAUGUAGCUGUAACAGAUGCUGACCAUGAUGCUGUUUUGGGACUGACCGAUGAGCAAUGGUUGAGCAUUCAACGAGUAAUGAGUGCAGCAAAAACUGGUACAAGCGAACAAAUGUCUGGUAAGAUACUCUCUCCUUCUUGGAUUUUAGACAUAGGUGCUACUCAUCACUUGACUUGUAAGAAAGAGAUUCUUAAGAACAUACAAAAAUCUACACCAACUCAGAUUAUGCUAGUAGAUGGUAGAGUUGUUACAAGUGAAACAGUUGGUACAGCUGUGUUCAAUUCGCACCUUAGUUUGAUUGAGGUUUUCUACUUUGAGAAUUUGGGCUUUGAUUUGAUCUCGGUAACACAACUAAUGGAAGAAAAUAAUUGUGUGAUGCAAUUUGCUGUUUCAUUUUGUGUUCUUCAUGACCGUACUACGACGACGCUGAUUGGCAUAGGUGAGCCGGUUGGGGGUUUGGUAUAUUUUCGGAACACCGAGGUUGUUGCAGCUGCGAAGGGUCUCACGAAUUAGAGUGGAGCUGUGGCAUCGUCGCUUGGGACAUCCAUCACCAAAAAUAGUGGAGAUGCUUUCUGAUUUCAGUUUUAGUAGUAGUCGUACUUCUAUGAAUAAACUAUGUGACAUAUGUACUCACGCUAAACAAACUCGUUGUUCUUUUCCGUUGAGCAUUAAUAAGACUUCAGAGAUAUUUGAAAUGAUUCAUUGCGAUAUAUGGGGACAAUAUAGAGUUCCGUCUUUCUCUGGGGCUAGAUACUUUCUCACCAUUGUUGAUGAUUUUUCGCGUGGAACUUGUAUAUAUCUCAUGAAUGCAAAGAGCGAGGCACCGACAACUUCAAUUUUGUUUUCCUCUCGUAGAACGACAGUUUGGAAAGCAAAUUCGAUCGUUACGUAGUGAUAAUGGAAGUGAAUUUUUAUCACUAAUGACAUUUUUUUGGAACACGACAUACGUCAUGAGACCUCGUGUGUGGGAACACCGCAGCAAAACGGCCGCGUUGAGCGUAAACACCGUCAUUUCCUGAAUGUUGCUAGAGCUAUUUGUUUCGAAGGUCAUUUGCCUAUUGAAUUUUGGGAAGAGUGUGCUCUAGCUGCAGCGUACCUCGUCAAUCGGACACCAUAUGUGAUUCUACAAGGUAAAACUCCUUAUGAAAAUUUGUAUAGAGUUAAGCCUUCUCAUGAUCAUCUUUGUGUUGUGGGUUGUGUAUGUUAUUUUCAUAAUCAAGACCAUCACGGGGAUAAAUUUGCAAGCAGAAGUCGCAAAUGUGUAUUUGUGGGUUGUCCUGAUGGGAAGAAGAAAGGAUGAAGAGUCUUCGAUUUAGAAAAAGGAAUUUUUUGUGUCUCCUGUGACGUUAUUUUCCGAGAAGACACUUUUCCAUACCAAAAGAACGAUACACAAGACAUUGGUUUGGUCGAUGAGCAUCCAUCGUUGCAACCACAAACCUGUCUCGAUGAAACUCUAGUCUCUCACCCGUCUCUCAUGGAAGAUACACUGGCAGUUGUAAUUCCAGCUGCAGACACGUCGAAUUCGAGUGCAUCUUCAGCGGACGACAGCUCUAACGAUGAUGCAGUGACAAGUAACUCUGAAAAUGGAGAAGAACAUGUUGACUCCAAAAUCGAAGUAGAACUUGAUAUGGAUAAUGCUCCAAUUGCUGUUCGCAAAGAAGCUUGCCAACGACGUCCACCGGGGUAUCUCGCUGACUAUGAUACUAAACUUCUGUAACUGGAUCUACUAGUUUAUAUCAUCUAUCCGAUGUGCUGUCUAACGAACGCUUCUCUGCAAGUCACAAAGUGUUCUUGGCUGCUAUCACCAUUGCAAGCGAACCGAAAAUUUUCUCUGAAGCGAUGCAAGAUGCAUGCUGAAUAGAUGUAGUUGGAAAUGAAAUUACCUCUCUCGAACUGAAUAAUACGUGGACGCUUGAAGACUUACCUGACGGGAAAAAGGCCAUUGGUUGUCAAUGGGUCUUUCGUAUUAAACACCGUGCUGAUGGCUCCAUCAAACGUUACAAAGCAAGAUUAGUUGUUUUGGGAAAUAGACAAGUUGAGGGUGUUGACCAUGGUGAGACAAUUGCUCCAGUUGUUAAAAUGGCAAAAGUACGUUCUUUUCUUGCCGUGGUCUCUGCACGAAACAGGGAAGUAAGAUGGACGUCCAUAACGCUUUUCUACACGGUGAUUUGGAAGAAGAAAUGUACAUGAAACUUCCUCCAGGUUUUUCUAAGCAAAAUGAUGGGACCAAGAUGCUGAUUUGCAUCGCUUAAGAAAGUCUUUAUACGGUUUAAAGCAAGGACCAAGAUGCUGAUUUGCUAAACUUUCGACGUCUUUGGAAAAAUAUGGGUUUCAACAAUCUCAGUCCGAUUACUCUUUGUUUGUGUUCAAGAAAACGGCGACUGAAAUAAAAGUUCUUGUUUAUGUGGAUGAUUUGGUUAUUACGGGAAAUAAUGUUGAAGCAAUCGAAGCUUUCAAAUUAUAUCUCAGCACAUGGUUCCACAUGAAAUACCUUGGUGUGUUGAAAUAUUUUUUGGGAAAUGAGGUAGCUUGAAAUUCAGAAGGUAUAUAUUUGAGUCAGAGAAAAUAUACACUUGAUAUCUUAUCAGAAACAUGACUACUAAGCUCACAACCUGCUGCAUUUCCUCUUGAACAACAUCAUCAACUUGGCUUGGCGAAAGGUUCUCUUCUACCCGAUCCCAAACCAUACCGACGAUUGGUUGGGAAGUUGAUCUAUCUCAACGUCACUCGACCCGACUUGUCUUACUUCGUGAACGUGUUUUCACAAUUCAUGAAAGCUCCUCGUGCAGAUCAUUGGACAGCAGCACUACGGGUCGUUCGAUAUUUAAAAGGCACCCCAGGUCAAGGAAUCUUGCUCCAGUCCUAUUCUGAUCUCCAGAUUUUGGCAUGUUGUGACUCCUCAUAUGCUGAUUGUCCAUUGACUCAACGAUAUACGGUCGGCUGGUUUAUACAACUCGGUGCAUCUCCUAUCUCUUGGAAGACAAAGAAACAACAAGUGGUUAGUAUGUCUUCUGUUGAAGCUGAAUAUAGAGCAAUGGCUUGGACGACAAAGGAGCUGAUAUGGCUAAAGGCAUUAUUUCUUGAUCUCGGAGUUAUUUUGAAGUAACCUAUGCGACUGUUCUGUGACAACACCGCUGCCUUGCAUAUUAAUGCUAAUCCGAUUUUUCAUGAACGAACCAAACAUAUUGAGAAGGAUUGUCACUUUAUAUGCAAUGAGAUUAAAUACGGGAACAUCGCAACAGCAUAUGUCUCUACAAAGAUCCAGCUAGCUGCUAUUCUCACGAAAUCUUUGGGAGAGAUUGAGUUCAGCAUGUUUCGGUCCAAGCUGGGCAUUUUGAACCUCCAUGCUCCAGCUUGAGGGGGGGGGGGGUAAUACAAUACUUUAGUAUUGUAUAUUUCCAUAUUUCUUGAUCUCGUAUAUUUGUGUAUAUUAUCUAGUUUCCUAAUGCUUAGAUAUAGAACUUGGCAAUACGUUUUGUAUAUGUACUUCACCUAAGUAUUCUAAUAAAACACAGAAAACAUUCUCUAUUGAUCGACUCUGAAUUUAUCAAGGCAUGAACACAAAAAUAAGCUACAUGGUGACUCCUCACAAGUUUCUAAUCCAUGAACGUAGAUAGAGAAAGAAGAAGUCGUGAGAACGGUCUCCCUCUAUUAUGGAAGUUGAUAGGCCAAGCCCGAGUGCUUCAGAGGAGUUUGUUUUUUACCAGAGACCUUAGUUUAUCAGUAGAUUACCGCUUCUUGAGUACCUUCAUCCAUGGUUAGGUGUUCUGAAUGUUGCAGCCAAGUUGAUUCAGGUCCAAAGAUGCACGUUUCUCGUGGGAACUAUCAAGAACUUGGUCAAGGCGAUUCAGUUACUCAUCUUCACUACAACAUGCGUGACAUGGUUUACAUGUUAGUGCAUACAUCUGAAGGAACGGUAGAUGCAACAAAAGAGAGGAAAGCUCUGAACCAAGAUCACAAGUUGGAAUCUUCUCCCACAGAUUGUAGCGGAGCUCGAUGGGAUAUCUUCAGGCGUCAAGACAAUACAAAGCUCGCUAAGUAUCUGAAAAUGAAAAGGAGAAAAUUUCAGAACUGAGUAUGAAAAUGAAAAUGAAAAUGAAAAUACUUAAAUUAGAGCAUGGGCAUCAGUAGAACUCAGAGAGAAGUCGGUUUCAUUAUACAGCGACACACAAGGUUUAGAUUAGUGUAUCAUUCAAUACUUAAACCAGCAAACAUAAAAUUUAAAAAUAAAAACAGUUUUGAUACAAACCACAAAAGCAUAACACAGUCUCGUUUAUUAUUCGAUUGAUUCGCUGGUGCCCAAGUUGGUAAGAGAUCAGGUUCGGCUACAAAAACAUAAGAACCAAAAAGAAAAAGUCAAUGAGAUUCAGAAGAAAUGUUCGUCUCUAUUAGAAAAAAAGGUGACACGGUAUAUAUAUGGGUAAAUUGGUUUUUAGAAUCUAUUUUGCCAACAAACACUUCAUUUCUCUUUCAGAAAAGAAAAAAAAGUUUUAUCAAAGAGGCUAAAGAGUUUCUAGACGAUUCGUCGAAUACCUUCAAGGGCUUCAUCCAGUUGAUGAACUUGAAAACCAUCAUAAUCUGCAACACAUAGUCACAUAGCAUCAAACAAGUUCCGAUGAAACUAACUAAAAGUGUAGUUUAGACUAUCUCCGAUGUAUUCCACUAUACAUAGAGAAAAAAACACAGUUUCUCUAUAAAUAUAGGAAAAAAUAGAGUUCUCUAUUAUAGAAGAAUACAUUGGAGUAAAAUUUACCUCUAUACUACAUUUCCUCUAUUUUAGAGAUAAAAGUAGGGGAAUAUGCUCUUACGCAACCUAUUCUCCUCCCACACAAAUAGCUGAGAAAAUCAUAAUUUACCUAUUAGUUCCCGAAUUCAUUCAUUAGGUUGGGUUAUCCAUCUAACAGAAGGGAUGUGUUUGACUUUGUAAUAAUCUUCUCCUCCUUCCGACCAUCUAUUCUUCCAUUCCUCUCCCAUAUUAUAAAAACUCAGAUACUUUAAUGAUCGCAGCACAUCAUCAGGAAUCUCCUUUAGUUUCUUGCAAUUCGAAAUAAGAAGAUAAUUGAGAAGUGGCAUGGAGCCUUCUUCUACUAUCCACUCUUCCCACUCAUCUAAUUCAUGAAAAUGUAGUGACUGCAACUGAGGGAACCCACCCCUAGAGCAAACCAUUCUCCUCCCACAUAAAGAAUUUCCAUGCAGACGAACAAUUUUCAAUUGACCAAACUUCUCUAGAAUGGGCAUCGGAUCCUCCUCCAAACGACAGUCACCUAGGACCUGCAGGCUUGUAAGGCUUGAAGGAAAUAGUAAUUCAUCAGAUAACAAUGUAAUACAUAUCACCAAACUCAGCUGUUGGAGAUUAAUGAAUUCGAAUAGACUUCUCCAUUCUUUCGUCCCCUUAGCAGCCCCGUUAAGUGUUAUAUCAAGAGUUUCCACCUAUCGAUGCAGAUAUGGUUUCUAAACUGCUCUCACCAGUUAAUCUGAUUUGAAGAAUCCUCAACAUGGUCAUACCACAAAGAUCCUCUAAACUGCAAUUCUCUGUUGAGAAAUUAGUCAAGGUCUCCAAGUUUACUAGAUGGCUCAAUUCCAACUUUGUCUUCAUAUGCAUAUCAUAUGGUAAUGUAAGGUUUCUCAAUUCUUUCAUCCCCUUCAAGACAUUAGGCACGAAUAUAAACUCUCCAUCCACCUCUAACUUUAGAUAGAUCAGCAACUUUAGAUUUCCUAGAGAAGAGGGUAGAUAAGAUAUGUCCGCACCUUCUAAGCUCAGAUAUCUUAAGUGGGUGAGCUUUCCAAUGCUAGAAGGUAACUUCCUUCCUUUGAAAGUGACUCUAGGGAGAUCUAAUACUCUCAGCACUUGUAACCUUGUAAAGCUUACACAUGAAACUUCACAACCGUUAACAAUGAGAGAUCGAACCUUUGAAUUAUUUAUAUCUCUCUCAACAUGUAAUGCAGACAGUUCAUGUGAGACAAAUCUUCGGGAUGUACUAAUAGACGGGGAGCUGUUACCGACAAUUUGUAGGAAGUUUUCUUCUUUUGCUUUUGACAAACAAAGAUCUCUCAUCAAGUCAUGCAUACGGCAUUUUUCAAAUCUCCAAGUGGUACCGACUCUUUCAGAUAUAACCAUAUUUCUCUUUACCAAUUCUUCUAUGUUGCUAUCUACAACAACUCUAGUGGUUUCUCCAUUGGUACACUUGACUAUUCCUUCUGCAGCCCAGUAAUAGUGCAAUUUUUCGAUACUUAUUUCGUAAUCUUCUGGAAAAUGGGCCAAGUAGAGGAAGCAAUACUUUAAAUGACCAGGCAGCUCUUCAAAGCUCAGAGACAAUACACGGUUCAAUAAAUUGUUGUUGCCAUCAUUGCCUCUUCCAACGAGAUGAGAUUCAAUAUUCUUAGAUACUCGUUCCCAGUAGAGUUCUGUGUAAUUUUCAGCCAACAAUCUUCCUAACACCCUGACAGCCAAAGGCAAUCCCCCACAAUGUUUAAGCAUUCGUCUACCCAUCUCUUCCAUUUCCUUAGCAACUUUCUUCGGUUCUACACAACAUCAUCAAACAAAUAAAAAAUACAUCAUUUAUACCAUGAAAAGAAUUUCAGUUCAGUAUGAUGUAAUAAUGAUAUACUACAAUAAGCUAUUUUAAAGCUAUGUCUACCGAGACAUAGGUGAUCCUCGUUAUGACGAUGGUCUCCGUCUCUGGUUCUCCACCCGCUAAUAUUUUUAAAUUCGGUUUUAUUUUCCAAAUACUUUCUAAUUUUUCAAACCAACUGAAACAUUCUUUGUACACAUGGUUUUUGAUUGAAUAAAAUUUUACAUUCAAUUAAAAAAAAAAGCUAUGUCUUGCGAUCAUCCCUUCUUGAAUGCUUACCAGAUCCAUUCAUCAUUUAUGUGAUCAAAGUCUAUUAAAAACAUAUAUAUCCCUUCAUUUGAAUGCUUACCGGAUGCAUCUUUCAUCGGCAUCGCUAUUCUUUGGAAAAGUGUCCAACUGUUUUCAUCAGAUAGGCAUUCUGGUUUGAAGUUGAUAAAUGGUUCUUCACGUCCAGCGACUCUUUCAUUUCGUGAAGUAAGUAGCACUUUCCAACCUGUACAACUUAAAAAUUAAUAUAACACAGAGAGCAUAAAGAGUGUGAUCUGGAAUUUUAUCUUUCUUUCAUCAUCACCUUUUUUGUGUGGAAAUAUUGGCUUGAUUAGGUUCCAAUCUUCUUCUUUCCAUAUGUCAUCAAUGACAAUUAAUGAUUUUGAUGUUUCCAACAAUCUAGAGAGUUCAUCUUGGAGUCUUUCUUCUUUCAUCUGCAUGAUUUCGUUUUCUUCUGCUUUGGUUCUGAAAUUUUGCAAGAUAUUUUGCCACACAUUCUUCCGAUCACAAACUUGUGAAACACAUACCCACGCAAGUCUAUCAAACUUCUCCGUAACCUUGUCGUGAUGAAAAGCUUGUCUAGCAAGGGUGGUUUUCCCAAGACCACCCAUCCCGGUCAUUAGAACAAUUGGAUCAUUAUCUUCCUCCACCAAAUAUCCAACCAACUUCUCUACGUUUUCUUCCAGCCCCACAAGAUUGCUUUUUUCCUGUCUAGCGAAUUCUUUUCUUUCAGGAAGAGGUUCUGGAUCCCUCAUGUCGCCAAUAAUCUUUUGUACUCCUUGAGUUUCCAUAUCACGAAUCACCUUAGAGAUCCUAUUACUUAAGCUUCCAAUUUCUAAAGCGAUUUCCCUGCGUUCAGGAAUGAUGCAAGCAAGUCUUCUCAUACGUUCCUUGAUGCCACCACUUUUUUGGAGUUGGUCUUUUAGGAUAAAAGUUUCAAGUAUAUCUUCCGCACAGUUCCUCACCCUCGCACUUGUAUGCUUUUUAGCCUCUGCGUCUUGCAUAAAUGACUUUAACAUGCCUAGAUCAGUUUUUAGUUCAUCAACUUGAUCUUUAACUCCCUGAAAUUGUUUGUGUUCAUGGCUCAGUAGGUCCCAAAGCUUUUGUAUUCCAAAUGACAGAAGCUCCGUAGCCAUAGUGCCUUCUGCUUAAAUAGUAUGAAAAUAACAACCAAGUUACUUAGUAUUUGACGAACAUUUAUAAUCACACCAGAUUCACAAGAGCCAAAUAUCACAAGUUCCGUAAGAGGUAUAACAAAGCAAUAUAAGAUUUUCAUAAUUCCAUUAAAGCCUAUAUAAACUAGUGAGUAACCUGUAAGAUCCAAUCAAACUGCCAGAAAUUUAUAUGGAUAUAGACAAGGUUCUUAACCACAUACUUUUUUUUGUCUAUCUUUCUCUUUAUCUAUUCUUUUUUUUUUUGCAGAAAUAUUUUUCUUUUGUUAUGAAAUUAUUAUUUUAUAUAUAGGUGUGAGGAAAGUAAUUAUAUAAGUGUUUGUUUUAUAUUAGUAUAUAUAUAUAUAUAUAUAUAUAUUAUAUUUGUUAUUGGUUAAAAGGGAGAGAAAGUGACGAAGAGGAAAGAGAGUGAAUUAUUAUUACUCUUGCAUUUUGUUGCUUUCGUACACACAUCUUUUUUGGUAGAAGACCCGGGAGUAGACUCCCAAAAGAACUAACCGACCACAAACGAACGUGUCUAGGCCUUGAAAGACCAUCCACAUCGUCCCUCCAAAUAGUCUCCAAUACAUCAUGAACAAAAUCAAAAGUAAAUAAACCUAAAAGCAAAGUAAGGCAUAGUUUGUUAAUCCAGUUUCUCGAUAAAAAGCCAUAACACAAAUAUACUAGGGAUGAUGAUGGGUAGGACUUGCAGAUACCCUUCUUGAAAAACACCACCACCAUUUUGGAAUCAAUCUCCGAUUCCACUCUUAAAACUUGUUUCUCCCUGGCAAUAACAAGUCUAUAGUAGAGAACCCAAACUCUGCUAGAGGUGCAGAACAUCGACCAAUAUUGAGUGCAAAUCCUUCACACCAGUUUCCCUCUCCAUCACGUAGAACACCACCACCAGCUGCCAGCCCUGGAUUGCCACUUGAAGCUCCAUCAGUAUUAAGCUUAUACCAGCCGUUAACAGUUUAUUAUCCUCUAAUGUCUUUAAUUUUUUUUUUCUGUGUUUGGGAGAUUGCAAGCUUGAUUUCUAUGGAAUUUUGGGUGUUCUUUCUACAUUAGUUAUAAUUGAAAUAGUUUUAUUUCUAUAUUUUUAAAUUAAUUAUGAAUAUGAAUUAAAAAAAAAGAUAAAGUAGUAAAUCUAUUAUUGAGAUAGAAUAUUUUUGGCAACCAAUUCAUAUUUAUAUUUAAUUGAAAAAAUGUUGAUCAAAGAAAAAAUAAUAAUAAAUAGUUCUACAUAUAGAGGUCUCGGGUUCGACUUCCAGAUAAUGUGAUUUAUUAAUUAAUUUGCAGAAGAAUGAGAUAAACUUUCUAGAGAUCUAACACGAUGUACAAUUAGAACUGUUCACCGUGAUUCUACGCAUGGUGAAUGAAGUGUCGUUCGUCUAAGGAAAAAGAGUAAUUUGUGAUGAAUCUAUUAGGAUGGGGGAGAAUUAUCUAUAGUAGAAUCCUUAUUUUAAUAAUUCUCAUAAUUUUUAAUAAUCAAUAAUUCAAGAGUUUUAAAAAAACUAGAACUAUAUAGAAUUCAAUCUAGGGGUUAAAACGGAGUAAUGCUUAUUUAGAGAAAAAUAAUUCUUAUUUAGAGUCGAAUUUUCUAAGAAAAAUGAUUCUCAGCUACAUGAAGUAUCCGCCAACACAUUGUUACACAUGUAAACAAUAUAAUUGUCUCGUUAACUACAUGAAGUAUUACUAUCACAUAAGGACAUGCAUAAAUGAUGCAGCGCAUCUUCUUAUUGGGCUUGGUCGUUGCUCUUGUGGGCUUUACGCAAUCGACCAAAUGGGUGUUGAUCUUUUAAUUUCAUUUGAUAUUUUGACAUUGUUUAAAAUAAGGAUGUUAACAUAUCCACCCCUUCUUAGAUUUGGCUUUAUCUUAUUAGUUGGUGUUUAGGGCAUUAUAAACUUUGUUGCGUCUUUGUUUCAACUCAGUUUUUGAUAUUUAUAAGAAAUAAAACCAAAAAGAGGCAAACCUUUGCCCAAAGAGCUUGUGUCAAGCUAGAGAGGAGGACUCUCAAUAUCCUUCUGUUCAUUUGUUACCAUUUCCGCUUACGCCUCUACAUUAUUUGGUAUCAGAUUCAUCUCGUUCUUAGAGAGCAUUUGUGUCAACGUGUAGCCAUGCCUCUAGCCAACAAGAAAGGUGAGGGAGACGACGACCGCCACACGAUGACAACGGCUGAUUGGGCUGAGUUUCGUGAUGCUCUGUUGACAUCAAAAAACAACCUACAAGCAUAUCUCAUGGAUGCUAUGCAAAAUUUAACAGACACGCUUGUUCACAGUCUCGGAGAUCGCCAUCACCGACGAGGGGGAGAAAAUUUUUGGGCCAUGGACAAUCCGUUUGCUCAUGAGGGAGCACAUCGUGGGGAGUUAGUGAAUUUCCGGCAACAAGACAACCAUUCUCAAGAUACACGGUGGAAAGCUAGCUUUCGAGUGGAGAUUCGGGAGUUCCAUGGUGGGAUUCGCGGCGACUCUCUCCUUGAUUGGUUAUUGGUUGUAGAGGAAAUUCUCGAGUUCAAGAAAGUACCAGAGGAUCGCAAGGUUGCCUUAGCUACGACACGGUUUCCCGGACACGCCGCAUCAUGGUGGCAACAUACCAAGGCCACACGCAGCCGUACGGUGAAGGAUUAUAUACAUUCAUGGGAAAAACUGAAGAAGAAACUACGAGCCACGUUCCGACCACACAAUUAUGAUCGCACCAUCUACAACAAGCUACGGAACUUGAAACAGGGGAGUCGAUCCGUAGACGAAUACGUCGAAGAAUUUUAUUUGUUGGUCACUCGCAAUGAUAUUUUUGACAGUCCCAUCCAGUUAGUGUCUCGUUUCAUUGGUGUCUUAAGAGUACAACUACAAAAUGCGAUGUCGCAAUUCGAUCCUACCUCAGUUUCAGAAGCGCACCGUCGCGCUGCAUCCUUUGAGCUCCAAUUUCGUUCACCAUCAUGGUCUAUUCCUUCGGCCAAGACACGACCAUACGACCAGAACACAACCACCACAUCGACCGCGAUAAAAGAAUUUGGAACCGUUAAUGAGGUGACAAACAGAGCAGCUCGGGAGGAACAGCCGCUACGCCGUUCCACUCGACCCAAUGCUCUUCGAUGUUACUCUUGUGGUGAGGCGGGACAUCGUCAAACGACAUGUCUAAACCAAACACGUCGUGGACUGCUCAUGGAUGACGGACAAGAUAACUCACCACCGGUUUUUGAUUAGGAAGAAGAUGGAAGAGACGAGGACAACGUGGAAGGUCUUCACACAGCUGGCGACACGGGAAGGUUGUUAGUAGCACGGCGGCUCUGUAUAGCACCACCCAGUUGGACAGAGUCUUGGCUGAGACACAACAUCAUUUGCUCAUCGUGUAUAAUCCAAGACCGUGUGUGCACGUUCAUUAUCGAUUCGGGUAGUUCGAGGAAUAUUAUGGCGGAGUAUGUUGUGCAGAAGUUGAACAUCCCGGCUGAACCACAUCAUACUCCUUACUCGCUUGGUUGGAUGCAAGAUGGCGUCGAUAUUCACAUCACUCAUCGAGCUUUGGUCGCUUUUACUAUUGGUCAUCACUACAAGGACCGUUUCUGUUUUGAUGUUGCUCCUAUUGAUGUGAGUCACCUAAAUUUUGGUCGACCUUGGGAAUUUGACCGAAAGAUUUUCCAUGACGGAGCCAAGAAUACUUACAGCUUCUACUGGGAGACAUAUCACAUUGUUUUGCUGCCAACUCUAGAGACUCCUCUAUCCGUGACGCCUCCACCACAGGCAGCAUCUUCGACACUGUUCAUUUCCGUAGCUGCCUUUGACAAUGAGUUCAAACAAGAGGGAAGAUCGCCUUUGCUCUUUUGCUUCACCGCUGUGUGCGACGUCCUUCCAAACCAUUUCAUCAUAUGACUCCGUGCUGCGCGAGUUCACUGACAUCUUUCCAGAAGAGCUACCGCCGGGUCUCCCUCCCCUCUGGAUAUUCAGCAUCAAAUCGACUUGACUCCAGGUGUAGCUCUACCGAAUUGUGCUCACUACAGAAUGAGCCCUCAAGAACACGAGGAGCUCCGACGUCAAGUAGAAGAGUUGCUGCGCAAAGGGCACAUUCGCGAGAGUCUUAGUCCUUGCGCCGUCCCAGCGUUGCUAAUUCCAAAAAAAAGAUGGUUUGUGGCGAAUGUGUGUGGAUAGCCGGGAAAUUAACAAUAUCACAGUCCGCUACCAGUUUCCUAUUCCACGCCUUGACGACUUGCUGGAUCAAAUUGGAAUGGCCUCUAUUUUUUUGAAGAUUGAUAUUAAGAGUGGCUACCAUCAAAUCCGUAUCCGCCCCGGGGAUGAAUGGAAAAUGGCGUUCAAAACAAGAGAAGGACUUUUCAAAUGGUUGGUCAUGCCGUUCGGGCUUUCCAACGCGCCUAGUACCUUUAUGCGUAUCAUGAAUCAAGCACUACGGCCGUUCAUCGGGAAGUUUGUAGUGGUAUACUUUGACGAUAUUCUGAUCUUUCGUUCUUCCGCCGCUGCCCAUUCUUCCCAUUUGCGUGAGGUGUUGUGUGUUUUCCGGCGUAAAGAACUCUUUGCGGCUAAACGAAAAUGCGAGUUCGGCGUCAUACGUCUUGUUCUUGGGCUAUGUUGUCUCGGACAAGGGUUUGUCCAUGGAUGAAUCCAAGAUUGAAGCUGUGAGGUCAUGGCCAACACCGCAGACAGUCACCAAAGUCCGGAAUUUCCAUGGGCUUGCGUCUUUUAAUAGACGUUUUGUACCUCAUUUCAGUGCGGUCAUGGCACCUAUCACUAGUUGUAUGAAAGACGGCAAAUUCGAGUGGUCUUCUGACGCGGAUAACGCGUUCAUCAAGAUCAAGGAGCUGCUCACGUCCGCUCCUAUAUUGGUACUGCUGGAUUUUUCUCUUCCAUUUGAGCUGCAUUGUGAUGCAAAGCUGGGUAUUGGCGCGGUUUUGAGCCAACAAGGCCGUCCAAUCACAUAUUUUAGUGAGAAGUUAGCCGGAGCGCGAGGCCGUUACAGUACUUACGAUGCAGAGUUUUAUGCGGUGGUGCAAGCUAUCAAACAUUGGCGACAUUACUUGGUUCACCGGGAGUUUGUCUUGUUUACGGACCAUGAUGCUCUACGCCAUUUGGAUAGCCAAGCAAAGGUGUCUUCCCGUCACGCCUCAUGGAUUGCAUUUCUUCAGCAAUUUACCUUCUCUAUACGAUACCAAUCAGGCAAAACAAACCGUAUAGCUGAUGCAUUAAGUCGUCGCCACACCUUACUCACUACGAUGCACACGUCGGUAACCGGGUUCUCCAAAUUUGCUGACUUGUAUGGAACUGAUCUGUACUUUGCUCCUCAUCUCGUUGACAUUCGCCAAGGCCUACAUUCUAAAUUCACUAUGCACGACGAUUUUAUCUUCUAUGGUGCUCGGUUGUGUGUUCCAGCUUGUAGCUUGCGGGUCAAGAUUAUUGGAGAAUUAUACAAUGAAGGUAGUCAUGGCAUCAUAUUUUUGGCCUACUCUUCGUAGGGAUGUUGAACGGUUUGUGGAGAGGUGUCGAGUUUGCCAACAAGGAAAGGGUAAGGCGUUGAACUCUGGUUUGUACUUACCGUUGCCCGUUCCCACCCAGCCGUGGACCGAUGUUGUAAUGUCCCUAACCGUGGCCUAAUAUUCAGAUGGAAUGGUCAAAGAAUGGCUAUCAAAGGAAAAUGGAUCAAGGGAAUGGAUAAUUAAUUUUUGGGCUUGAGCCAAAGUAUUCUUAGAUGAAUACAAAGCUUUUGAUCGAAGAUAAAUGGAAGUCAGACGAUGAAAAUCAUAUUUCAUACGACAAUGAAGUUUCUGGCCGAAGGAGUUUCGAGUGUGAACGCGAUCACAAGCAUAUCAUUUCGUUUGCAUCCGCAAGCUAGUAGGUUGGUAGGCAAGCUACUGCACUAUUAUGGAUAAGAACAAUAAAUGGAUAACCAUGAAGUUUAGGAUAAGCAUCAACAUUUGGAUAAGGAUAGAAAUAAAAAUAAGCUAAAUCAAGCCUAUCAAUGCCACCUCGUUGUCACGGACUUGAUCUUUGGUGAUCAAACCGUGCAGCCCUAGACCCUCUUUGUCUCGAACAAAUGGACUAGGUAGCCUAACUCUCCCAAAAUUUCCGACCCUUUGUGAUAAAAGAACCCGGAAAGAACGAGAAAAGACAAGUGAUUACUGAAUUGCUCUAGUAUUGAUAAAAAUGCUGGAUGAUUACAAAUGAGGGAUCUCACCGCUAUUUAUACAAAACACCUCCUCAAUGGACGGUAGAGAUUAAAGCGAUAUAAUGGCCGAUAUUGAAGAUAUCGUCAUAAAUACAAGGAUUUGGCUUGGUGACAAAGUCUUCUGAGAAUCCUCUCCAAGUCUUUCCUUAAGUGGCUUCGAAGCUCUUCAACGAAAAAGGCUGAAAAAUGCUAAGUGUUCGGUGGGCUUUCUCCAUAGUCCGGCCCGUAUGUGUGUUCAAGUAAAUGGGACGUCACCUCGUGCUUCCAUAGCUUCCUCCCCAAGUAACCAUGUCCUAUAAAUACCCCCUCUCCUUUUCAUUUGUUCUUCACACCAAAAACCAACAAAAACUUUCCCAAGUGAGUAAGUGUCCGAGCUGGUCCGUGGUAGUAUCCGAGUAGGAUCGCCGAGAGUCUAGAGUCCUUAGUAGUCAAGCCAAGGUAAGUUCCGAAGCGUGUGAGGUAGCACACGACUAGGAUUAUUUUAAGUAUUUAUUUAAGAUAAUUAAUUCUUUAUUUAUUUAUUUAUUAAUUAAUAUUUAGCAUGAGGUUAGGGACUAUUAUAUUGGCAUUAUUUGUGGUAAUGGUGAACUGUUCUUGAUUGAUGAUUGUGUGAUAGUAUAACUUCGCGAUAGAUAACUGUAAUGCUAGCAUUUAUGGGCAUAACCGUUAUGCUGUCAGAUUGUUAUAUUAUUUGGUUGUUGGUUAUGCUUUGAUUAGAUAUCUAGCACUAGUCGGAUCGUGCUAUCCUCGUUGUAUAUGAUACGUUAGGUAAUGUGAUUAUAUACGAAGGCUCGAGGAUGUGUCACGACAGACCGGGCAGCUACAUAACGAUGUAGAGUGAAGGGAUGACAGAUCUUCUAUAGACUUUGUGUCUAGAAGUGUAGGGCAUUGCCUUGGGGAUAUCAUGGAUUCGUAGGGGCCCAAAGUAGGAUCGAGAUGAGGUAUAUUACUUGCAUUUUGGUUUAGUGCUUAUGGCUUCUAAGCCAUAAUGCUUAUUGAUCGCCAUUGCUUGUGAUUGGGGGUUGGGUUGGGUUAUUUUAGAGAUCCCGGACUUACAGAGUAAUCUAAGUUUACUCAAGAUUCUACCAAUUUGUUUUGCAGGUAACCAGUAGUGGGAAAACGUUAAGGGAAAAGGACGUUAGGCUAACCGGUGUAGAUUUCCUUGCCUUUGUAAGAUGUAGUUUUGUGUAUAAUACAUAUGACUCUAUUUUCCCGAUACUAAUAAAGUGAUGCUUUUAUAAACACCGUGUCUCCCAUGAUAUUAUUAGUCUUGUCCAGACUAGCACAACUCGGGUUCGCGGUACGGGUUCAUAGCCAUAGGCCGUGAUUGUGAGGAACGACUCCUGCGGUUGGGCUAGAACGGGUCGGGGGUGUUAUAGAUGUUAGCAUGGACUUUGUUUUGGGCCUUCCCCGGCCCCAACGAGGGCACGAUUCUAUCCUUAUGGUGGUGGACCGAUUCUCAAAAAUGGCCCAUUUCACCCCCUGCAAGAAGACUACCGACGCAGUUAGUGUCUCUAAUUUUUUCUUCCGUGAGAUCUACCGCCUACACGGGCAUCCGUCGUCCAUAGUUUCUGAUCGGGAUUCCCGUUUUCGUAGCCAUUUUUGGAGGUGUCUUUGGAAGUUGUUGCGUACUAGUCUCGCCAUGAACACUGCCUAUCAUCCUCAAACGGAUGGUUAGACGGAAGUUAUUAAUCGUUCUGUGGGCGAUUUACUUUGUUGUUUAGGUUGUGAUAAUAUCAAGAGUUGGGAUGCUAAGUUGUGUCAAGCUAAGUUCGCUUAUAAUCAUGCCGUGAACCGCAGCGUAGGCAUGAGUCCUUUUCAAGUGAUUUGUGGUGUUGUUCCUCGCUAUUUAUUGGACCUUGCUCCUCUACCGGAUGAUAUUCAUUUGCAUGGCCAGGCAGAAGAUUUUGUGGCAAGCUUAAAGGAUGUCCAUACGCAACAAUUUGGAGACGUCUGUCGCUAAGUACAAGGCUGCUGCUGAUCAUAAGCUGUGUGAGGUAGUUUUUGAAGUUGGUGAUCUUGUGUGGGUUGUUUUGACAAAGGACCGUAUGCCUCUUCGGGAGUAUAAUAAGCUGAAGUCGCGGAAGAUUGGACCGGUCGAAAUUGUCGCCCGCAAAAAUGCUAAUGCUUAUCGAGUAACUCUUCCUUCUCACCUCAAGACGUCGGAUGUGUUUAACGUCAAGUUCCAGUCUCCUUUCCACGGGGACAACGACGGCUUGGAUUCGUGGUCGAAUCCUUCCGCACGGGGAGGGACCUGAUGCAGCGCAUCUUCUUAUCAGGCUUGGUCGUUACUCUUGUGGGCUUUACGCAAUCGACCAAAUGGGUGUUGAUCUUUUGAUUUCAUUUGAUAUUUUGACAUUGUUUUAAAAUAAGGAUAUUAACAUAUCCAUCCCUUCUUAGAUUUGGCUUUAUCUUAUUAGUUGGUGUUUAGGGCUUUAUAAACUUUGUUGCGUCUUUGUUUCGAGUCAAUUUUUGAUAUUUAUAAGAAAAAAAAACCAAAAAGAGGCACACCUUUGCCCAAAGAGCUUGUGUCAAGCUAGAGAGGAGGACUCUCAAUAUCCUUUUGUUCAUUUGUUACCAUUUCCGCUUACGCCUCUACAUUAAUAAACAAACAUGAUUAUGUGUACAACACCAUAACCAUCCAUUUCCGAUGAAUUUUUCGCCGGAAUCCGACCGACUGAAACAUGUAUUUUUGUACCCUUGGAGUUCAAUUCCCCAAUGCGAUGUAGCAUAAGAGGUUAUCGAUCCAAAUGGAUGUAUUGCAAGCAAUCAAGAUAUAUCAGAUCUAAUCAAGUCAAGCCAAGUAAUUUAAGGUUUGGUUUAAAGAACUCUAAUGCAUAAAAGAAAACUAAAGAAACCAAUAUUGAAAGCAAUAAGUAAAAGCCGGUAAUCAAUCAGAUAGCAAAGGGUCUUAAGGAUGGGCUAAUGGGGUGAUGAAUCCUCUUAGUAUCUUUGGGAUGCUUAACAUGCUCAGAUAGAUCUAAUCCUAGACAAUGAACCACUUAACCUAAUCUGUCCAAUCUCUUGGCAAAGAUUAUCAGAUCUAUAGCACUUCCUAAUCUCAACUUUCAUUGAUGAAACAUACAUUAAAUAGGCAUAAAGAACAAGCUCAUUAAUGUCAAUCUACUCCUUAACAACCAAUCUCUUGGGUAAGUAAAUAGAUCUCUGGCAUUAGUUGAUCAGACAUUCCAUUUGAACACUUUUUUAGUGCUGGAAUGUCUAAGAUCUAAUCCCACAUGGUUAAUGCUAAGAUAGCAUUAAGAUCUCCUAAUCCAGAAGGUAUCUAUCUAAAUCUAUACUUAAGCAACCCUAGAAACUAAGAUUCCUCAUCACCUAACCCAUCCUCUAAACCCAGAAAAACUACUCAGAUCUGGUGUUCAUCAUGAAGAACACAAACCCAGAAAUCUUUGAAUCUUGCAUAACUAGAUAGAUAAUGAUCUAAGGAGCAAGAUAUUGUAAAGAAACAACUCCAAAUUCUCAAUAGAUCAAAAGAUAUAAAGAUUACAAGUUUCUGAAAAUGUUUGGUGGCUACAGAGAAAAACCCUAAUGAAAACUCGUUUUUGGCUUAAUGACCCAAGAGGUCUAUUUAUACUAAAGGCAGGAAGCCCUAAAACACAAAAAGACAAAUUACAAAGUCGGUUUAAAGAGAGCUCGGUCGGGUGCUUGUUGGGCUCGUUCGGGUCCUCUCUUGGCUCAUCCGUGUUCAGCUUCCUCUUGUGAGUCCGGGUGCUCGAUCGUGCUCGCUUGGUCGGGCUGGACACACUCGAUCGGGUCCAUGCUUUGCAUUGUCCGAGUGUACCUGUUUUUUCUCUAAAAUGCAGAUGAUAUGCAAAUCUCUAUGCUAAAGAUCCUAGAUGCGAAAUAUAAUGCAAAGGGACUAGAAAUCCUGAGAAGUAGAGACCUAGACAUCCAAAUAAUGCACAAAACAUAUGCUUAAGAGUAUAAAAAUAUAGGGUUAUCAACUCCCCAAACUUAUUCUUUGCUUAGCCUCAAGCAAAUUCAAAGUAGGGAGAGAGGUUUGAAGGUGGGGACUCAGAACCAAAACUUGCUGCAAAAGAGUUUAACAUCAAUAUCCUAGUUCGUAAUUCUAGAAUGCAAUUCAAAGGCUGUACUCUGAAGACAUUAGCCAUUCCUAUUUCAACACGAUGUCACCAGCCACAUAACCUAGACAAGCAAUCAAGUCAGCCAUCCUUUUUAACAUUCAUUAAGUAGCAACAGUGAAUCUGGAUGUGAAUUUGAAUUUAAACUCAUUUGGCUAGGCAAGUAAAAGGUUUAAGAGAUAAAGAGAGUCUCUCUUUUGUGAGGGUUUAAUCGUUUAAGUGCUAGGAUCUCUCAAUGAACAAGAUUGAGCUUUUGGGAGAUUGCUAAAGGUAAGGACCAACAAAUGCAUACAAGAAUAACAUCUUGACUACCCAAAGUACCUAAGUGAUAUCCUAAUUAUCUAAACCCAUAUGAUCCUAUUCUACCCUUUAACUCUUUUCAUCCCAAUUUCCCAUUUUGUUCUAAGUCUAAGGAGAGUUUCUUAUGAUAAACUAGUGGAUAGGGGGUUCCUUUAUAAACACUAUGGUUCUCUUUCUUCUUAAUACUUAAGACAUCAAAGCAUUUUGCUAUCUUUACACUUUUCUCUCUUUCUUUUUAAAAAAUCAGAACCAUUUCUUUUAUAUACUUUGCAUUCCCCACUUAUCUUUCACUAGGACCUUGAACUUUUCUGAAACUUUUACUUUCCUAAAGACUCGACUCAUUCCCCUAUUCUUUUCUUUUCUUUUCUUUUCUUUUCACCAAUCCAACAAAUCCCAAAACCCAAGUAGAAUCCAUCCUAGUCCUAUCUGAUCCGAAAGAUGCAAAUCAGAACUACUCAAGACCAUAUUCCUGUCGGCUCAAACCUAACACGUUCUCUUAAAGCUCAAUCCCAAAAGGCCUUCCACUCAGAAUUAAAACAAAGGCUUGAAGGAAUGGUUAAGGUUUUUAGGGUGUGGUUAACUGGUCAAGGUUAUGACCAGCUACUUGGAUCAACAAGAGGGUGGUAAAAAGAGGGAAAGAAGAUCCAAGUAUGUAUAAAAGGUAUCCAUGAGUUUAAAACAAAUCACAACCAGAUAAUUAACAAUUCAAGUUAAGGUUCUUAUAAAUAAAGGAUGGCAUCAUAUCAAAGCAAGCUUCAGUUUAGACUAGAAUUCAAAUCAUGAGAUCAAAGAAUGGUGCAGUCUCAUUUCAAACUCAAAUGAAAGCAUUGAACAACUAUGAACUAGGGCAUUGGUGUUAAAUCUAAUGAAACAGCAAGUUCUUUGGUUAUAAUCAUCAUAAUCCCCUAUGCUAAUGUAAUGAUCCUAAAUGCAACAACCUUAAAGCAAGACUAAUAUGCAAAUGCAACUAUAUGAACACUCUGUUUUUAAAGGAAUUUCUGAAAAAUUUUCAAAAUUUUAGGGGUUUUUGAUGCACAUAGAUGAAUGCAAAACUAGAUGCUAAAAAUUCGAAAUAAGAAAAUAUAAAACAUGUCAAAUGCUAUCCUAAGCUCUCCCCCAAACUUAAAUUACACAGUCCCUUGUGUAAUAAAAAUCUGAAGGAAGGCUUAGGAUCGAAAAGAAAAUAUAAAAAUGCAAGGCUGUAUUUACAAAGUUGAGGGUAAUAGAAUUACCUCUUGGGUGGUCCAAACCACGAGCUCAGGACGUCGGGGUACGCUGCUACAUGCUCGUCCUGGAUAUUUUCGGCGUCGACUGCAAGGUGAUAGGCUGACCCGACCGGGCGUGAAGAACCGGCCCGAUCGGGUGUGCGUUCGGGUGAGGCGCUCGAGUCAGCUCCCGGUUCCCUUCUGGUUCUGAACAGACUUCUCCUCGGAUCAAAUGAGGCUCUAGGCGGGCUAACUGGUAGGUUGGACCUGGUAGGUGUCCUGACUGAUGCAUUCCCCCCCCCCCCAAACCACUAGGCAUGGCUGUAGUGGAGGUUGACCAUCCAACCUUGUUCUGAAGUUCAUUAAUCUGCUCCCCCAUAUCCUAAACUGUUCCGGCAAGAUCCUUCACAGUGUUUUUCAAUGCCUUGAUAGUCUUGCUCUGGAACUUGUUCCACUUCUGAAGGAUGCUAAUCUUUUUGUGAGCUUCUUUUACCCCCCUUGACUGCCUAGAGGACUCUCCACUCAUCAAAAUAGAAGUCCUCCUCCUGCUCUUCCCUAUAAGGUUCUUCUUCUCUGACCUCAGGUGCAUAGGUUUGUUGGGCUGGCUCGAAGCUAGGAAUUGGGUCUUGGACUGAGUUCGGGUCAUAUAAUGCUGAGACGGGUGGCCAAAAGUUGAUAUUAGCACCCAAUCUGAUCUUUGUAAGCUCGGUGUUAGGCAACAUCAUUCUUGCUACUCCAAGUGAAGGGUGAGUGAACUUAUAUAAGUAAAACCCGUUGGGACGCUCGCUAUCAAGGAAGUGCGUCCUUGUUGAAGUCUCAAUGUCGAUCCAGCGAGCGUUGUAAACCUUCCCCCGUAAUUCCACUCACAAGCUACCAAUAACGGGGUGACUAGUCCACCAAUACUGAGCUCUCCUUGCACACCUCUCCUAACAGCCUUUAAUACCCAAUCUUUGCAAUACAUCAGCUGGUCUAAUAGAACCGAGACCAUGCUACCAUCUGUUCUAUCUCCUACUAGUUCUCUACCAUCCCUAGUACUUGGCAAUACACCACUCAAUGCUAUAUCUAUGAGCUGGAUCUCACUCUCAUUCACAUUCCCGGUUUCCUUUUUAGGAAAAAUCGUACUAGCCAAGGACUUAUGGAAAUACCUCACAGCUGGAUUGCUGAUUUGGGCGCUCUUGGAUUUCGAAGAAGUGUAUUCCUUCCCAUCUCCAAUUGUUUUCCAAACAGACUUGAUCUCCUCCUUAAGCACAUCUUGGCUCAUCGCGCUUGCUUGCAAGAACCCAUAGAGCUUCUCAACUUCCUUAAACGUGAGAGAAUAUGUAGUGCCCCUCACGCCGAAGGUGAUGUAUCCAAGGCAGUCAUCUGAGUGAAACUCGGUUUCAUCCUCGUAGAAAUGGAGCUGAAGUGAAGCUAACACGUAGCACGUCUCCUCGUCGUUGGCUUCCAAGUUUCUGGUCAUGAAUGAGCCAAGGCCGCUUCUCUCGAACAGAAACUCAACAUCUCUUGCUAUCCCCAGCUCCUUCAUCGUUUGCCGGUGAGGAUAACGAGUUCCAACAAACUUGUGGCGCCUAAACAUUGCAUAAAGCUCUUCUGGAGGGGGCAAGUUCUUGGUCUUACUUGGAGCCACUACCCUCCUAGGCUCCAUAUCCACCAUCGGUUCAUCAACAUCUUCUUCUGCAGGUCUCUUCCCCAUCGAAACUUCUUCUUUGGAAAUCGGGUGGGUCUGACCUGAUCGACUGGCCCGAUCGGGUGAUCGGGUUCGUGCUCGGGCUUUUCUUCUCCCAGAUAAUAAGAACACAAGGUUCAAUUACACAAACAAACCCCAGAAGAUGUGAAGAAUCAAGGCAAGAUUAACAACAAACCAGAGAAUGAGAUGAACAAGGAGCAAAUGAAAUCAAACCCAGAAAUUUUAUCAACCAAGAAUCUAGAGAGAAGGAAGAGAGAAUUCUAGAGAGAUAACUGAAUUUUUAGCAAAAUGAGAGAGUGAGAGAGGUUUUGGUCUAGUUUAGGUGGUAUAAAGAGGGUAAGAGGGGACAAAAAUCUGAAAGCGGAGCGUUUUUGGUCGGGCUUGGUUCAAAAUUUAAAUUUCAAAUCGAGUUGACUAUUGACCCGACCGUUACCUUUGACGCAAUCGGACGGCUGAGAUGAACCCGAUCGGGUGGCUUAGAUUGACUCGACCGGAUGGUCGAGAUUGACCCGAUCGAAUCGCGUUGACCCGACCGUGUGGGUGUUGACUCGACCAAAUAUACUUUUUCUUUUCAUUUUUUCAAUUAUUUUUACUUUGUAUUCAAAUGUGGGGUUUUAAUUAUUUUCUAGAUAUAUACUUUUAUGUAAAUAAUAUUUUAAUUAUAUUUCUUCUUUUUCCCUUAUAAAAAAUAUAUAUUUGCCGAUGCUAUAAAAAUAUUUGAAAUGCCAUAAUCUCAUAACUAUUGUAUCUAUAUUAACAUUUUUGAAGUACCUUUUGGAAAAUAACCUUUUAUUUUGUAUUAUUUGCAUAAUAAAUCCUUGCCAUUUAAAUAAUUAACAAAAUNNNNNNNNNNNNNNNNNNNNNNNNNNNNNNNNNNNNNNNNNNNNNNNNNNNNNNNNNNNNNNNNNNNNNNNNNNNNNNNNNNNNNNNNNNNNNNNNNNNNCCAUUAUAAAUAUGACUAAUAUGAAACUUAAAAUCCAAAAUCUUGAAUGGAAGAUUACAACAAUAAGUUUACUAAUUUAGGGAAUCCAAUUUAAUAUUGAUUGGUUAAAAUGAGUUUUGGAAACAAAAAUCUCUCUCGAAAUCUAUAAAUUAUUCAAGGUUUAUAUUUACAUAAAUAUGAUUUAACGGGUUUGAGUUAUAUGUUUUUCUUACGAGUUAUCUUAUGGGUUAACAAAACAAAAUAACAAAUAUAACUUAAACAUAAUUUUUUAGUCCCACGAGUUAUAAAAAAAUAUCCCGCGAGUUAAGUAAUAAAAAUAACAAUCAAAAAUACAGUUACACAAUCUUAAACACUAAAAAGGUAAUAAAAUUAACAAAUAUAACUUACAUAUAUAUUUUGUUUAGUCAAAACAAUCGUCUCGCGGUGUACCGUGGGUUAAAACCUAGUAUAAAUAAAAAUUCAAAACAUAUUUAAAACCCCGGCCUACGACUUUACAAAAGAAAAAAAUGAUUUUUUAAUAUUUUGUUAUAUUACUAUAUAUAUAUAACUAAAUUUACCACGUAAAAAUUUUGUGGUAUACUUUCUUUACUUGGUAUAUUUUUUUUUGUAUUACCAAAAUUGUAUAACCAAAUAUUUCACAAAAUUUAUUGAGAAACUGAUAUCAAUAACCUUUUUAUGAUACCCUCUUUUAAAAAUACCCUCUUUUUUGCAAUUUUCAUUUUUGCCUUCUCUUAAAUUUUAAUGGCCAUUUUACCCCUAGUUGAAAGAAUAUUCUUUCCCAAAGGAAGGAAUAUUCCUUUCAAAAAAAUUUCCCCCAAAAAUUUCCCGCCAAAAAAAUUUCCGAGUAAAAAUUUCCCGCCAAAAAAUUUCCGCAAAAAUUUUCCCCCAAAAACAAAAUAUUUUUACAAAAUUUUCCCGCCAUAUAUUUUAAAGGGUUUACAAGUUUUUUAAAGGGUCUUUUAAAGGUUUUAAAGGGAUUUACAAGAGUUUUUAAAUGGUUUUCAUAAGAUUUGUAAUGGUUUUUAAAUGAUUUACAAUGGUUUUUAAAAGUUUUUAUAAGUUUAUAACAGUUUUAAAAGGAUUUAAAGGAUUUUUAAAGGAUUUAAAUAUUUACAAGGAUUUUUAAAGGUUUUUAAAAAGGAUUUACAAGUGUUUUAAAAAGGAUUUACAAGUGUAUUUAAAGGCAUACAAAGAUUUAAAAAUAGUUUUAAAGGACUUACAAGGGAUUUUAAAGAAUUUUAGAAGUUUACAAAGGUUUUUAAAGGGUUUACAAAACUUUUUAAAUGUAUUACAAGUUCUUUAAAAUGGUUUUUAAGGAUUUACAAGGGUUUAGAAAGGGAUCUAGAAGUUUAUAAAAUCUUUUAUUAAAUGAUUUAUCACGGUUAUAAGGGGUUUGAAGGGAUUUACAAGUGUUUAUAAAUGUUAUAAAAAGGGUAAUUUAGUCAUUUUGUACAUAGAAGAGUGUAUUUUUGAAAAUGGACACCUAGAGAGGGUACUUAUAGAAAAGGGUAUCUAUCAUAAAAAUGUUAGUUGUGUGAAUCCCCCAAAUUUAUUUGGUACUAGUCGGUUGCCCGCGCUACGCGCGGGAAUUUAUUAUGUUGUAUAUGAGUAAUUGAUUUGUAUUUUAUUUUCUACUUCUUUUUUCACUAUACCAUACUUUACUUUUUUAAAACUUAGAUUGUGUUUGUAUAGAAAAACUAUUGAGUUUUAGCCUCAUUAGUUGUUGAGAAAUUAAGUGUGUAUAAUAUAAGUCGAAGUGUGGGCGUAAACGGAAAUGCGGUGAAAAAUUAUUGAGAAACGUGUGCUAUUAGGGUUUCUACCAAAUAUAGAUCUAGAUGUUAAUAUUUUGUGCCUUUUAUAUGUUGGCAUGAAAUUUGAACAUGAUUUGUGGGUUUCGGGCGGAUUGUUAUAUUUUUAAUUGUUUACAUUAUCUCUUUAUAUAUUGUCAUAAUUUUAUUUUUUUAUGUUAUUCAUUUUUUGAUUUGUCGUAAUUAUAUCUCGUAAUGAUCAUUUUUAUACUAUUAUAUAUUUGUUUCUGAUUUUAUGUUAUAUAUAUAUAUAUUUUAUUUUUUCAUAUGGAACAAUUUUUAAAUUUAACAUAUCAGUAUAAUUUACUUUAUAUUUAGUUUAUUUCAUUUAAUACUGUCUUUUGUUAAUUUUCAAUUUUUAUGAAAUAUUGUUAAUUUUUUACUCUUUUAUUAGUUUAACAUAUGUGUUGUAUUGGAAAAAAUUAGUUAAAUUCAUAUUGGAAACCUUUAAAAAAUAUUAUUUUUAUUUUCACGUUUUUAUACGUUUAAAAAAAAUGAGAAUUGAUGUUUCGGUCCGACCUAUCUCAUUUAUGUUAGAAAUUUUUGUGAGACAUAAAUUACAUAGAUUUAUAUUCUCAAAAUUUCUUACUUUCUUUACUAUUCUCGUUAAAUCCCAUAAUAUUUGGGUUUACAUUGUGUAAAUAUAAUCAUAUAUAUUUCUUAGUAUAAUCGAUAAUUAGUAAGUUUUUUUAACUUUUAAACAAAUCAUCUUUUUAGUUUUAUAAUGUAUAAUAUAGAAAAAACCUUUGAUAUUCCUUUUUGAAAAACUUAUUUACAUAAGUUUAAAUCUUAAAAUUAAAUGAUAAAAUGGUAUAAUUAAUUUUAAAAAUUAAAUAAUAAAAUGAGGUGGAUGAUGAUGUGGCAUAAGGAGAAGAGAGAAAAAGUUAACUUUAUAUAUAUAGAUAUAAGUUUUGAAUUUUAAUGUGAGAUAAAAAAAAUUACUUUUAUAAUAUGUUUUGAUAUUUGUUUUGUAAAAUUAUGUAGUAUAUUUACCUAUUUAUCAAAAAUAGUUAAAAUAAAAAAUAAAAUAAUUAUGGAUUUUUUUUUUGAAUUUUUUGUUGGUCAUCGUCGGUUAGGCAUGACGAUGGUUACGGUUUAUUAACCACCGGUUAUGGUUAUAAAUAUUUUUUAACCAUAACCUUAACUUUUAUAUAUACGGUUACAACGGUUAUAGUUAAGGAAAACGGGGAAAAUCAACCCAAACUAUUUCUCGAAGGUAUUUUCAUACCCAAACUCGCGUACUCUGAAUUUUACAACCCAAACCAGGUUUCAAUUCAAAUAACCCACCUGAACCACAUCAAAUUUUGUCGAUUUCAACCUCGACGUUAAUAGUAUCCCUGCCCAUCUUGAAGAUUUGGACAAUCAAGCUUAAGCUUCUGUAAAAACCAAGAGAAAUUAAGCUUAAGCUUAAGCUUAAUUGUCCAAAUCUUCAAGAUGGGCAGGGAUACUGUUAACGUCGAGGUUGAAAUUGACAAAAUUUGAUAUAGUUCUAGUUGGUUAUUUGAAUUGAAAGCUAGUUUGGGUUGUAAAAUUCAGAGUACGCGAGUUUGGGUAUGAAAAUACAUUUGGGAAAUAGUUAUGGUUAUAUACAGUUACGGUUAAAUCCGGUUACGGUUAUUUGAUGUUUAUGAUAUAAAUAAUAUUAAAGGCAAAAUUUUAUAUUUUCUUACCAUAUCAAAUAAUGUUUAUUUAUAAAUAUGAAAUAUAUGUAAUUAUAUUAUUCAAAUAUUUAUAGUACAUUAGUUAAAGAAAUGAUUUUUGUUUAAUCAAAUACAACUACAGAUAUAUAAACUAAUGGUUAUGAACCUACAAAUAUUUAAAUUAAAUUAUUUUUGAUUUGAUUAAUGGAAAUGAGUAGUGGAAUGGAUUAGGGUUACUAGUUGACAUAUUUAACCAUUUUGUUUUUUGUCAUCAACAUAUUUAACCAUUUAAAACAUUGUUUUAAUGAGAUAAUUUUUAGAUAAAUUAUCUCUAAUAACCUUUUUAUCAUACCCUUUUGCAAAAUUAUCCUCUUUUUUUGUCAUAAUCAUUUUUGCCCUCUCUUAAAUUUUAGUGACCAUUUUACCUCUAGUUGAAAAAAUAUUCUUUCCUUUGAACGGAAUAUUCUUUCCAAAAAUUUUCCCGCCAAAAUAUUUUCCUACCAAAAUUUAUAAAUGUUAUAAAAUGAUUUACAAAGGUUUUAAAAGGUUUACUAAAGUUUUUGAAGGUUUUGAAUGACUUUUAAAAGAUUUACAAGGGUUUUAAAAAGAGUUUUUAAGGUUUUAAAAAUAUUUACAAGGUUUUUUAAGGAAAUGCGGAAAAAUUAUGGCUGAAAAUUUGGCGGUAAAAUGUUUUGGCGGAAAAAAAUUUGUCGGAAAUUUUUGGGGGGAAAAUUUUCGGAAGGAAUAUUCUUUUUGUUGGAAUUUGGAAAUAAUAUUCCUAUCUUCAUCAUGUGAUAUAUUAAAGGAGGCUGAUUUAGUUAUUUUGUACACGGAAGAAGGUAUUUUCUAAAUGAACACCAAAAGAAGGUAUUCUUACAAAAGGGUAACCUAAAAAAGUUAUUUGUGCAAAUCCCCCUUGUGGGAGCUGAAAUCCACGAACUGAAAACGGAGUGAACUCGAGUGGGCUCCUAAUUCCCUGUCCGAACUCGUGAACAGAAUUGCGAAAUGAUUGAGAGAAAAUUGCUUAGUUUUAUUUAGUAUCUUUUGUCAAAAAUCCGACCCCUUUACACUUUGUUUUUCCUCCUACUUAUACUACUCUGGCAAGCAUUGAACGCGCAGCGAACUCCGCUCCGCGAAUCGCGCCAUUCUCAUUAAGGCGCCGCUUGACCCGCUGAUAGCCCGUUUUAAUUCUCCUUUCAAACCUUCGGCUCCUACUGGACUCCGCUUGACGGGCUGGGCAGUUCCAAUAAUGGGCCUUCGCCAACGGGCCUAAACGGAAUGGGCUGUUAGCCCGGAACGCCAAUUCCGGUACCCACAGUAAGCCCCCAAAGUCUUCCGAAGUGGUUCAGUUUGGGAGACUUUAAUGCCACACAAUUAAAGAAACUUCGAUUCCCGAAUCUGAUAUGAUUGAUUUGUUUUUAUUCAAGGUUGCCUUUUCGGAUUACCGUGCCCCGGUUUUGCUGCUUUGGAAUCCCUAGGUUGCCGGCUAUAAAACGCGACCUUCUAGCUUCCCUAGGUAAUCAUUGGGUUGCAGCCGCCGAGACGCUAUAAAGGUAGAGCCUCCCUCCUUCGUUUUUCUUUUUAAUUUCUCUCUCGCUUCUUCUAUUUUUCUCUGUUUUGCCCGACGCUUCUCCUCGCCGUAUCUUCUGCUACUUCCACUCCGUUCCCAAACUAAGCUUAAGCAUGUCGCCGCCCAAGCAAACUCCAAAAGCCGGAGACGCUUCCCUCUCCAGUCAAUUCGGCCCGCAUCCCAGGUCGACGAUAGGCGAGGAAGAUUUAGUACACGUAAAGUUCCUCUGCGGCCUUACGUCUGAGACGGAGCUCAUCGCUCCUGGGGAUGAUCUGUCGCUGGAGGAUCCUCCUCCCGGGUACUGCUGUGCCUACGAGAUAUUUUUCUCAAAGUGCGGCCUAUAUUUUCUGCUGCCGGAGCUUCUGGUGAAGGCGAUGUUCGCCCUCGGCAUCACCCUCCCCUAGCUAUGUCCGAACUUCGUCCGGACUAUUCUUUGUCUGCAGACCUUAGCCGAAGAGCACGGCUACAUCAUCACCUUCCAGGACAUCCUCCACCUUUACACAAUAAAGAGUGGCCGGACUAGAGGGACCUUCUAUCUCAGCCCGCUGGCCGGGUUCCGAGUCUUUGACGACUUCCCUGAGAAAGACGAACAGUACCGAAGUGGGUAUUUCUUCUUCCCGGUUAACCGGGCCACCUUCGGUGAUUUGCAGGAGCUGCUUGUCCCGCACUGGUCUCAGAAACCUGGUAGAACUGCGAGAAGAUUCGAAAAUUUCUUGCUAUCACCUAUCAGUUCGGGGUACUAACUCGUUUUCUCUUCUCCUUUUUUUUUAGCUUCCCUUGAGCGCGGACCAUUAUCUCAAACCUUCGCGAACUAUUUCGUUACCUUCUGCAGUGCUGAAACUGCGUGGGACUCCUUCACCUGCCCCCAUAUCCGUGAGGCAGGUGCCCGCAUCCGUACUAGGUUUCUUACUAUCUCUUCUCCUCAGUCUGCCCCUCCCAAGAUGAACUACCGCGAAGAGAGGGCUCACAAGAAAAAGAUGGAGCUGAAAGAGAAUGAACUAAAGAAGAAAAUGGUUCGCGAGGUGAUCACUCUGCCCGACAGCGACCUCAGCGCUGAAUCUCCUGCCGCUCGCCCAGCUCCUGAAGAGGGUCAAGCCAGCGGGUCAAAGAAGCGGAAAGCCGCGGAACCCGCUUGUCCGGUACGUUCGAGCUCCAAGCCAUGAGCUGAGGAGAAGCCCGCCGAGACCCCUGCCCCGAAGGGCUCCUUGCCUGCGGCUCCGAGUUCCGCUGAUCCGAAGGCAACUCCGAGGCGCGAACUCCCGGGUAAACUACUUACUGAUAGCUCACUUCUAAUACACGAGCAACCCCGAGCUAACAUAAAAGCUUCAUUUUUAGCUCCUCCAAAAUCCUUGGCUGACAUGAUGCGGAGCUCGGGUCCCCGCCUUCAAGGACAUGUCCGUGAACAACCGGGAGGACUACUUCCGCUUCGCCGAGAAGGUCGGCGAGGUAAGCCUACUCCCUUUUGCUUCGCAAGUGGCUGCACCUUCACCCUUGUAAACACUUUCCUGUCUUUGGCAGAUGCUCUUUGAGUUUAACAGCUCGGAGGUGAAGAAGGUGAAGAAGUACUAGUCCCUGGAGGCCUCCAAGUUCAACAAGAAGCUCAACCUGCAGAUCGCCGAAUCCUACGUGGAGGCUUGUCAAGACAAGCUAAAGCUGGCUGGGGAGCUGUACCUGAAGGCGACCACUGCCGAGACAGAGGCAAAGAAGGAACUCCAGGAGAUCAAACUAAGAAAUCAGCUCCUGGAAGCAGGGAACAACUCCGAGAUGGAGAGGGUGCGAAGAGAGGAGCGGAGGAAAACGUGAGCCGAGCUCCGAGAAACAAUCGACAAAAUUGGGUCGCACCUCGAGGAGCAUGACCGCUUAAUGCCCCAUGCAAGCCGAGCUGCUGAGAUCACCGCCAACCGGAUGUUGGUGGAAGAGAUCGAGAAGGGCGAGAUUGCCGACCUGAAGGAGGAGCUCAAAACCUUGAAAGCUGACAAGAAGGCUGCUCGCCUUGAGGCUGAAAAGGUAAAGGACUUAACGUUUGAUCCUGCAUCGUAUACUGCUAUAUUGGCAGAUACCCCCCCCACCCCCCCCCCCCCGAACUCGGGCCUGACCCCGCUCCUGCUCCCCUUAUGAUCGAGGAGCCUACUUCUGACCGCCUGUUAUACCGAACCAGGAACUGGAGGCAAUCUAGCCGGACCUCAGCAAGGAGGUAAACGCUUUUAUGAACCCCGGGGGUGAUGAAGCUCUUGUUGGCGAGGCGAGUGGCACCCCUUUGGCCUGCCCCGAAGACCUUGCCGCGGGCUCCGUGCUUACUUAACUUCCUAUUCGGGGUUGUAUUGGGCUUAGACCCCCCCUUUUGUUUAUUGCUAUCAUUACUUUUGCUUUCGGUUGCUUUUUGCUUAUUUUACGAACUUCCUAAGAUUCAUGCACGUGUUUUUGACCACGGAGGUCACACUCUUAUAAUUGCUUCAGACUCUACUAAGUUUGCUUUAUAUCGUUUUUAAGAUGUGGCAACACUUUAUUACCAUCUUGCUUAAAAAGAACUUAUAUUAUUAUUAGCUGGACUCGACAAACCGAGCUGCCUACGUACCCAAAAAGGGGAUCAAGCACACCGUAGUUCGAUUACAAGUGUUUAUCACUACUUUUUUUUAAAGGUGUAGAAUCGCUUAAGAUGCAGGGCAUUCCACGACCUGGGGACCUUCUUUCCGGACAGUUCCUCGAGGCGAUAAACCCCGUUACGCACCUCAGCAACAAUUUUGUAACGGCCCUCCCAAUUCACACCAAGUUUUCUGGCGUUAAGCUCUCUUGUAUUUUCGUAAACUUUUCUUAGCACAAGAUCGCCCACGUUGAGAUCGCGACCCCUUACUCUUGAGUUGUAAUACUUCGCGAUCGUGCUCUAGUAAUGCUGCAAACGAACUAAAGCCCGAUCGCGUUUCUCCUCGAUGAAAUCGAGGGCAUCCCGAAGAGAUUCUUCAUUCUCUUCGGGCAUCGUGGGGUUCGUGGUUACCCGGACUCCUGGUACAGCGAGCUCUGCUAGGACUACCGCCUCUGUCCCAUACACCAGCAAAAAAGGGGUUUCAUGCGUUGCCCGCCGAGGCGUCGUUCGGAUUGCCCAUAAUACGCCUUGUAGUUCCUCGGCCCACCGACCCUUAUAUGAAUCCAGCCGCUUCUUUAGGUUAGCCAAAAUUACUUUAUUCAUAGCUUCGGCCUGGUCGUUCCCUUGUGGGUAGUGGGGUGUAAACUUGCUCAACUGAAUCUUCUAGUGGGCACAAAAUGCUUCGAACUGCCUCGAUACGAACUGCGACCCAUUAUCCGUUACUAUCUCGUACGGGAGUCCGUGACGGCAAAUCACAUCAUUCCAUAUGAACUGCUGGACCUGAGAACUCGUUACGACGGAAUACGCGGCCGCCUCUACCCACUUGGAAAAGUAAUCGGUGAGGACUAGCAGGAACCUCACCCCCCUCGUCGAGUUGUGCAAAGGCCCUAUUAUGUCCAUCGACCACCUCAUGAACGCGUAGGGAGCCGAGAUUGACGACAUGAGUUCCGAGGGUUGAUGAAUAGUGGGGGCGUGCCUUUUGCACCUCUCGCAAUUUCUUACAAACUCUUCACAGUCCGCUUUCAUCGUUGGCCAAAAGAAACCGUACCGCUUGAUUUUGAUUACCAGUGUUCGGGCCCCUGCGUGAUCCCCAUUGGGUCUAUCGUGGACCGACCGCAUCACUAUCCUUGGCGACUUCCCGGCGAUGCAAGUUAAAUAAGGACCUCUGACACUGCGACGGAGUAGACCCUCAUUGUGCAGACAGAAUCGGGCCGACACGGUUCUAAUCUUCCGAGCCUGCCAUUUAUCUUGGGGCAGCUCACCUUCCCUUAGGCAGUCUAGGAUGGCGGCUCUCCAGUUCACUCCUUGGUCCUUCUCUGGGAGCCCCGAGGGGUCCUCUGGCCCUUCCUCCCCAGGCUCCUCACGGCAAGGGAAUCAGGCUGCUGGGGUCCCAGCCGGCGCUUCGGAGUUUUCCUCACUUUCAGGAGCAGGGAGAUCCCCCGGCAAUGAAACGUUCCAUCAAGGUCUAACGGCCUUGGUAGGGACGUCGGGUAGUUCAUGGACUAUGGUUCCUGCUACUCGGGAACGCGGUUCAGCUCUUCAGCUACGAGAUGAACCGCGUUCUUUGCUUGAUGGAGCUCAUCGAUUGUUAUAUCCGGCAUUCCCCCGUUCAUGAACCUCUCAGCGAGUAAGUUCAUGAGUUUUUUGCAGUUCCGGGUAGCGUGCCCAGCCACCUUGUGGAGUUCGCAAAAAGAAUCGUCUUCCUUCUCCUCCCGGGUCUACUUAUUGUUUGGUAAGGCCCCGUUUCUGCCUCGUGGUCCGAAUCCUUGUUUCGACGGGGCGCCCUUUGGACCCCCCUUCUGGUGGUCCACCGCGAAAGUGGCUGGUCCCGGCCUUUGUCCCUGCACGCUCCGUCUAGCUCCCUGAUCGAAGCUCGGCUUGGGAGUUACUUUGUACUUCUUGGCGAGUGCGGCUUUCUACUCCUCCGCUACGAUCCAGUUCGAUGCCCGAUGAAGGGCGUCCUGGAUACUAGAAGGGCGGUUAACCGUCAGCUCUUCCCUGAGUCAAGACUCGUGCCACAACCCAUUUUUAAGGGCGGACAAUGCCGCCGAGUCGGAGAGUCCGGGAAUCUGGACCAUUAUUUCUUUAAACUUUGUGAUGUAAGACCGAAGUGAAUCGUUCGGACCCUGGCUCAAAUUCCACAACUGAGCGUCGGUCACACCUACUCCUAUGAAACUCGAAUAUUGCUUCACGAAUGUAGUGGAGAGCUGAGUGAAGCUGUCGAUCGUCCCUUCUUGAAGCGAGGCAAACCACAGGAGGGCUGGUCCGACGAAUUUUUCGGCAAGAGCUUACAAUACCCCGCAUCCUCCUCAUGAGGCUUAAAGUCCACCCUUCCUACCGUAAGGAGGAAAGUGUGGAGGUGAACUUUAGGGUCACCCUUUCCUUCAUAGCUGAGAAAUUUAACCUUUCGCGCAUCCUUAAUGCGCAUUGUCGAGAUUCUAGGCGAGAAAGGAGUCCUCUUCGACUCCUCGAUAACUCGAUCGAUAUCCGAGGCGGAGCUCGUCGCGUGGUGGACCUUUGACUGCAUGGCUCGGAUCUCAUUCUGGAGGAUUGAAAUUUCCGGAUUGGGCAUGACCACCGCCCUGUCCUGGGUCGGAGUACGGAUGCGGCCAGGCGUGGAGCUCCUACUCGCGGGAGGAUGAGUUUCCUGGCCGGGGUACGGAAUGGCCGUCCCUUGCGGAGGUGCUAAUGCCGACAAACCAGCCUCUCUUGGCUGGUUUUCUGCCGAGUUCACAGCGACUGGGGGAACUGGUCGCCCGCUCCCCGGGGACGUCGCUGGUAACCCCCCACCAAAAUCGAGCAUAUGGGACCGGCGGAGCGUGGUACUGACACAUGUCCCUUCCACAAGCGCGUCCACUUGGGCUGCGUAAGCGUUGUGAGCGUUGGACAGCUCGGAGACGGUUUCGGACAAGGCGGCCACCUGAGCGGUGGACCGCUCCUCGAAUCCUCCGAGCUUCUCCGAGAGCGCAGCUGUAGCUAACUGCUGCUGCUCUGUCUUCCCGGAUAAAUCCUGCAAUAACUUCUGAAUAGAAACGAGGGUUACCUGACUAUCAUCGCUCGACAUUUUGCUAGAAUGAGGACGGAAGGUUGGAAACAGGGAAUCGGUGGGUUAGGGAAUAAGAAUCCCCACAAACGGCGCCAAAAUGUGGGAGCUGAAAUCCACGAACUGAAAACGGAGUGAACUCGAGUGGGCUCCUAAUUCCCUGUCCGAACUAGUGAACAGAAUUGCGAAAUGAUUGAGAGAAAAUUGCUUAGUUUUAUUUAGUAUCUUUUGCCAAAAAUACGACCCCUUUACACUUUGUUUUUCCUCCUACUUAUACUACUCUGGCAAGCAUUGAACGCGCAGCGAACUUUGCUCCGCGAAUCGCGCCAUUCUCAUUAAGGCGCCGCUUGACCCGCUGAUAGCCCGUUUUGAUUCUCCUUUCAAACCUUCAGCUCCUACUGGACUCCGCCUGAUGGGCUGGGCAGUUCCAAUAAUGGACCUUCGCCAACGGGCCUAAACGGAAUGGGCUGUUAGCCCGGAACGCCAAUUUCGGUACCCACACCACUAAUUUUUAUUCUAUGUUUAAUUUUAAGGUUAAUCGUACGGUUAACUAACGGUUUUAUACGGUUACGGUUGAUAACGAUUACGAUUAAUAUUUUUUAUAACUGUGACAGAUUUAUUUUUACAGUUAACGGUUAUGGUUUUUAACCGUUUUAUACGGUUAUGGUUGAAAAACGGUCUGGUUAUAGUUAGAAAUACGAUUAAAAUAAGAUUUUAGUCAUUCUUAACGUUGGUCAAUGCCGAUCAAAAUUGGUCAACGCCAUAUUUCAGCGAUAAAGUCACCAAAAAAAUGGUUAUUGUAUUGUAUACAUAGCUUAUGCUUGUUUAUUUAUGUCCUUAUGUAAUAACAAUAGUUCAUGUAAUUAACGAACAAUUAUACCAUUUACAUGUAUGUUGCUGAGAAUGAUUUUUUCAAUUUUAAAUAAACAAAGCCGGACUGAACUCAUAAACCUUUUUUAACACCCGAUAACACAUUAUGCUCAUUCUUGAGUUUACAUCUUUUCAUUUUAUUCACGUUUGACUUUAUUUUUUGUUUCUAUAAACUCGACCGACUUCAAAUAAACUAGCAUCUUAUUUUUAUUUUUUUAUUUUUUUUGCUAAGAAUGUAAAUAUCAUUUCAUGAAAUGAAAGUUUAAGUAUUACAUCAAGUAAUUCCUAAAUACAUGGUUCUAUGCCAAAAAAGUUUAAAAAACAUAGAAGCAUAAACAUUCGAGCUUCAAAUCAACAUCUAAAACCACAAGCAGUAAAACUAAUUGGACGUCGAGAAGAGAACUCGAUAAAAUGACUCCCCUAAGGAAAAGAAGGCAAGAAACAAGAGCAGAAAGGGAAAUAGGUGGACAUCAGACUGUUGUGGAAGCGAAGCGGAAGUCCCUUCAACGUGAGCCCGAAACCAAAAAAAGCUGCGGAGCAUCACGAGCUAAAGGUGGCACGCAAUGCUGUUCUCUACCGAGACCCCAACAGUAGCGCGAACAAAGCAACAUCAUAUCCUCCAAAAGCCACAUACUAACACCUCCAAAAUGCAAAGAACAAUCACAGUAAACCACAACCAAACUGAAGUUUCACUAGCCACUACAAAUACUUAGCUGAUGAAAGAGAGCGAAAGGCAUUGAAGGAGGUGAACCAAGGUAGCAGAAUAAACUCAAACAUCAAGUAGCAAAGCCAACAAGCGCGACAUAGCCGGAGUUGCGUGGACAUGCCAUCGAAUCUGCGACACAAGGCUAACCUCAAAACCUGUAUCAAGCAAAGACAACUACUCCUUCCAGCCGAAACUCACUAGAAUCCUGAACAAGCAGAAAGAGACUCGGGCAAAUCAAGUCUAAAGCAUUAAGUCUGCAAUGACUUGGGAGAUGGCACGAAUAGCGAUGGAACCUGGUGACCAAAGGAGCAAGAGAAGUCGGCUCUUGAAAGGAGGCCAUACAAAUAACAACAAUCUUCAUGAAUAAUUCAUUCCCUUUGCAGACCUAUGAGCUGAAGAUCGGAACAACCAGGAUUCUGCAACCUAAUCACUAACCACACCAACCUAAACUCCAACAAACAACAGAGCUCACUGUACUCAACGAAGAGACAAUAAGACAGGGAGACCAACGACUCUAAUUCACAGAGCGGCAGCAGUGGCGAACAGCUUGAAGACUAGCAGCAAACGAAGGAAGGAGGAGAGCAGAAGCUUACCAACACAAAGGCGGAGUAACAAAACACCGCCAAACCUCUACCAAAGGAAGAUCCGCCGCACGCCAAAGGGAAGGAGAAGAGUGAUGAAAGAGACCACAAAUCUACAAACCACUUGCCAGAAAUGACCAUAGCACCACUUGAUAAUAAAAUCAAGAAGUCGAGCGAAGCUAAACAACACUCAAAAUCACCGAGGUUCACCGCGUGUACAGACGUCCUAAAAGUCACCGUCUUCAAGCAACCAUAUAAGGAGCGAGCACGCCGUGGCGGUGAAUUCGCCGAAAACGCUGAAAGGUCCCCAACAAGUCGACGCCUUUUCAAUCGAAGGAAGAGUUUCCAGAGAACGAAGCCACUUAGAUCUGUCACCAACGCUCGUCAAAUCACAGUUGUGAAGGUGCCCAACCGAUGAACGGAGAACCGAGAAGCCCUCUCACGGCCAUGGCGAGAGGCGCCAAUGACCGGAGAGGCAAGAACUGCGGCAGAUCUAGGUUUUACAAGCAGUGGUUGUCGGGGGGGG